GAAGAAAACGGGUGUUAAAGACUCUCGGACUCAACUCAAAAAAGAAAAGGUGGUUGAAGAGGCUAUGGCUCAACUCCAACUUGACGAGGAGAAUACUACUACUCCAAAAUCACAACCCCUUGUAAAGUUUGGUGGACCUUUCAAAUUCACAGUCCCUUGUGAAGUUUGCGGAGUGGUUGGCCACUAUAAUGAUAGAUGCCCCUACAUCGAAGUAGGCCUCCCAGACAACGUAACUGAGGCUCCCAAGGGCUAUGAAAUAGUUAACUUACGUGGUGGGAAGCGUGCUGUUAGGAUCAUGUUUUGUGGUUGUUGUAAAAUGCUCCGGGACCACAAGAUCAAGGACUGCCCGAAUAAGAGCAAGAUGACUGCAAUAAUGAACUCUAUUCUGAAGGCCGCUCGCCCUCCUGCAGGUCCUCUGUCCUCAGGAUCUUGCUGAUGCUGAGGAUUGGGACGCUGCUGUUGUUGGAUGGUUUAUAUCUAGUCUUGUCUUGGAAUGUUGCUGUCCUCUUUAUAUUCUUUGGGUUUUUGCACUCUGCAGUCGGUCUGUAAGUAUGUCUUUGAACACGCACAUUCCGUUCACUGUCAUUCUAAUGGUGGUUGUGUUUCUUUAUAUACUUGGAAUAUUCUAAUGUUGUUAUUUCUGAGUGGAAAAACCCUUUGCUUGUCUUGGUUUUGGAUGAUACACAACUAACUUGGUGACAUUAAUGAAACAAGAAGGGAUCGAUCCUGUUUUAUGGACCAAUUGAUCCAACUGUUUUUGUUCCAUUGUUCACUAGAGAAAGCCCCAUCUUGGAUGCGCGGUGCCUAUUUGGAUCGAUGCUUUGCUUUACUAUGCUGUUUGAUCUCUGUUGUCCUUUGCUUCGCUUUGCUUUGGGGUGUUGUUUUUAAUUCACUUGGUCUCCAACACAAUCCUGCAACUACAUUCUACAAGAAAUACUUUCCUUGUGCAAGUAUUAUGACACAGUAAAAACCAUAUAAGCUUGGAACGAUCCAAGCAUCCUUCUCCGUGCGCGUAUAAUUUCACUCAAUCUGCUUAUGAGAAAUUAGUACGUGCAAUUCUCGAAGACAUGUAAGAUGUUCGACUCCAUGAGGCAGUUGCUUCGACUCCAAGCAUUCAUCUCUAUGAUCACCACAUUUGGUCAGUCGAGGGGAAUGGUUUAGAGUUUAACUUUCAAGCUCUGUUUCUAAUGUACGAAGUUUUUCCUAUGUCUUUUGGAAGCAGCAAUUCAACGAUCGGGAAAGCUUUAAGGUCUAAGACCCUUUAGUAAUAUGAACCCUUCGUUUGAUUCAAUGGAAAAGGAGUGGCCAUGGUAGAAGCAUAUUGUUUAAUUGUUUCUGCCUCAUUGUUUUUUUUAACACAAUUUCUCAGCUUUCAAAAUUGAAAGGGCAAGUUAGCGUACAAGGUCAUGCACCUUGCACACUUUUACACUUCCGUGGGGUUCUCUCUUAACAACAUUUUACACCCUUAUUGACUGAAAUUGCUAAAGCUAUAUUCUGCAAAACAAAAGGUUGCGUGGGUGGAUUGCUUCCUCGCCCUUCAAAUGAGGGCCGGUCUUGAGUUUUCUGGUGCUCGGGACGAACAUUCAAAAUGUGCCUUUUUUCAAUACAUCAACAUAUAUUGAAAAGAAACAUUUAACGAGGGCUGGAACCCAGUCGAAGCUGGGGGGCUAGGCCCUCACGCCCAUAUUAUAUUACUUGAAUAAAAAACAUACAGUAGGGGACAUAGUACCUAAACCCCGACAAUCAAAAGCAAAAUCAUAUACAACCACACAAAGCAGUCAACAUGGCCAUCACAUAUUGAAUCCAAAAGGUUGACGUCCCAUUCACUGCAUAUAAUGUACAGAAGACAACUAGAUUACUACUAAUAAAAUGACAUAACAUUGAGUAAAAAGAAUCAUCCGAAAAGAUGGAACAUAAUAUGCAUCAAUUUUAUUACAGAAGCUAUUCAUGCGCUAUACUUUGAAGAAGAUAAGAAAUACCUGAUCAACAUAUAUGUUGACUAUUUUAGGUGCAAAUUUAGAAGUGAUGCUCCAAGUAUGAUAUUGGAUGAAAAGAGCGGCAACUUCAACUAGUUCUGCUAUAUCUGGCUGGCUGAGAGCAGUUAAAGACAUGAUUGUUCCCUAAUAACAUGAAUAAAUUGUGUAAACACCAAAAGUAGCUGCAAGGGAAGGAGAAGUGAAGUAGAUGAAGAGGUGUAAGACCUGUGAACGUCCAACAACAAAGACUUUGGAGCUUGUUGUCAAAUAUAUGCAGCGCAUCAUUUCUGAUAGAUCAAAUAGAGCCAAUUCCUGCCAACUCCAAUCCUAAAAAUCCUAAAAUAAAGUAUAAACAUUAUUCUCUUCUGAUGAAGAUGUGUGAUCAUGACUCCAACGUGUUCCAUGCGCGUUCCCUACCCAUACAUUGAAACCUUCAUCUGCAAGGAUGAAUCCCAGCGAUUCUUCUGGAGAAUUUAAGAACCAUGCAUCACCUGGUUAAGAUCAAGAACAGCCAGUAACCAAGUUCAAUUGAGUUUGAAGCACAUUAGAGCCUAAUUUAAAAUGUAUCCCUUGGAUAUUCAUAACUUUACCCAAUAGUUAGUUUCAAGAAAGGAAAUUUCAACAGAACCUGAAAACUGCAGAUCAGGGAGCACCAAAUAGUGAGCUAUACAUUCAAAUUUUGAAAUGAUUCAAUGAACGGAUCUUGUGGAGUAUAAAACUAAAGUAUUGAAUUUAAAACAUUGAUGAUGUUGGUUUAGUACCAUUGAAUUCUCACUGAUUUUAAUUCAAAACUUUGAACAUCCCACAAAAUGCAACUCACACAAUGCAACUUUUGUAUUCUCAAGGUAAUGGAUUCGGGAAUACUAAAUAUAUAUAUAUAUAUAUUAUUUGGAUUGGAUUCGGGGACGGAUACAAAUCGGGAAUCCCUAUAACCAUAUUCAAAGCCAUAACCAAAUAAUAUUCAGUCUUUUCCAUAUCCAAUAUAUAUUCAAAUUUUCAUACCCAAAUCUGUUGUAUUCGGACCAUUAUCCACAAUUAUCAAGUUUAGCACCUGAAAAAGACAAUUAGAGAAAGUUAGAUGGGUAUUUAGAAAACAAUGAAAGAAAGAAAUGUAAAAAUAAAGAGAACUGUUGAAGAAUGUUCUAAGGUCCAUUUACCUGCCAUGGGCCACGAAAGUAUUUGCUCCGUCACAAUCUUCACAACACUACAUCACAAAAAGCGCUAGAUGAACACCCUAUUUAUGCCACGAAAAACAGAAGAACCAAAUUCAUCAAAUCAUCCACAUAAGUUGAUUAAUUUAGAUUCUUUUUUUUUGGAUCAAAAUUAUUAAUUUAGAUGCGAUGUAACAGAAAAUAGAUCAAAGAUGCCGAUGAAGAACAUAUUAUUGGAUCAAAAUAAUGAUUUCAAUUUUUUUGGGGGGGUCAAAAUUGAAAAAAAGAUUGAAGUUAGUGGAUAAGAAAUGCAUACCACUUCACCGUGGAACUAGUGUUGCUCAAUGAGAAAGCAGAAGUGUGGACGGAAUCAUUUAUCCACAUAGCAUGUCAUCUGAAAACAAAAAUAAAAUGUUACUGAUGAUGAAUGAAGAAUAAAAUUAAGAAACGAGAUUCGCAUUUCAAUAUUUCACAAUAGAAAACGCACCUUAAUCAAUAAUAAGGUAUGGGAUGUGAGCAACCUUGUGCCAGUACUCACCUCUUUCUUGCUUGUAUCUUUGGAGUAACUUGGGGCAAUCAUAAAUGUACAAUGUAUUUAAACAGGGGAGUCCACGAAUCCCUUCUGGCAGUGAUGCCAAAUUAGAGCAAUGAGUAAUUUGAAGGUAAUGCAGUGACGUGAGAUUGCUUAUUUCUUCUGGUAGUGCUGCCAAAUUUGGGAAAUUUUCAAUGUAAAGCGAUUGUAGUGAUGUGAAGUUGGCGAUCCCAUCUGGUAGUGCUGCCCAAUUUGGGAAAUUUCCAAUGGAAAGCGAUCGGAGUGAUGUGAGGUUGGCGAUCCAUUCUGGUAGUGCUGCCAAAUUUGGGAAAUUUCCAAUGGAAAGCGAUCGGAGUGAUGUGAGGUUGGCGAUCCCUUCUGGUAGUGCUGCCCAAUUUGGGAAAUUUCCAAUGGAAAGCGAUUGGAGUGAUGUGAGGUUGGCGAUCCCUUCUGGUAGUGCUGCCAAAGUUGGGCAAUCUUCAAUCCUAAGCGAUUGGAGUGAUGUGAGGUUGGCGAUCCCUUCUGGUAGUGCUGCCAAAGUUGGGCAAUCUUCAAUCCUAAGCGAUUGGAGUGAUGUGAGGUUGGCGAUCCCUUCUGGUAGUGCUGCCAAAUUUGGGCAAUCUUCAAUCCUAAGCGAUUGGAGUGAUGUGAGGUUGGCGAUCCCUUCUGGUAGUGCUGCCAAAGUUGGGCAAUCUUCAAUCCUAAGCGAUUGGAGUGAUGUGAGGAAGACGAUUCCUUCUGGUAAUGCUGCCAGAUUUGGGAAAUUUUCAAUUGAAAGUGAUUGUAGUGAUGUGAGGUUCGCGAUCCAUUCUGGUAGUACCGCCAAAUUUGGGAAGUUUCCAAUGGAAAGUGAUUGGAGUGAUGUGAGGUUAGCGAUCCCUUCCGGUAGUGCUGCCAAAUUUGGGCAAUGGUCAAUUACAAGCUUCUGAAGUGACGUCAGAUUGCCCAUCCCUUCCAACGGUAUAAAUUCCAAAUCCUCAAUUCCCCAGAGUGACAGAUGUGUUAAUUUGGAGAGAUGAGGGGAAGAAGAAGAGGCAGAAACAUCAACACCAACAUCAUGUGUAAUAUCAGAUGCUCCUCUAACAAACAAGGAUUCAACAACCUUCCAGCUGGUAUUCCUAAGUUCUAUGCUCUCCACAUUUGGAUACAGAGGCAUGGAAGUUAGAUUAGGACAAUUCCUGACAAUCAAUCGAGAAAGACGGGGAAAAGAAGGCAAGGACAAAUUUUCCGUUGAUGAAGAAGAAGCAGUGUUAUGAGUAUGGGCCCUCCACCAUCCCUUCAGAACAGGGCACUGAGAUAUAAAGAGAUUUUCCAGGGAGGGAAAGAAUGAGAUCCUCAUCAUCUCAUCACUCAUACUAUUACUGCUCUCUUUCUCUGAUAUGUACUCCAACUUCUCCAAACUUCGAAGUUCAAGUUUCUUAAGGGAAGGCAAAUGAUCCAAGGGUGGAAGAUGUUGGCAUCUCUUACAAUUACUCAAUUUGAGAUUAACAAUAUUAAUGAGAGAAGAAAACCAACUCGCAAACCUCACACCCCUAUAGUUAUACACGGACAACUGCUUUAGAUUAGAAUGGGGUUGCAAUACUUCCAUUGACUUUAUAAUAUCCUCCUCAUCAACGGCCUUUACAUCUUCUUCCUCUUUCCACCACAAUUCCAACGAAUGGAGAUGCUGUUUGUCCUUGAGAGGUGUACCAACAUUUGAUUCUGACACCACAUGCCUCAAAUUCCUUAUCUCCAACUCUCCCCUUAAUUCGUUAAGGGCCCCCAGCUCAGCAAGACCAGCACUACCGCCCCUCCCCAAACAAUUGCUUUCGCUCAAAACAAAUCUAUUCAAUGUACGAACACCAUUCAAUUCACCAAUUCCACGUGGCAUUCCAGUCAAUCCCCAACAGCAUUCCAAGAUGAGAUGCCUUAAGUUGAUCAUUUUUUUAAUGUCUCUAGGCAAUUCCACAAGCAUAGAACACCAACUGAGAUCUAGUGUUUCCAAAUUCGAAAGUCCAACUAUCCAAUCUGGAAGUCUCUUGAUGGGAUUACCAUAAAGAUCAAGAUAUCUCAAAUGUUUCAUCUUUUUAAGACAAUUAGGUAAUGUUGUAAUUCCUAAUUCAUUGAGACUCAACAUACGCAAUGACUUAAAAUUUGAAACAAUUGUAGCACAAAAUGAAUCACAUAAUGACCCAUCUCUAUUUCUGAAAGGAAUUUGGCAAGGAAAAAGAAAAGUUCGUAUCUUAUUUGCUUUUAGCAAGGAAGUUGGUACUUCCCAUUUCAACAAAUCAAUAUCAAAAUUGAAAGACACGUGAUGAAGCUUUUCAUGAAAAUUCUUUUGGUUCAGAUCAACUAUGGCGCUUCUGUCUCCCGACACAAAGUUUGCAAGUUCGUUCAUGAGAUCGUGCAUUUUACAACUUUUUAUUAUACCAAACUCAUCCUGUUCUUCUUGAAAAAACGAUCUCCACAACAACUCCCUAAAAUAUUCAUACGCAACAUCCUCUAAGCACUCGUUUUUGUCGGAUGACUUAAUGAACCCUUGCGCCACCCAAAGUUUAAUCAAUCUUUGUACAGAGAUCUCAUAAUCAGGUGGGAACAUGCUACAAUAAGCAAAACAAUGUUUCAACUGUGAUGGGAGCACAUCAUAACUUAGUUUAAGUGUCGGUAAAAUUUCAUUUUCUUUCUGGCUUAUUUUUGAAAGUUUCUUUUCUCUGAAAUUCAACCAAUCUAUUUCAUGAUCUUUGGUGCGCAACAUUCCACCCAUCGUCCUUAUAGCGAGUGGAACUCCUUGACAUUUUCUUGCAACCUCCAUCCCAAUUGCCUUAAUUGUUGAAUUCUCUGGCUCUUUUCCAUCUUUAAAAGCCAUUUUCUUAAAUAAAGACCAACUAUGCUCUUCAUUCAAACCCCUUAAGAUGUAUGGUUUAGCUGUGUCUGAUAUCGUCACAACAAUUUCACUACGAGUGGUAAUUAGUAUUCUACUACCUUUUCCCCCACCCAUUAACAAACACUUCAAGCUAAGCCAUUUUUCCAGAUCAUCAUUCCACACAUCAUCCAACACCAGUAGGUACUUCUUCCCGUCUACUUUUUUUCUAAGAUCAUUUUGCAACUGCUCUAUCCCAUUAUGUUCAGAUUGAAGGAUUUUCUUAACAACUAUAUCCAACUCAAAUACGUUAGAGACACAUGUCCAUAUUUUCAACUCAAAAUGAUUUUGAAUCACAUCAUCGUUGAAUAUGAGUUGGGCAAGUGCAGUUUUCCCCAAUCCUCCAAAUCCAACUAUGGAAAUGGUUGACACAUUCUCAGUUGAUAUGGGAUCCAACAAAAGUUGGAUUAUUGCCUUUUCAUCUUCACCUCUCCCUAUAAUAAUAUUUUCCUUAGGAACAAAUGAGUGACCGACCCUCUCUCUCAUUAUAAAGUGUGUAUCUACACAAUUAUCUUUUAAGUCAUUGGGUCUACGAGAUGCAACUUCACUAAGCUUCUUGUUAAUAUCUUUUAUCUUAUGACCCAUCUUUAGCCCAAAAACAAGUUGAUUUGAGCUAGAAAAGAAAAGACGCACCUGUAAGAAUUUAAGUAAACAUAAUCAUUAAUUUGAUAGAAUUGUAUUAAUUAAGUUAAUAGAGUUUUGUAACGGUAAGUUAUAUGAAACAUUCAAGACAAUAAUAUAGAGGACUUUUGCAGUUAAUUAUGAGUUACUGAGAGACUUAUUGUAUUCCUAAUAGGUUGAUAUCAAUAGGCGUAUGUGACUAUGAUAGGGUGCUACGAGAUGCAUUCUCACCAAACCUCUUGUUAAUAUUUUUUAGGGUUAUUCUCAGUUUGUAAAAUGAAGUUUCGUGAUUUUCAACAUAUGAUACAUGAAGUUUUUUUCAUUUAAGAGUCAUACCUCAAGUCUUAAUUUUAGGACAGUCUCAUGCAUCCUUUAAGUUGUCAAAACCUUUGUUAACUAAUGAUGCGGUGUCCACGUGAACAAUGACAUGACGCUAUGUAUCAAUAUGGUGCCACGUAAACAUAAAAAAUUAAAAAAUUAAAAAAAAAAACCCUAAAAGUUUGGCCCUACAUAUCCCUCACGCACUUGCCUCUCUCUUUCUCACGCCAUUGAUUUUUUUUCGGUCAUUAGUUAAAUUUGGGGGUGGGGGGAAUCGAACCUUGGAUGAGGUGGGAGUUUUCUUGGCUCUAGUGCCACUGCACUGGCCCCCAUCCUCAGGCCCAUUAUAAUUUAUUCAAGCUCUCUCAGAUUACAAAAACCCUAAUCCCAUGUGAAUCCAAUUUCACAGGGAGAUUAAUUAACCCUUAAUCUCAAUCCUUAAUCUGCCAUGAAUUUACACUAACAGCCCAGAAAUUCUAAUCCUAAUUUCUCAAUUUUCCAGUUUCUGCAAAUCUCCCAAUUUUUCCAGUUUCCAGUCUCUGCAAAUCUGAGCUUGGCGUAGGAGUGGGGACGGCGGGUUCUGGUUGUUUUUGAGUGACGGCGCCUCCUUCUUCAAGUUCCCACCACCCUCAACGCCCAAUCGAAUCUCGUCCCUAUGAUCCUUUCCCUCUUCUCCCGCUUCAAACCCAAACCAACAAAAAACAAUAGAUUGACCAAAAUCACAAGAACAGAGUGAGAGAAAGCAAAGAGCGAACCUUGCUUGUUCUUCUUGAAGGUGCCUUUAGAGUUAAAGCCAAAACCUUCAAGCCGCCCUCUUUUACGAGUAUCCAUAAUUCCAGAAUCCAGAUCGAGAUCCGAAACGCAUCCAACCAACUACAAAACGACAACGGAAAAAGCAAAGAAACGAUGAAAGUAUCCCUAAUUGGUGCCUGGGUCCGAUUGGGCGUUGAGGGCGGUGGGAACUUGCGAGAUAUGGGUUCGGUGGGUGAGGACAUGGUGGGUUUGGGUUUGGGUCUGGGUCUGGGUUGGGGUGCAGGAUAAGGAGGAGGAAGAAGACGGUGGGGGUUAGGAGAGGAAUGGUGGAGAAGGUGGUGGUUGUGGAGACAAAGGGGGAGAGGGAGAGGGAGUCGAAAAAGAAAGGGGGAGAGGAAGGUUAAGGUUUAUUUUUUCAAAUUUUAAACUUUUAAAAUUUAAAGUUUUUAAGUUUUUAUUUUUUUAACUUUUAUUGUUCACAUAGCCUUACAUUAAGGCAUGAUGUUCAAUCAUUAUCUAUAUGGAUGCCACGUCAUCAGUUAAUAGAGGUUUUGACGGAAAAUUUAACGGAUAUAUGAGAUUGUCCCAAAAUAAAGAUUUGAGGUAUGACUCUGUAAUGAAAAAAAAAUCAUGUACCAAAGGUUGAAACCACGAAACCUUAUGAUAGUAAACUGAGAUUAAUUCUAUUUUUCAUUUUAUGAUCCUAUUUUUAGCCCAAAAGCAAGCUGAUUUGAGUAAGUGAGAGAAGAAGGUGCGUACCUUUUUUGACAUCUUUGUAUUUCUAGGCACCAUUUGUGCUUCAGUAUUAAACUCAUCCAGUACGUCAUCGGCUUCAUAGACUGCAUUUUCUACGCUUUCGAGCCACAGUUUGACUUCAUUGUUGGCUUGCUUUUGCUCAGCGUCAAGAAGAACAGCUUGAAAUCCUGCAACUGUCUCCUUAAGCUUCUGGAACUCAUCUUUGACACCCCAAAUCAAUCCAAUCUCUUUGAAAGUAAGGGAGCCUAGCCUCUCAAUGAUCCCUCCUGCAACGUUGAAGAGAACUCCUUCCGCCAUUUCUUGGAUUCAGGACAAGAAAAAACAAAAAUGUAGUGAAGUAGAAGCUUGUAAGUGAGAAUAUGGUUUUGCGUAGUGAAAGAUUGGCUUCUCCUGCUAGUCUUUAUAUGCAGCCACUCACAUAUAAUUGCAUUUAUAAAAUGAAAACGAAGACCGGUCAAUAUGUUACUGCUGGUCUCAAUAAUUGAAAGCUGAUGGUUUGCUAGGGACAUGGAUACUCUCCAGAUCCAUGUGUUCUAUAUGCAGCCACUCACAUAUAAUUGCAUUUAUAAAAUGAAAACGAAGACCGGUCAAUAUGUUACUGCUGGUCUCAAUAAUUGAAAGCUGAUAGUUUGCUACGGACAUGGAUACUCUCCAGAUCUAUGUGUUCUAAUCCCAGGGAUUCAUCAAUCUGAAUCAUUAAAAUUUAAUUUAAUAGUUAAAAAAGAUUCACUUUAAAAGUUAUAAUCAUUUUAAUUGUUUAAUUAAAUUUCAAUGAUCCAAAUAGGUAGAUCUCUAAGAUUAUGACACAUGAAUCCCGAGAGGAUCAAUGUCCGUUUGCUAGUGCUCUAGUAAAUGGAGAUGGAUUCUCUACUCUCUCACUUCUUAUAUACCUCCAUCAUUCUCUGUUUUUGUGGUCACGAUUUAACCACAUCAAUAUUUUAUAUUAUUAUUAUUUUUUAUCUUAUUAUCUUUAUUAAAAAAUUAAUAUAAAAUAUUAACGUGAUUUAACUGUGAACAUACAAACAGUGAAUGAUGAAAGUGUAUGAGAAGUUGGAUGGAAGAUUGAAUCAUUCUGCUUUAGUCUAGUGGCUUAAUAAAAUUUUGAUUGAUUGAUUACAAUCAGACAAACUUGAAAAGACAAUCAUUCUACUUUAGUCUAGUGGCUUAAUAAGGUAUUGAUUUUUUUCUUUUUUUGUCAUUAGUUAAGCUUGGGGGUGGGAGGAAUCGAACUUGGGUGAGGUGGGAGUUUCUUUGGCCACUGCAACUAGGCCCCCAUCCUCUAAUAAGGUAUUGAUUGAUUACAUUACACCAUUCCAUACAUAAAAUAAAAAUAAAGAGUUCUCACAAUCUUUAUAUUGGAGAUGGAAUCUCUUAUCUUCCACUUCCCAUACACUUUCAUUCUUCACUGUUUAUGUGGUCACGAUUAAACCACGUUAAUAUUUUAUAUUAAUUUUUUAAUAAAGAUAGUAAAACAAAAAAUAAUAAUAAUAUAAAAUAUUAACGUAACUUAACUGUAACCACACAAACAACAACAAAUGAUGGAAGUGUAUGGAAAGUGGGAGAGUAGAGAAUCCAUCUCCUUAUAUAUAAAGCUACAACCUUUUUUGGGAUCACAAGCUUGACUUGAACAAAAAAAAUUGAACAAAAAUGUCCCUAAAACAAAAAAUUUCAAAAGCAACAAAAAAUAAUGUACCAAAUAAUGCAGGAUAUUUUCAUCAUUUUAACAAUAUUUUUUUAAUAAUUAAUUUUUUUUGUACAAUUAUUAUUUUUAAUUAGUACUUCACAAUAUGCUAGUAAUAAUGUGAUUCAAUCAGUUGUUCAUUAAAUAUUAUUUUUUCUAUUUUUAAACACGUUCAAAACAUUUUAAGAGGAGUAUAAUGUUGGUUAUAAAAAAAAUGUUUUUCGCACACACAUAAUAAUGUGAUUAAAUUAGUUGUCAAAUGAUUUUUUUUAUUUUUGAACAAACGAUACUAUCUACAAUAGAAUGUAGAUGGAAAUUGAAAGAUCGAUUUUAUUAUGUGAAUUCAGCUGGUUGAUUGGUUUGUGAGGGGUUUUUUUUUAUAGCAUGAUUUAAGAUUAUUCAUUUACUUCAAAUAUUUGACUUUUCUUUUGUCAAUUCACGCAUAUAAAUAUAUUUAAAAUAUGUAAGUUGCGCGCAACACAGCGUGAUUCAAAAAAUACCUUCUGCACGUGCGUGAGCGCGUGCAUGAAAGCUAGUUGUAGAUAAUGGCAUCUAUGCUUUGACAUUUUAGCUUUCAUACCCCAUGUUAUCAUGACCAAAUCUACUACUGAUGCAAUGCAACAUCAGCUACCACUUGGCCAAUAUUUUCCUACCUGAGCGAUCAGCUUGUAAACCAUGUCAUAUAACAUAUCACGGAUUUGGAUCUCAUCCGAAUUCAAGUUGUGAGAAUCUUAAGGAUCUUCAUAUCUUAACCAUUUAUCAUGCAUUGUGCGAUUAUAAAUUAUUUUAAAUUUAUUUAUUUAAAAUUAAACAUAAAUAAUACCUAAUAAAAACUGAUUGCACGAUUUACGAUAAAUGAUCAUUACGCGAGAAUCCUUUGAAUUCCCGAGUAUCCUCAUCCAUAUAUCACAACUACAGUAUACUGAGCAUUCUACUACUCAUGCAAUAUCAAACAUCUUCGUGGACUAUAUUGUGGCCCAUUCAUUGGUCACGGUCUAAACCUCCAGGUCAGAUCGUGCGGCGGAGACUGAUAGAGAUAAAAGUGUGAUUGGGAUAUUGCCAGAAGAUUUGAGAGUGAGUUACGCUUCUUCGUUUGAUAGCAGAACUGUUCUGAUUAUUUAUAGUUAUCGAUAGUACUGAUUGAAUUUAUUGACAUUAAAUACAAUAUCAGAUUAACAAUCGUAUUAUUUAUAAUUCAAAGUAUUAUUACAUAAAAUUGAUGAUUAAUGGAAAUAAAUUUUUACACAUUCACAACCACCAAAUGGGUCAAAUUAAAAAUGAACAGAAUCUUCCCUUAUUUAAAUCAAACUUAAAAAAAAUUGAAAUCAUUUGUCUUUCCAGAUCUCUCCGCCGCACACCCCAACACCCUCACUUCCCCAGAUUUCUCUUAACCGUUAAUUAUGACAUUAAUUUAAGGAAAAUUAAGCAUUAGACCUUUGACUGGAUCAUCCUCAUGAGAUUUUACAACGAUUUUUUAUUUUAAAUAUGCAUUCCCAAUCCGGAAAUCAAAACAUGCUUCGAUUUAGAACAACGAAACAGAAGCAGUAGAUAAUGUCAAACCAUAAUCUGAAACUUCAGAUGAAACUAAUGCCUCAUACGAAAACAGCAAAACUCCCCAAAGAGCGGCCUUACUUCUCAGAAGAAUUAGGCCCCCUCUUCUUCCCGAAUCCAACAACGGCGGUGACGAAUCUCCGGUUGUACUGCAAGCGCUUGUGGGCGCGGCCUCUGGGCUUCUUCUUCUUGUCUUGCUUGGCGACCUUCGGGGUCUGACCCCUGACCUUCCCGGCACGCGCGAGCGACCCGUGAACCUUACCCAUGGCUGAUUGCAGAUGCUGCUGCUAUUUGCCGGCAGCUUUUACAACGAUUGGACGAAAAUGAUAAACAAAAUUAAAAUCAGGGGAGCAAAGUCGUUUUUGUCAAGCCUGCGUGCCUGACGGUGCCGGCAAGAACGACGACGGGGAGAACGACGACGGCGAGAGGGACGACGGAGACAGCAGGUGUCGUGGAGAACCAAGUGAGAGAGAGAGGGAAGGGAACGGACUAAUAAUCCCCUCCUUUUGGAAGGAUUAGUAGAGUGAUUAAAUUAAUUCGACCACUAUUUAAUACUGUCAACAGUAAUGAAGGAAAGUACAGAGAGAAAAUGUAGAGAGAGGAAGGAGAGAGAGUAAAAGAAUGUUAUGUAUAUUCCAAGAUAUCAGUCACCAUAUGUUUACAUCCCUUAUAUAUAAAUACAAUCACCUUAUAACUAACUCCAUAUUCUCUACUCUACUAAUGACACCUGGCACUAACCUAAGUCAUUCCCUAACAUUCCCCCUCAAUCUUAUGAAGGGAAGAACCCAACAUAAGAUUGGAACAAUGAACCUGAAACUGAGAGGAACAUAAACCUUUGGUGAGCACAUCAGCACAUUGUUCUGUGGUAGAGACAAACUGAAGCAUGAUUGUCCCUUGUUGAACUCGUUCACGAACAAAAUGGCAAUCUAUCUCGAUGUGCUUGGCUUUGGAAUGAAGGAUAGGAUUAGUAGCCAAUGCCAUAGCAGAAAGAUUAUCACAAUGAAGAAGGGGUACAGAUUGACAUGAAAUAUGCAGAUCCAGUAACAGCUGUUGAAUCCAUACUAUUUUAGCAGUAGUGGUGGCCAUAGCACGAUAUUCGGCUUCAGUAGACGAGCGACUCACUGUAUUGUUUCUUGGAACUCCAAGAAAUAGGAUUAGAACCCAAAAACACAACAAAACCAGUGGUGGAACGUCGGUCAUUGGGGUCUCCAGCCCAAUCAGCGUCAGUAUAUGCUUUAAUAUCAAGAGAUCCAGGUGUAAAAUGGAUACCAAGAUGCAUAGUGCCACAGAGAUAUCGUAAGAUCCUUUUAACAUCAAUGAAAUGAUCUUCAAGAGGAGCAUGCAUAAACUGACAAACCUGAUUCACGGAAUAGGCUAUGUCAGGUCGAGUAAAAGUUAGAUAUUGAAGAACCCCAACGAUACUCCAAUAUUUGAAAUGAUAUGAGAGUAAGGUACUGCCAUGAGUCAACAGCUUGUGAUUAGGAUGACAUGGAGUAAGGCACGACUUGCAAUGGAACAUAUCUGCCUUGUGUAACAAAUCCGUGAUAUACUUGGAUUGAUGGACAAAAAUACCACUGGAACGAUACUCAAUCUGUAAACCAAGAAAAUAAUGUAGAAGACCAAGAUCUUUCAUAUCAAACUAUGCAGUCAACUGUUGUAUCACACUUUGAACCCCAGCAACACUAUUGCCUGUAAGAAUAAUGUCGUCCACAUACAACAAAAGAACAACAAUAGAUUGAUUCUCAGACUUGACAAACAAGGAUGGAUCAGCAUAAGAGGAUUUGAAGCCCAAAGUGAGAAGAAAUUUAGUAAAACGCUCAUUCCAGGCUCGGGGAGCAUGCUUCAACCCAUAUAGAGAUCUUUGGAGUUUACAUACAUGUGUGGGGUGAAGAGGAUCUACAAAACCCUGAGGUUGAGCCAUAUAGACUUCCUCGUCAAGAAAGCCAUGUAAAAAAACAUUUUUGACAUCCAAUUGUUUGAGUUGUCAACCAUUAGAAGCAACUAAAGAAAGGAGAAGUCUCACUGUGGUAGGUUUAACCACAGGACUAAAAGUCUCAUAAUAAUCUAACCCAGCCUCUUGUGAAAAUCCCUUAGCCACUAACUUGGCUUUGUACCGAGCAACAGUACCAUCAGGAUGUUUUUUUUAUCUUAUAAAUCCAUUUACACCCAACCAAUUUCUUAUCGGGGGGAAGAGGAACCAAGGUCCAAGUUUUCUGCUGAAGAAGAGCAUCUAUUUCUUCCUGCAUUGCUCCUCGCCACUCUGACAAUUUACAUGCUGCAGAGUAUGACUGAGGUUCUUGAGCACCAGAUUGAACGUCAACAGAAAAGGCCUGCUUUUUCUUAAAAAUGCCCGACUUGGAUCGAGUCUGCAUAGGAUGAGAGUUAACAGCAACAACAGAAACUUGUUGCAACUCAGACACUUGAGACAGAUGAGUAUCAGGAUGUAACUCAGACAUAACUUGACCAGAAAUAGCUGCACUGGACAUGUGAUCCAUGGAAAUAUCCCCUGGUAGUGAGGGAAUGGUACCAGAAGAAACAUCCCCUGGUAGUGAGGGAAUGGUACCAGAAGAAACAAACUCACUUGGUGCUGAAGAACAUACUGGAGGACUAUGCUGAGAACUGGAAUCCCUGGAGAACACUUGUGGAAACGGUAUAGAUGCUAAAGGAGGAUGAUGAAAAGUAUUGGAGGGUACGGUGGAAGACAUGGAAGCCACCUUGGAACCAGAGGCAAAAUGACUAGCCAUAUAAGUCGCAGGAAAAUGACGUUCAUCAAAUAGAACAUGCCGAUAGACAAUUAGUUUAUUGUCUUUAGGAUUAAAGCAGAUACACCCUUUAUACUAAGCAUCAUAUCCCAAAAAUAUGCAUUCACUGGUCUUUGGUGCAAGCUUAUGAGAUCUAUAAGGCUUCAAUGACGGAUAACAAGCACAACCAAAAAUCUUCAAAUGAUCUAGUUUGGGUGAAGAAUGAUAUAACACUUCAAAGGGAGACUUCAUAGACAAGACCGGUGUAGGCAUUCGAUUAAUAAGAUAUACUGCUGUGGCACAUGCAUGGUACCAAAACUGAGGAGGAAGACAGUGUUGAAGAAGAGUGAUAGCUGUCUCGGUAAUAUGCCGAUUUUUCCUCUCUACGAGCCCAUUUUGUUGAGGAGUGUAAAGGCAAGACUUAUGAUGCAAAAUACCCUUGUCCUUAAGAAAAUUCUGAAAAUGAAUCCCAAUAUACUCUCCACCACCAUCACUUUGCAAUAUUCUGAUAUGAACAUUAAAGAAAUUUUGCACAAAAGCUUGAAAUUGGACAAACAUACCAAAAACAGCAGCUUUAUUCAUGAUAGGAAAUAUCCAUGUGUACCUUGUACAUUCAUCAAUAAAGGACACAUAAUACCGAUAUCCUUCACUAGACAAACUAGGUGACGGAUCCCAAACAUCAGUGUGAAUGACUUCAAAAGGAAUUACAGACUUUGAAGCCAAAUAAGGAAAAGGGAGAUUGUCAAAUUUGCCUUGUAAACAAGCUUUACAAGUAUAGGAAGAAUCGAGACACUGAAAAGGAAUAUCGGCCUUAGAAAGAGCUGCCUUGACUACUGAAGGAGCAGGAUGACCCAAUCUGCAAUGCCAGAGUGCAGAAUUUAUUCUUUGUCCAAUAUAUGCUGCGGGAGAAACAUGAGAAGACUUCAUUACUGGUAAAGGAUAGACAACAUUGUUACUCAAUCAUCGAUACAGAAUUUCCUGAGUGACCUUGUCCUGUAUGCACACAGAAGACUCAUCAACAAUACACCUACAAUUAUUAUCCUUGCACAGUUGAUGCAUAGACAAUAAAUGUUGUGAUAAUUGAGGUACAUGUAAGACAGAUUUGAGACAAAGAUUAUGAGACUGUAAUGGAAGAGUAGAAUGUCCAAUAUGAGCAAUAUGUAAAACUUCUCCAUUAGCACCAAUGACAGUAUCAGAGGAUGAGUAAGGAUCAGCCAUUUGAAUGUUAGACAAAUCAGAAGUCAUGUGAUGUGUGGCCCCUGAGUCAAGUAACCAAUACUCUUGCUGUGGUGCAGAGGGAGAAGAAGUAGACUGCGCAGUCGUAGCAACCGGAGAAUGAUUUUGAGAGCUCAUCAUUGCAGGAUGAAACUGAGGAGGAUGAACCACAUGGGCAGGUGGAAAUGGUGUAGGAAAAGUAGCCUGUUGAGAGGGUUGAAAUUGCUGUGGAGAGAACCCUUGUGACGAUGAAGAAAACUGGGGAGGCACCAUCGAAGAAAAACCACUAUUUUGAUCAAAACAAGGUGCAGCAGUAUGCCCUUUCCGAUUGCAAAUUUGACACCCUUUUUGAAAACAAUGAAGAGCACUAUGACCUUUCCUAUUACAUAUUUGACAAAUCUGCAAAGGUUGAUACACUUGCUCAGUAGGCAGAGGAGAAUGGACAGACUGAAAAGAAGAGCCCUGAUGAAAAUUAUUUGAUGAUGACUGUUGUGGAAAUGAAGCACCAGUUUGUUGAGGUUGCUGAAAAUUAUUAUAAAAUUUCUUGCCUUUCCCCUUUGGUUUGAAGUUAUUCCCCCUGAAAUUGUUAUAAGUCCCUGAACCACCCUGAGAUACAAAAGCAAGAGGACUAUUCAUCUGGAACAUUUGAUUAGGAAAUGGCAUUUGUUGAAACAUUGGGGUUGAAGAGAUCGGAAAAUGGGAACCAUUGAAAGAAUGCUGAGAUGCAUUAUGUGCGGCACCACCAGAUGAUCCCCCAACAUCAUAGACUGAAUUAGAAGCAUACAUAGCAGACAUUAUAGGAGCCUGUUUAAUAACUUCGUCCAAAGUAGCCUCUUCAGCUUUCAAUUGGGAGCGCAAUUCUUUUAAAGACACAAGAUUCUCUCUGCCCCUUAUAACUGCCUUGAUAGUAUUAAACUCAUGUGGAAGCCCUUUAAGAGCAACAAUUACAAUAUCCUCAUCGGAAAUAAACACUCCAACAGCAGCAAGUUGAUCCCUACAGUCCUUGAUUCACUGCAGAUACAAAUCAAUAGACUCGGACCCUUUCCUUAUGUUCUGCAGGUCAAUCUUCAUUUGAACAAUACUGGUUCUAGUCAUGUUAGAAAACUGUUCCCUCAGAUUAUUCCACAUUUCCUGUGAACUUUGACAACCAAUAACACAGGACAGAGCAGCAGUGGACAAUGUAGCAGUGAUGAGAGUCAUGAGAGCUUUAUCAUGAAUCUUCCAUACUUUGUAAUCAUCAGUAAUAUGAUGUGAAUGAGUAACAGUUUCGUCCUCAGAAUCAGAAUCCUGAUAUUUAUCUGGGCAAGGAAUGGAUCCAUCCACAAAGCCAAAAAUUCCAUUUCCCUCUAAUAAAAGUCCCAUUUGAAAAUUCCAGGUAACAUAAUUGGAAUCAUCCAAUUUGACAGUGACAGUGUUACCAACACUAGGAAUCAGCGAAGAAAUUGGUGACUGAGUAAGUGCUAAUUGAGCAACUGUAACCAUGAUGACUGUAAAAGAUCAACGUAUCGUCAAGACUCAGAAAACAACCAAAACACACAAUUUGUCAACAGGAUUCUCCACAGACGAACAACAAUACGUAUGCAAGCAAGAGGCACAUCAAGAAACCAGAUCAAGCAACGCAAUAACCUCCAAUCAAGAUAAUAUCAAGAAAAUCUCGACAAUCCAACUGAGCAACAAUCGCAAAUGAGCGAGACAAAAUGACGAUAAAACUACACCACAGUGCCUUCAAGAAACACACAACAGCAACAAUUAACGAAGGAAUUUCAAGAAGAACAAUCACCGACCGACAGACGAAAAAGCCCCAAAUUUUUUAGGGUUGCAGCAACCGACUGAGAUCCUCGACGACGAAACGAGACGAGCAAGACGAGAACAACGAUUACCAAGAUGAAAGCACGAACAAGACGAGCGGAAGCACAGAGAUCAGGAACCGACGACGGUGUUACCCUUUGCCGGCGAAGAUACCAUGUCAACAGUAAUGAAGGAAAGUACAGAGAGAAAAUGUAGAGAGAGGAAGGAGAGAGAGUAAAAGAAUGUUAUGUAUAUUCCAAGAUAUCAGUCACCAUAUGUUUACAUCCCUUACUUAUAUAUAAAUACAACCACCUUAUAACUAACUCCAUAUUCUCGACUCUACUAAUGACACCUGGCACUAACCUAAGUCAUUCCCUAACAAAUACGAGAGGGUAUCAAAAAAUCGGAUCUGUAUUAUUAGUCAUAUCUCCUUGUACGAUGCACCAAACGAGGCUUUAGUUUGUUAGGAUACUGUGAAACUGAUGAAUACCAUCUCACCGUACUUUUUUAAUAGCUAAGAAAUCAAUACAAGAAAACUUUCAGAUGUUCCGCUCUUUCACUCUGAACCUCUCGAACCUCUCCUUCAUACUUUCACCUGCUACAUUUUCUGUAGAUUAACAGAGACCUCAUUGGAUUACGGGACUAAAUAAUGGAUUAGUUCUAAUUUGGUGACAACUGAGGAUAAAUUGUGUCCUAAUUUGUUUCGUGGUGGGUUAAAAUCAUCAAUCAGUGGGCCAUAUAGCACGUCUAUUUGAAUAGUAAUUUGAUAAAAAUAAUGGGAAAUAAUCUUCUUCGGAUCAUUUCUACCAAAUUCAUCAAGUCAUCAAUCAAGAUUUUUGAAAUUUAAUUCGGUGGAAGGGAUUUUCCAAAAUAACGUGUGUGUUGUUUUUAGGGCUGGAAAAAAAUCCCAAAAAUCCCAAACCAAACCAAAAAAAUCCCGAUCCCAAACCAAAAAAAUCCCAAACCAAAAUUCCCGAAAUUUUCAGGACGUAAUCCCAAACCAAACCGAAAGUUUCGGUAUGGGAUUCGGUAUUGCAUUUCAUUUUUUCGGUAUUCCCAUACCGAACCGAAAAAAAAAAAAUAUAUAUAUAUAUAUAAUUUUUUUAAUUAUAAGAGAAUUAUUUCAACCAUUGAUUGUUUUGGAUUUAAUCUAUGCCGUUGAUUUGUUUUUAGGUCAUAUCACAUUUCAGUUCCUCCGUUCAUUCGAUCCCUCAAGAAUCCAAUCCUACGACCAAUCCUAUUCCUACCAGGCCUAUUACCCUACAAUCACCCCCAACAAUCCGACCACCAACAACAAUACCAACAAUACUACAAUCCCACCACCACCACCCAGGAUUACGCCACCGCCCACCACCACCAAUACCAUCAAGAACCCAUUUCGAUUCAUCCUCCCGGGGUCCCACUUCCGCCCCAACAGCCACAAACGGCGGAUCCUGACCCGACCCAUUUGCAGAAUGCGUAUUACCCACAUGGGGUUGCGGAGGAUCAGAAGCAGCAGGUGGAUUCGAGCUCGGGCUAUGGUGGGUUGAAUCCAGCGGCCGUGGCAGCGCUUUCGCAGCUCUCGCAUCUUACUGGGAACAUCGAGGCGGCCCAGCGGACUGCUCAACCCCCGGUAAGUGGUUGGUUUUCUUAUUUCUGGUUUCAAUUUAGCAUUUUUUGUUAUUAGGCACUGGGAAUUCUUGUUCUUAUAAUAAUGCGAUGCCUUUUCUCUUUAUCAGUCCAGUCUUAUGAAUUUGAUGUGUAUAAUCUACUUGUAGUUCGGGGCAUGUUUUCGCAUUUAAUUUGAUUUGUAGAGUGUGAACUUUGUUUUAAAACAUGUUAUAUAUUUUCUCGAAUGUCUUCUUUCAUUUGGUGAAAUUCGGGUGGGGGUGAAUUUAUGGAACUUUUGGCUUUCGAUAUGAAGGUUAUAUCUUGACAAAAUUCGUGCUAUUUAGUUUUGACUGUAACUAGAUAAGCAAAAGGAGUGGAACUUGAGUCGCAGAAACUGAAGGUCAUGUCUUCUUGACAAAAUUCGUGCUAUUUAGUUUUGGCUUUCGAUAUGAAGGUCAUGUCUUCUUAUUUGAUUGAAUCAAGUUAAGCCCAUAUGGGGCUGUUACAUUCAGUGGGCACGGCCCAAUAUUAGGUUUUUGUCCAAUUGGACCAAUAUUAGCUUUUUUUUGUCCAAAAGCCCGAAAGCCCAAAAUUAUUUCGGGAUUCCCGAUUUGUCCCGAAAUCCCGAAAUUAUUUCGGGAUUCCUGAAAAUUGGGAUUCCCGAAAAUUUGGUUUGGGAUCGGUAUUGAAAUUGGGAUUCCCGAAAAUUUCGGUAUGGGAAUCGGGACAAGAGUUUCGGUAUGGGAUCCCAUACCGAACCACCCCUAGUUGUUUUAAGUCGUAACCACCGACAACAAACGUCCAAGCGCAGUGGUGGACACGGCAUCGCCUACCACCUUUGAAAAUACAAAGUUUAGUUUGAACUUGAGAAGUCGAAGCCACGCCAUUUUUCGCUUGGUUGAAUUUUCAUGGGGUACAUGUCACAUUCAUCAACUAUUUACAUUUUUUUCUUUUCAAAGACAUCUUCAUCCGCUCAUUUCAACCAUGUGUAUUCUAGAAAUGUUGGCUAAGUUAUGAAUUACCACAAUCCCACAUGGUGACCAUGACUGGUAGGCACUCAUUUCUUGAAUCACUAGCUAUUCUCAUUCGUGUUCGUCGCCAGUCAAACGAGGCUGCUCAUCGACUUGCACGUUUUGCUUUUCUAUCAGCUCAAAUUGUAAUUGGGAUCGCGUUCCUCCCGACCGGAUUUCAGAUAUUUUGCUUGAAGAUCUAUCAUGUAUAGCUACUCUUUUGAAAUGAUAAUCUAUCGCCUUUUCAUAAAUUUAAAAAAAAAAAAAGCAAAAUUUUUUUUGUGAAAUUUCAUUGUUGUUCUUAAUUUUUUUUUGUUGUGAUAGAAAACAAAAAUAUAUUUUCAUCAUUUUUUGGUUGACAAAUAGGGUUUUAUUAAUGUGUAGUUUAGAUAAUUUUAAAGAAUAUUUAAACUAUAAUCCAUAAUAAUAAUAAAAUUUAAAAAAAAUUGGUGAAUGAAAACUCCACUUUUAUUGAAUAAUAGUUGGUAAGAUAACACACUUAAAUGUCAUAUUUAUGUCACUUAGUACCAUGGUCUAGUGAUAUUCUCUCUACUCUUGUAAGUAAGAAGUCUUAAGUUCGAUUUUCGACAAAGACGAGUUUGAACUACAUUAUUACUAGCCCAUUAUGAGGUUAAACUCACCUCCUCCUCUUAGACCAUCUCCAACCCUUGGGCUAAAAGCCAAAUUUUUUAGCCCGGAAAAUUUGGCUUUUAGCCCAGAAACAUCUUUUCUGCUCCAACCCUUCUGGCCUAAAAUUUUAGCCCGGAAUUAUUAAAGAAUGAACUUAGGCUAAUUUUUUCUUAAAUCAAUAUUUAAAAAAAUAAUAAAUAUGUAGAUUAUUGUAAAUUAAUUUUAUGAACAUUUUAAUCUAAAAAAAUUUAAAUUCCGAUAAAUAUUGAAAAAUCAUUAAAUUUUUUACAAAGCAAACUACUUUCACCAACCUUUCAACUUUCACCAACCGUUCAUCUUUCACCAACCGUUCAACUCCAAACUUUCAACUUUCACCAACCAUUCAACACCAAACUUUCAACUUUCACCAACCGUUCAACACAAAAUUUUCAACUUUCACCAACCGUUCAUCAAUCAUUCUCUAUAUAAACACAGGUCCAAUAUUAGUUGAUCACACAAUCUUUCAACCUUCAAUCAUCCUCUAUAUUCACCAAUCUUUCAACUUUCAAAGAGUUUUUUGUUCCCUAAAAAUUCUCAAUAUCUCAUCAAUGAGUGAUAGAAGAAGGCGUAGCAGGGCAAUGGAGAUGACACAAUACCAAGCAAGGCUUGACAUUGAGGAUUUAGAACUGAUCAACGCCGAAGCUGAACUUGUAAACUCGUUUAUGCAAUAUGAGCACCAUGGCGAAUCUAGCCGUCGUGGUUCUCUCACGGGGCGUUCAUUCGUGCAGCGUGAUAGAGAAGAGUGUCAUGAGCAAUUUAAAUCCAAUUACGACCUCUAACAUGCUCUCUUGCCAUGUUGAACAAUUUGGAAAUGGAAAGAAAUAAUAGAAAGAUAAAUUGGAAGAAUAGUAGGAGAAAAUUGAAUUUUGUGUGGAUGUUUGAACAAAUAGAUAGGUAUUUAUAGAUUUUUGGGGUAAAUUUUGUGUUAAAUAAAUUUAUUUAAUUAUUUUAGCCGUUGGAUUUAAAUUUGGGCCGUUAGAUUUGAGUAUAUUCAAUCUCAACCGUUGGAUUCAAUGUAUUUUAAAAUAAUAUAUUUUUUAAAAAUAAAGUUUGAAUCUGGACCGUUGGAUCAACCAACGGUCCUUAAAUCCUGCCCGUUUGAUUUCGAAAAGAGCCGUUGGGGCUCUGAAGAGUGGCCGACAAGGCCUGACGGUGGGACCCCCUCUUGUCGGGCUCCGGUUGCAAGUUGUGGGCGUGGGGCGCGUGCGCGAGUCCACAGGCCGAGAGUGGCCCAAAACUGGGCGAGUCCACGCGGCUGGGGGGGGGGAAUUUGGCCCAACUUUAGCAUUCCCCUUUUAGCCCAAUAUUUUAGCUUGGGUUGGGGGGUGUUUGGGGGGAAUUUUGGGCUAAAUAUUUGGCAUUUAGGCCAGGGUUGGAGUAGGUCUUAGUAUAGAUAAUAUCGUUUGUUAAAAAAAAAUAUAUAUUUAUAGCACCACUUAGGCCUAAAAAUUCUUUGGAGUCUAAAUAAGAAUAAAAUUAAACAAAUAACAAAAAAUAAAAACGUCCUUAAAAUUUAAAAAGCCCAUACAUCAUUGCAAGGCGAUGAGUUCCAUGUGCAUUGCUAAUUUGCUAGUAUCACUAAUGUCGGCUCGGUUCUUAACGUUGUUUUUUAUUUAUUUAUUUAUUUAAAUCCAUUUGUAAUUUUAUCGGUCCGUGAAAUACUAAUAUAAAUUGAUUAGAUUAAAAUAAACACCACCGUCAAUAUAUUGUGAAUUAAUUGAGCUUUCAUCCAACAACCCAUACAUCAUUUCUUGAAUAAAAUAAAGGAAAGUGUUAUUAGCACUCUAAAAAUCUCAUUUUACACUCUUCACAAAUGUAUUUUUCUUCUCUAAUAUAAAAAGUUUGUAAUGUAAAAUAAAAAUUUUGGAAUGCUAAUAAUAAUUCUCUAAAAUAAAUAUAUUAAUAAACAGGAGAAGUGGAAUAACAAUAAACAAUAUAACGAAGCUGUAGUUCUCCAAAAAAAUAUAUAUAUAACGAAGCCGUAUGAUUGAAAGUUGUACUUUUUAAACACAUUUGCAAUUUCAUCGGUUUCCAACAUGACCAACUCUAGUUUAUUCAUCCACGCAUUCGUCCACCCUAAUGUAAAUAUAGAUUUUAUAUAGCUAGACAAGAAAUGCUAAGAGGACACUCUUAAAAAUAGCACACUCCAUAAUACUAUAUAAUGUUGACACAAUUCAUUGGGCUCCAAUACCAAGUUUAUUCAUCCAUCCUUUUUAUAUAAAAGCAUAAAGCAACGGCACUAAUGCAAUAAUAUAUAUAUUUUUUGGGUUAAACUAUGUUUACUACCUUUAUGUUUUGUGUUUUUCAACGUUUAGUAUAUCAAGCUUUUUUCGUCCCAGAGUCAUACAUAAAGUGUAAAUUUUGGAACAGUUUCAUACAUCCGUUAUUCAAACUGUUAAGUCUCCCAUUAAAUGAUGACGUGACGUCCAUAUGGACAAUGAUUGAACGCCACGUGUCAUUAAAGGGUCCAUGUGGAUUUUUUUUUUCUUCUUCUCCUUCCUUCUCUUCAGAGGGUUCACGUUUUUUUUUCUCCUCUUCUUCUUCUUCUUCUUUUCAGAUGAGGGGUUCACCUUCACCCCUCCCGACCCCCUCCCUUCUCUUCCCUGCACCUAUCCUCCCUGCACACCCAGAAACUCAAAUACCAAAACCCACAAAAAUAGAAACCCAUUUUUUUUUUGGCAGAAAAAUCAGUUUCAAGCAAAAAAGUUUCAAUCUUUACUCUAUCUAGCUGGGUUUUUCUCAAAGUUUUCUCAAAGUUAUCAAAGCCGUAAUUGCAAUAUCAGUGGGUUUUCCGGUCGACUCGCUCACAGAGGAGGAAAUCGAGGCCAACCGGUCUGUCAGCGUCUCUCCCUCAAUGCCCAAUCAGAUCUCCUCCAUAUCACCCUUUCUUUCUUAUCUUGCUUCGACGUUGUCACCAAGCUCGCCCUCAAAUACGACCCCAGAUCCAUUGGCGACGAGAAAAAUGGGUCUAGCAAAUUGGAUGCUUACAGCAAUAGUGAUUUGACCAUGGGGAAGAGGUGGUUUGGCGAUUCGACGAGAAGGGAUUGUUGGAAAUUAUAUAUUAUAAUAUAAAAUAUUGUAAUAUAUAAUUUUAAUAAUUGAAUGAAAAAUAGUGUUAACCAAUUUCUUAGAAAGGUUAUGUUGUUUAGGUGAUACUUGAUAAGUGAUGUAUACCUAUAAAUGAAAGUUACAUCUCUUUAAUAAGUAGAAGUUGGAUUCUAUAUAAGCCCAUGAAACCAUUGGUAUUAAAUAUAGAAAAUUAGAGUUAAUGUUUACUUUUGAGAAAUAGGGUUUCCCCACUUUGUUUCUCUCAUGCUUCGUGUGUCAAAUUUCGAGUCGUGUCUUGAGAGUACGGAAUAUAUGAAGUUCGCCAGAAUCCGAAGAUUGAAGUGCUUUGACUUCGGAUUAUAAAUUGUUGAAUCCUGGGAGAUGGACGCCUAUUGAACUACAAACACAAGAGUAGGGGCGAAAUUCUAUUUUUAGGACAUUGCUUUUAUGCAAGCCUCAAUCUCCGAGUUUGUCAGUUUUUCUCACUUUAUCUCUAAUUGUUUAUAUUAAUCUCAUACAUAAUUGAUGUUGUGAUUUUCUUUAUGAAUACUUUCAUUGAAAUUCUUUUGUUAUUUUUCAUAUUUUCUAUUAUAGCUCCAACAGGGAUGGGCUUACGAAUAGACGGUGGAGUUGGGAUGGUGGGUCGGGAACUACAAUCCGCUCUUACCGGUAUGGGUAUGGGUCGAUAGAACUGGUAGGGCCCCGACUGGAACUGGAGGAGCCGGUUUCUUCAAGCAAUGGGUUUUGGGGUUGACCUCGGGAGCUCCCUCGGGGUGAAUGGCGGAUAUGGUCUGAAGAUUCCGUCUCAGGUUGAAGUCGUCCUCGACAGAGCGAGGGAUUAAGAGGCGCUCGAUCCCGUGGAUGACGCCGUCUGGUUGGGUCACAUCAUCGGGUCAGAUGAUUUGCACGGAGUUAACCGAUUUGCGGCUGGUGGGCUUGUGGGUUAUUGUGAAUGGCUGAAAGGUCUGGGGACUUGGUGACGGAGAAGGUGAACCCCUCUUCUGAAGAUAAGAAAAGAAGAAGAAGAAGAAAAAAAACGUGAACCCCUCUGAAGAGAAGGAAGGAAGGAGAAGACUUAACUGGGCGCCAUGUCAUCACUUAACGGGAGACUUAACUAUUUGACUAACGGAUGUAUGAGACUGUUCCAAAAUUUACACUUUAGGUAUGAUUUUAGGACGAAAAAAACUUGAUGUACUAAAUGUUGAAAACCACGAAACAUGAGGGUAGUAAACAUAGUUUAACCCUUAUUUUUUUAACAAACGAUAUUAUCUACACUAAUUAAAAAUAAAAUAUAUUUUAAUACAUCCCACAUACUUUCCUCUAAUACCCUCACACCCCAACUCUCAACAUACAUCACAAAUUUCCUACCUACACCCCACACUCUUCACAGCUUAGAUGCAAAUACAUAAAGUCAACCAAAGAUCUUAUUUGUUUCUUGGAAUAUGUGAUUUCUAUGUUGUUUCUCCUCCCUUCCAAAUACUAAGGAUGUAAAUUUGAGAAUCUAUCAUUUUGUGGCAAAAAGGGAUUUAGAAAUGCAUAGCAUAAUUGUGGCAAAAAGGGAUUUAGAAAUGCAUAGCAUAAUGGUUCUGCAUUAACAUCGUGAAUACUAUUUUUGAAUUGCUUCAUACUUUUCCAGAUGCUAACCUACCUUUUGAUAAUGAAAAACCUUGAAAAUUCGGCAAAAAGCUACAAAAAUACUACUAUAAUAUUAGGCAUGAGCUUGCCUAAACCUUUAAAACUUGCUACUUCCCUCCAUUGCUUCACAAAAUUCUAACCACAUCAGAAGAAAUAAACAUUAAUAUUAGUUUCCUCCCUUAUCAUUAUAACUUAAUUAGUGUAUAAACCACUAAUAAAAUAAAGCAUAUAUAAAAGAUUGUUGUUGUAUAAAACAUUCCGUGGUGCUUAAAAGGUCUGAAAGAAAGUAAGCCCAAACAAACCUUAAAAAUCUACAAAUUGACAAUUAUAUGCUAUUUGUAUAAGUCUAAUAAGAAUAAUUUUUUUUCUCUUCUUAUGAUUCUUGUUACAAAGCUAGAAGUUUUUGGUGAAUAAGCUAGCACGUCUCAUUGCCAAACUUGAGACAAAAUUUUAACACGGUAAAUUGUUACAUGUAAUGGAGGAAGGUGAGAGUGGUUUUGAGAGUUAAAGAAGAUAAAUAAUCUUAGGAUAUACAUGCUAAAAGUGAUUUGAGGUUUAUUUAGAGUUUAUGUAUUUAUUUUUAAAACCUUAAAAAGUCGAAAUUGUCAUUCCAUAUUAAGGUAUAUAACUUAUUUAAUAUCAAAUUUUAAAGUGGAGUGUAUUCAACAUAAUGUGGGUUGCUAAUAACAAAACCCUCUCCAAUAUCAUUAAGGGAAAUAUAAACUGCAGGUAAAAUUAUCCUUCAAAAAACCAAAGUGCCUGAACCAAACCUUGCAAACCACUCGAGUAUUCCACUUGCAAUUGUAAAAACUAGCAUGAGAGCUACGCAUGUGUUCCUUGUUGCAAAAAUAUCCUGCAAAUCUAAGCAGAAGUGAAGCACACGGCAUUUUUUGAUGAAAAUCAUCAAUGUGCAACUUGUUGCAAAAAUAUCCUGCUCAUAUGUUCCAAUAUAUUAUGAAUUAAUUGUGCUUUCAACCAACUACUCAUACACCUUUCCAUGCAUAAAAUAAAAACAAACGGCAUAUAAUUCAUCUCAUCAAACCAAUUGCGUAGUGGUGGGUCAACCAACGGCAUAUAAAAUUGGUUUGAUGAAUUAAUUGAAUGAGAAUAGAGCCAAUUGCGUAGUGGUGGGUCAACCAACGGCAUAUAAAAUUGAAUUAAUUGAAUCACAAUAUCACUAAUGCCGGCUUGGUUUUAACGUUGUGUUGGUUUUUUUUAAAUCCAUUUGUAAUUUUAUCGGUACGUGACACAUAUAUAAAUUGUUUCGAUUAAAAUACAGACCAUCACCAAUAUAUUAUGAAUUAAUCGUGCUUUCAUCUAACAACUCAUACAUCAUUCUAUAAAAAAAAAAUAUUAAUAAGAAGGAGAAGCUGGAAUAAUAUUAAACAACAAAAAGAACAUGUAUGAUUGAAAGUUGAACUUUUUAAACCCAUUUGCAAUUUCAUUGGUCUCCAACAGGACCAAAUACCAAUAUGCUUAGAGGACUCCCUAAAAAAUGAAACACUUCAUAACUCUCUACCACCUCAUAUUUUUUGCUUGAUGCAAUAUAAUGACACAAUUUCAUCGGUCUCAAAUACCAAAUUUAUUCAUCCAUUCUUUUUACAUAAAAGCAUAAAGCAAUGGCACUAAUGUAAUUAUAUACCUUUUUAUAUAUAAACCAAAGGCAGUGGCAUUAAAAAUUGGAAUUGGAUCCUCUCCGAGGCAAAUUCUUGGGAUCCUCCUGAUCCAAUAACACGAACUAUUGAAUUUUGAUCUAACGACUACAAACAUGAAUUUUUUUUUAAAGUUAUAAUAAUUGUAGCAGUUGGAUUUAAUAGGUCUGGAGGAUUCCGAAGUUUUGCGAGGAUCCAAUUCCUUAAAAAUUGAAUGAGAAUAGAGCCAAUUGCGUAGUGGUGGGUCAACCAACGGCAUAUAAAAUUGAAAAUAUGAAAAAAGCCAAAACCACGCUCCAAAUUCUCAUCUCAUCAAACCAAAUUACAGCCGUUGGUUCUCUUUCCCUUUCUUUUUCUCUAGUUUUGUGUUCCCAUGCAACCUAGCCACACCAUAAAUUCAGGGACGAGUCUUAGGAAUUUUCACAUUUUAUCUGUUCAUCAUGCAUAUUGUGAUUAGCUUUCAUUAGGUGCUAUUUGUAUUUAAUUUUACAUAUAAAAUUCAAAAUGAUUUAUGGCUGCACGAUGUACAAUGAACAGAUAUGAUGUGAGGAUCACAAAACGGAAAGAAUGUGAGAAUUCCUGGGAUCCUCACAAAAAGGAUCAUGAUGGGAUCCAAAUCCUAAAUCCAGCUAUCCACCACAAUCCCUCUCCCACUCUUCAGGCCCCACACACAGGGCCAAUCGUGAUAAUUUUUGAAACCAGAGGCGACUCAAAAUUGCGACACAGCUCUUCGAGAGAUUUUUUAGUGUAUCUGGAACAUCGGGCGAAAACUAAAUGUCAGUAUAAGAGUUACACUUACUAUAUAUUUGUACUAUCAUUUAUAUCAUCUUUCUAAUAAAUAUAGAUCUCACCAACACGUAUAGAUCUAUUAAAAAGAUGAUACAAAUAUGUGGUAUGAUAAUUUUUUUUAAAUAUAAAUUGACCAAAUCCAAAUACACGGCAUUGCCAAUAUAUUUUGACUUAAUUGCGCUUUCAUCCAACAACUCAAUACAUCAUCAUUCCAUGCAUAAAAUAAAAACAAAGACUCCAAUCCCAAUUUAUUCAUCCACCUAUUUUUUCUUUGUCAAAUAUUCAUCCACCUAUUGUAUAUAAUUGGACGAGAAAUGCUAAAGAGGAUUCUCUACGGUCUCUUUAUCACCUCAUGUUUUUUGCACAAUAUUUUAUAAUGUUGAUACAAUUUCAUCGGUCUUCAUGUCAAUUUAUUCAUCCACCCAUUUUAUUCAAGGUUAAAAAAGACGCUAAGCGUCAAUCGGACGGCGGACUAGGCAGAUUUAAGUAAAUAUAUUAUAUAUGAAUAAGUAUCUAUUUAUAAUCACUGUUCUAAAAAUCUCCGCCUAGGCCCUAGGCCCCAGCUCACCGCCCCGAUUAAUGCCUAGGCCCUAGCCCACCGCCUAGACCACCUAGGCACCCGCCUAGGUUGCAACUCACUUAGACAGAAAAUACAUAACUUUCAUUUUGCAUUUUGUUUUUUUUCAAUAAAUCGUAAGAAACUUGUUGCAUACUUGAAUGAACAAACAUUAUAUCCUUAUUUCACAUGUUUUCAUUAUGUUCCAAUACUUCAUGAUAUAUAUGCAUUCGAUUUUAUAGUUUAUGAUGAAAUUAUAUAUAUUUCAAGUAGAAGCAGACAUGCCACUCAUAUAAAUAUAAAUAUUUUAGCAUAUUAUCACUAAAACAUAAGUGAUAUAUCAUGAUUAAGGUGUUGGAGAAGUAAAAUGGGAGGGGUUCAAAUCCUCUUUGUGUUUUUUUUUCCUCCCUUUUUGCCCUUUUUUUCUUUUUUUUCCUUACAUUGAUAUUUUCGAUAUUUUAACGAUAUUACACCAAUAUUUUGACAAAAUAUUACUGAAGUGUGUGCGAAAUUAUCGAUAUCGAUAUUUUCCGAUAUUAUCGUCGAUAUUGUCGAUAUUUGUAUGAUAUGUACAUGGAUAUGUUCCGAAAUAUCCGUGAUUCGAAAAUACCGAAAUAUCCUCGAUAUUUCGUCGAUAUUAUCGAUAUUUCGUCGAUAUUAUCGAUAUUUCAGACUAUGGUUACAGGUGAAAGAUUUGAAAACGUCAGAUUGUUCAUAUGCACAAAAAAUAGGGGUAUCAAUGUUAUAGUGGCCUAUUUACAUGCAAAAAAUAUGGAGAAGCAUUGUUGUUUUAACAAAAGAUGAUCAGACUCUUUUCUAUAGCAGCAAAAAUUUGUUCCUUCUGGCAGUAACUGCAAAUAAAAGAUGUGCAAAUGGACAAAAAAAAGAUGUAAAUGCUAACUAAGCUGUAAUCAAGUGUGUGUGCAACUAUGGUUACAUCAUAUAAAAAAUAGGAAUGGAGCAAAGUUACCUAGUUUUUUUUUCGAUAGAGGAGGGUCUUUUUUCAUGCUUGUUGGGAAUAUGUUUUUUUUCAACAAUUUGAUUGGAACCUGAUGAAAAUCCUGCACAUCUGCUUCAAAGACUUCCUCUAUCUCACCGUGCCAAAGAUAUUAAAGAGAUUGGAAAAAUUGAGUUAGAUCAGAUUGAAAAUAAUUUGAGAAUGAGAAAAAAAAUGUUGUGAUGCAGAAUAUAACCUGUUUUCAGCCUCUGUAAAAAAAGGCUCUCCUCAUUGAAUCUCUUUUCCUCUUGUGCGUUUCUUUGGUUUUUUAGCUGGUGUAGUGGACGACGAAACUGUUGUCGAAGACACUGUAAUUUCUUUCAUAUUAGACUGUGGUGUUGUUGGUUGGAUCAUUGUGUCUUCGAUAACAUUGUAGAUAAGGAGAUCAAUUGAAUUCAACAAAUUUCGUCGGCUUCGAAACCGGAGGUGAAAUUUUUUUCCUUUGGCCUAUAAGUCUGAGAAACUCACUUGGCAAUUGCUUAUGAUAUGUUGAUCUUUGAUUGUAAACCAAAUCUUUGCAUGGCAUGCAAAGACCUUUUCGCCUAAUUUGCCGAUAAUGAGAGCAUUGAUCUCAUUUGUUUCGUCUUCAAAGACCAAGAACACUUUGUACCUUUAUUCAAAUAGAAAAAACAUUAAUUACAGAGGAUAGAUAGUGUAAUAAGUCUACAAGAAAAAACAUUAAUUACUUUCCAAAUGAGUGGCGAACGAGCACUUUGGUGCCUAUCUACAAGAAUAAGGGCGACAUACAAAAUUGCAUGAACUAUAGGGGUAUUAAGUUAAUGAGUCAUACAAUGAAGCUCUGGGAGAGAGUCAUUGAGCAUAGAUUGAGGCAAGAGAGGGACAACCAAUUCGGGUUCAUGCUAGGGCGCUCAACCAUGGAGGCAAUCUAUCUCUUACGAAGAUUGAUGGAAGAUAUAAAGAUGGGAAAAAGGAUUUACACAUGGUCUUUAUAGAUUUGAAAAAAGCGUAUGAUAGGGUCCCAAGAGACAUUCUUUGGAGGAUUUUAGAGAAGAAAGAAGUACGAGUAGCAUAUAUCCAAGCUAUAAAGGAUAUGUAUGAAGGAGCAAAGACUGCCGUAAGAACUCAUGAAGGACAAACCGAAAGCUUUCCCAUAACUGUAGGAUUACAUCAAGGCUCAUCCUUAAGUCCUUACCUUUUUGCGUUGGUAAUUGAUGAGUUAACAGGACAUGUUCAAGAUGAUAUUCCUUGGUGUAUGCUUUUCGCAGACGAUAUAGUGUUGAUAGAUGAAACUCAGGAGGGGGUAAAUGCAAAGCUUAACCUUUGGAGAGAAGUGUUGGAAUCUAAAGGUCUUCGCCUAAGCCGAUCAAAGACAGAAUAUAUGGAGUGCAAGUUCAGUGCAAAUGGAGGCCAAAACGAGUUAGGGGUGAGGAUCGGAGAUCAAGAAAUACCAAAGAGCGACCGUUUUCGUUACCUAGGAUCUAUCUUGCAAAAGAACGGAGAAUUAGAUGGAGAUCUCAACCAUAGAAUACAAGCUGGAUGGAUGAAGUGGAAGAGUGCAUCUGGCGUGUUGUGUGACCGCCGUAUGCCACUGAAGCUCAAGGAAAAAUUUUAUAGGACGGCAAUAAGGCCGGGGAUGCUGUAUGACACAGAAUGUUGGGCGGUGAAGCAUCAACACGUACACAAAAUGGGUGUAGCGGAGAUGAGGAUGCUUCGUUGGAUGUGUGGGCACACGAGAAAGGAUAAGAUUAGGAAUGAGGAUAUCCGGGGUAAAGUAGGAGUAGCCGAAAUUGAAGGAAAGAUGAGAGAAAAUCGGUUACGGUGGUUUGGACAUGUGCAAAGAAGGCCUACUGACGCUCCGAUUAGAAGAUGCGACUAUGGGACAGAGGUUCAGGGCCGAAGGGGUAGAGGAAGACCUAGGAAAACUUUGGAAGAGACUUUAAGAAAAGACUUAGAGUACUUGGAUCUAACGAAUGACAUGACACAGGACCGAGCACAAUGGCGUUCUAAGAUUCAUAUAGCCGAUCCCACUCAGUGACUUGGAUUUUCCAAGUCUCUAACCGAGAAGUUUUCCUCACUCGGAAAAUUAAGGGAACACUACCCCAACCUACAUGCUCCACUCAGAAAGCUUCAACAAAAGAAAAUUCAAAGAACUUAGCGAAGAAGGCUUUGGUGUAUUUAACACAAUACGUUGAAAUGAAGGAAAGCUUAUUUAUUGAUAUCCCCGAUAAGCUACAAAUAUGUACAUAUACAUGAGUCAAAAUAAAAAAACAAGAUGGAGCCUUCACAAAGGUUGCUUAGGAGAAGUCUCAGCAGUCGGUAGAGCCCCAGAAAGAGAAGGCAUCGGAGGGGGAUCAUUCGGAGCCUCAGUACUGGACAGAACCCUAGAAGGAGGAGGCAUCAGAGGUUGAUCAUUUGGAGCUUCAUUACGCGGUACAGCCCCAGAAGACGAAGGCAAUAAAUGCCUCUGGAACAAACCCACAAAUCUCUGAUGAUCAAGUAAAACCUGACCAUCAGUUUCCUUCAUCUGGUCAAGCUUCCUCUUCAUGUUUGUAGUAUAGUCAUGUGCGAGCCGGUGCAACUGUUUAUUCUCAUGCUUGAGCCCUCCAAUCUCCUGUUUGAGACUCAUUACUUCGGCCGCCAAUGAUUCAACUUGGCGGGUUCGAGCAAAUAGGCGUUGGGCCAUAUUAGACACAGAACCUGCACACUGAACACUGAGAGCCAGCGAAUCCUUAACAGCUAACUCAUCAGACCGUUUGGAAAGUAGUCUGUUAUCUUUGGGAGUGAGAAGGUUCCUGGCCACCACCGCAGCGGUCAUAUCAUUCUUCAUCACGGAAUCCCCAACGGUAAGAGGACCAGUAGGGGAAACGAAGGAUGGGCGCCAUAUGUUGUCUGGAGAAGGCGGGGCUGCCUCUUCAACAAGGUUCAAGUCAAAACGACGGUCGGAGGGGCCAGACAUUUUCAAAGGUGUUGAAGAGAGAAGAGGUCGGACAAAUCAAGAUCUUAGAAGUGUAAGAAUGGAGCUUCUACUGGUGGAGAUUCAAGUGUGCUUUUGAACUUAAUGCCAGCCCCUAUAAAAAGCUGCACUCGACGGGGCUUCAGACAUCGAAGAGGCGCCUGCUCAGAAAUCGAAGAGGCGUUUGCUUUCUCAAAAGCUGGGCUGCUUAGAGACCACGAGGGUUGAUCUCAUAAAUCGAAGAGGUGUUUGCUUUCUCAAAAGUUGGGCUGCUCAAAAGACCACGAAAGCCGAUCUUAGAAAUCGAAGAGGCGCUCGCUUUCUCAAAAGCUGGGCUCCUCAGAGACCACGAGGGCCGAUCUCAGAAAUCGAAGAGGCACCUACUUUUCCAGCCUUGUCAGCACCUGUCACACGCACACUCAGCUUUGCGAAAAUUAUGGGUAUUCUGUCGAAGAUUUCUGGGGAAGUAGAAAACACAUGAAUCUUACUGUCCAAUCACCCACUUCCCACACGCAACAAUAGCUCAUGGGUACCACAGAUAACUUUGCCAAAGUUCUCUGCCAAAGUUGAGCACGUGAAGCUUGCAGCUCCCACUACAUCGCUCUGACCAAGAAGGGUAAAAGAAUAGCAAAGAAACAGCACUAACAAAGUUUAGACCCAUAAAUUUUGAAGGUUUAGCUACCAUAUUAUUACCCACAAGGGUAAAGGAACAGUACCACUGCUGGAUAAUUGGAAAGUCCUUGUGUGUCAACCUCUGUGCCUCGUGGCAAGGUAGACUAGCAAACAUGCCCAACCUUUACUCACAUUCGAGAAAACACUCCCAAUAAGAUUGCUUGCUCCAAAAUCGAAGAGGCACCGUCCUCCGAAUCUCGAGAGCCAGACUCCCAACAUGACUACUUUCUCAAAAAUCGAAGAGAGGGUAAAGGAACAGUACCAUUGCUGGAUAAUUGGAAAGUCCCUGUGUGUCAACCUCUGUGCUUCGUGGCAAGGUAGACUAGCAAACAUGCCCAACCUUUACUCACAUUCGAGAAAACACUCCCACCAAGAUUGCUUGCUCCAAAAUCGAAGAGGCACCGCCCUCCGAAUCUCGAGAGCCAGAUUCCCAACAUGAUUACUUUCUCAAAAAUCGAAAAGACACUGCUCCCCGAAUCUCGAGAGCCAGACCCCCAGCAUGAUUGCUUUCUCAAAAAUCGAAGAGGCAUCGUUCUCCGAAUCAAUCGAAGAGGCGCUCGCUUUCUCAAAAGCUGGGCUGCUCAGAGACCACGAGGGCCGAUCUCAGAAAUCGAAGAGGCACCUACUUUUCUAGCUUUGUCAGAACCUGUCACACGCACACUCAGCUUUGCGGAAAUUAUGGGCAUUUUGUCGAAGACUUCUGGUGAAGUAGAAAGCACAUGAAUCUUACUGUUCAAUCACCCACUUCCCACACGCAACAAUAGCUCAUGGGUACCACAUAUAACUUUGCCAAAGUCUCUGCCAAAGUUGAGCACGUGAAGCUUGCAGCUCCCACUACAUCACUCUGACCAAGAAAGGUAAAAGAAUAGCAAAGAAACAGCACUAACAAAGUUUAGACACAUAAAUUUUGAAGGUCUAGCUACCAUAUUAUUACCCACAAAGGUAAAGGAACAGUACCACUGCUGGAUAAUUGGAAAGUCCUUGUGUGUCAACCUCCGUGCUUCGUGGCAAGGUAGACUAGCAAACAUGCCCAACCUUUACUCACAUCCGAGAAAACACUCCCAACAAGAUUGCUUACUCCAAAAUCGAAGAGGCACCGCCCUCCGAAUCUCGAGAGCCAGACUCCCAACAUGAUUACUUUCUCAAAAAUCGAAGAGACACUGCUCCCCGAAUCUCGAGAGCCAGACCCCCAGCAUGAUUGCUUUCUCAAAAAUCGAAGAAGCAUCGUUCUCCGAAUCUCGAGAGCCAGAUACCACAUACCACUUUUUCAAAGUGCUCUGACAGAGUUAAAACAUGUGAAGUUGGCAGCUCCCACUACCGUGCUAUGACCAAGCAGGGUAAAGGAAUAGCAUUACUACUUGUUAGGGAGACUCCUAUAUAUGUCGACCUCCAUCCCCAACGGACAGGCAGACCUGCAAAAAUGCUCAACCCUUCCUCAUAUCUGAGAGGGCACUCCCAACGAAACCUUUCCAAAUAUUCAGCUUUCUUUCCCCCCGAUAAUACCUCUGCAAACAAGCUAUACUAGAGCAAGAAUAUCUCAUAUCAUCAGGGUUAAAAGCAAGAGUAUCCCAUAUCAUGCUUUUUCCCUGUCUUUUCCUUUGGCCUUGUUUUUACCUGCAAGACAAGGAGAAAGAGAGCAAUCAUUCAGCACUUGAAAUCAAGCUCCCAGCCAGGAACUGACUGCCUGGAACCCCUUACCUGAUUACUUACCUGGCAUUGCUCUCGAGUACUCAUCUUCAACAUCUUAUGUUUCCAGGGAAGAUACCGCAUCUGCUUGAGGAACAGAUAGGGCAAGUGCGAAGGAUACAAGGAAGCAUGUGGAGACAAGCGUAACAGCAUACGUGCCGAUACAUCCAUUACUCUGUCAAAAGCAAAAGUAUCCCAUAUCAGCAGGGUCGAACGUACUCUAGAUUUGAUGGACUUGUUUUGACCCUCAAAUUCUUCAGUCGACCUUAUACUCUGGAGGAAACCAGAAAACCCUCCAGCUCAGUUCAAGAAUAAGCAUGUGGAAAGUUACUUCUUCAAAAGCAAAAGUAUCCCAUAUCAUCUCUUCUCAUUUUUCUUCUCUUUAUCAUUCAUGCUGCUGCAAGAUGGGGAGAAGGUGAACAAUCAGCCGGAGCUCUGAUUGCUUACCUUGUCUGUCACCUCUUUCAGCAGAUCCCCUAGCUCGGCGACUUGGGGGACUCCUACUACAUGGUUUGUAUCGCGCUGGACCAAGCCUGAAACUACAAGUAAGCUUCAAGUGAAAUUGAUACAUUACCUUGUGCAUCUCCACCAGUUAAAGAUACCACCCCUGGAUGGAGGAAGAGUACUUCCAGAGAAGCUGCCACAUCUACCUAUGAGACAGAUAAGGCAAGUCAAGAUGAUACCACACUCCGAUACUUAGAAGUUUCGUGAUUACGAGAUCAUUCUCCCCACAAUAUUUCCUAAUGUCAUUUGUACUCUAAUGUCAUUUGUACUAAAUCAUUCACUGGUACUCACUAAAGGAGAGCUUGAACCUAUGUACUUGUGUAAACCCUUCACAAUUAAUGAGAACUCUUCUAUUCCGUGGACGUAGCCAAUCUGGGUGAACCACGUACAUCUUGUGUUUGCUUUCCUAUCUCUAUCCAUUUAUAUACUUAUCCACACUAAUGACCGGAGCAAUCUAGCGAAGAUCACAAAAGCGACCGUUUUCGCUACCUAGGAUCUAUCUUGCAAGAGAACGGAGAAUUAGAUGGAGAUCUCAACCAUAGAAUACGAGCUGGAUGGAUGAAGUGUAAGAGUGCAUCCGACGUGUUGUGUGACCGUCGUAGGCCACUGAAGCUCAAGGGAAAAUUUUAUAGGACGGCAAUAAGGCUAGCGAUGUUGUAUGACACAGAAUGUUGGGCGGUGAAACAUCAACACGUACACAAAAUAGGUGUAGCGGAGAUGAGGAUGCUUCGUGGGAUGUGUGAGCACACGAGAAAUGAUAAGAUUGAGAAUGAGGAUAUCCGAGGUAAAGUAGGAGUAGACGAAAUUGAAGGAAAGAUGAGAGAAAAUCGGUUCCGGUGAUUUGGACAUGUGCAAAGAAGGCCGACUGACGUUCCGGUUCGAAGAUGUGACUACGGGACAGAGGUUCAGGGCUGAAGGGGUAGAGGAAGACCUAGGAAAACUUUGGAAGAGACUCUAAGAAAAGGCUUAGAGUACUUGGAUCUAACGGAGGACAUGACACAAAACCAAACGCAAUGGCGUUCUAGGAUUCAUAUAGCCGACCCCACUUAGUGGGAAAAAGCUUUGUUGUUGUUGUUGUUGUUGUAUGGUUUAAUGUUAAUACUAAUCAUAUGAAAAAUACAAGGAUAGGUAUGCAAAGUUUGAUUUCAAAUUUAAUUAAAUUUAUGGCUUGUAAUUUUGUUACAUGAUCAAUGAACUAUUAAUUGAAAAUAUGUAAUUAAAAACAUAAUAAAGGAUAAGUUUCAAUUUAAGGAUAUGAGACAACGAUCAAUUGACAAACGCGAAAUAUAGUGUUUAACUCAUUACCAAGGAGUUGGCAUUUGAUUUGUAUGUUUUUGGCACAUCAGUUGACCAAUUGUUGGGUCCUUGUACAUUUGUUUGGCACAUGUAGGGCAAGCAGCAUACCACCAUUCAUAUGACGUGUUAAAUCGCUUAAUUGAUGCCUUGCACAAAAAUGUAUUAUCCUGUUAAAUAUCCAGAAAGAUGUUUAGAUAGUUAAUAAUCAUGAAAUAGAAAGCUUAUGUAAAAGAAGUAAAAAUUGAAUAAGAUUAUUUUGAUUUAAUAUGAUAAAAUAAAAGCAUGUUGUAUACCUUAUAUAAAUCUGGGUCUAAGUAGCCCAACUCUUCAAUUGUGACCAUUUUUCCAGUCUGUAAAGCUUCAGUUUCUCUUGCCUGAUUAGAGGGAGUAUUGUAACAGGGUGAGGCAAGCCAGAAAACCUGCAACAAUUUUUGAGAAAAGAAUAGCUAUUUUUCUUUUAAUAAUUGUAGGUGUGUUAUGAUUUUGAUUGUGUGAUAAUGAAUGAACUUACACUGAUUUAUAUGAGUUUAAUUCUGGAAUUUCUGGAUCAACAAAGAAAAGUGUUGCACCGGUGCUGUUGAGGAUGAUGCUUUUUGUAUUAAAAAAAGGAAAAAAUAAGAAAAAAGAAGACAAAAAACAAAAAUGAAAAUAUAAAAAAGGAAAAAAGACGUAUCAGUUGACAUUGUAAGCAGUUACGUAAAAAUGACUAAUCCAAACCUACACUGAUUUUUUAAGAACAAAAUUAAAAGACAUCAAACAAAGCAUAUGUAUGAACACUAUGUUGUUCAAAGACUACAUGACAACAUAACAAUUUUUACUUUCACAGAUCAAAAUAUUUAUGUUAUAAACUCGCAUAAUAGUUGCACUUACUUUUAAAAAUAGUUGAAAACUCAAUAAAACCAUCUAACACUGUCUAGGAAAAACAGGAAAACAAACUUUGAAAACUAAUCAGGCAUGUAAACAUCUGGAAGAAAGAAUAGCAAAAAAAUGAUUUCUUGAUUGAAAUAUAUACCUUCAAAUAGCUUGACUUUCAAGCACGUAAAAAAAAUAAUUCUUGCUUCAAGUAGUGAAUCAAACGAUAAAGAAGUAAAGCUGUGUGCAACGUCUAACCACAAUGUAAUCUUAGCUUCGUCUUUUCUGCCAAAUAAAAUGAUAAAAAAAAAGAUAAUGAAAAAGUGAUAAAAAUGUGACAAACUUUUUUAUCCAAAAUAGAUUUUUUUUUUUUUUUUUAAGAAAAGUAUAUGAUUGCCUAAUGUGAUAAGAAGCCAAAACAACAGUUUGGAUAUCGACGAUAUACACAAUAUUGAUACAAAAAACAAUUAAAAAGUGUGCUAUGCAGAGGAAAUAACCUGAUAUUUUGAAUAACCACAUCACACUUGUGAUCAAUUCUUUGGUUCACUUUUACGGGCUCCAAAUGUUGGACUCCAACCACAUGACCAAUAACAUCUGCAAAUUUGAAAAAAGAAAGAAAACCAAAACAUAAUUAGGUGAGGACAAAAUGUUUCAUAAAACAUGUAUCAAUGCAUUGUAACACACAGCUAUAUAUACAUGCGUACAUAUUUAUUACCUGUUAGGAUAUCAGUUUUGUUCAGCCUAGGAUACAAUCUAUUAUAAUCUUGCAAAAAAAAAAUCUAUGACGCGGAAUAGGCGGAAACACACUUGCCAACUUGUUAAAAACUGUUUUGGCAGUUAACACGACAUGGGUGUCAUGUGGGACUACUCGAUACUGGCCUCUCAUUUUGUUGGUACAAAAAUUCAUAAUCUCGUAGCAAGCACCUGCUUCAAUUUUUGGGACUAUUAUAUCAUAGUCCAUUUCGUCAAAAGACGCUUAUAUCGCUUGUUCCUUGAUAACCAAACAUUGAGAAAGGAAGAAAAAGAAAUUGUCAAAGAUACCAUGAAUAGGUAAAUAACACUGAAUUUGAAACUUAAAAUAAUAUGAAAACAUUUGCAAAUGACAAACAUUAUAGACUAAGAUGAAUACUAAAUACUGAAAGCCAAGUUAUCAUUAUAAUUAAUAGUUUAAAGGCAAUGGAUACCCAUAAAAUAAUUACAUGUCACAAAGACUUAACAUGAGAGUUGAUAUAUUUAAUACUUGAAAUAAUAUGAAAAUAAAUGUAAAUCACAAAUAUUAGAGAAUAAGAUGGAUAGCAAACAUCGAGAGUGCAUAUAUUAGUGUAAUUAACAUGUUAAAGACAAUGCAUAUGCACCCAAAAAAAAUUUCUUUAUCACAGAGCCAGGAUGAUAACUAAUAUGCAAUUUUCCGAUAGAAAAUAAAAGAAUACAGAGAUUUGAAAUGAAUUGGAGAUUGUGUUUAUCCCAGAGAGUAAAAAUGUCAUGUGAUGUGUAUUAGAACAAAUACAAAAUUCUUAACACGUGUUGUGAAGAGCUUAUCAAACAGUAUUAUUAAAGAUUGAUUACUUACCUUUUCAUCAACUAAUACACAGUGUAGACCUGCAUAUUUUUUAGUCAUGCCUGAAAAUCUUGGUCUCCAUAUUCUGCCGAUACGAACUUCAAUUUUUCCUAUUUUUUCAUAUGGGACCAAUCGAUCAAGAGGAGUUGGACCUCGAUCUUCCAUUUUAAACUGCUGAAAUAAGAUUUAAGGUUUGUGACUUGACAAAUAAUGCAGAAAGAAAUUUCAAAAGGCUGAACGAUGAUGUAACAAUUACACUUUCAAAACUAUAGACCUAUAACAGUUUGUUUAAAAGCGUAACUGAUUAAAAGAAUGAGAUUGCUAAAAGAAAACACAGCAUGACCACUGCUUAACUGAACCACAUUCUCAUCACACAAACAUAAACGAAGUGAACCUAUUCAUCUAUCAUAUUCUUUUUCUCUGUUUCCAUAUCCCUGAUCCCAAUUCUUUAUUCCAUGCUUUCUGUGUUGUUUUUUCCUCACUCUCAAUCCCAUUUUCUUCGAAGUCCAGGAUAAAAACCACAUGCAUAAACAGGCUACAAAUCUGCCAAAACCCAAAACAUAGCCUAACUAAAAAUCUGAGCGAUUAAAACUUUCACUUAAAAAAAACAGUCUAUCUCCGAUAAAACAGAAAUACCCCAAAAUAGGAAUGCUUAGUAAUAAAAUAAUGAAGCAACAAAUGGCAUGAAAUAAUCAAAAAACAACCCUACAAAUUCAAAUAACCAAAACAAAUAAUCAUAUGGCCAUUUCAGUUCGGAAAAUAAAAACAUCACACAAAAAACUAAUACCUGACAAAGAACCCAAUCGGGGAUAGCGGAAAUUGCGACUACACGGUCCUCCAAAUGGCGAUCAGACAGCCGUUCAACCACUGCAAAAACAACCAUCAAAAAACACAAAGUCAUAGCCUAUCAAGAGUGUAAGUAAAAUAAAAAGAACAAAUCGAAAGAUCCCUGUCCUGAAUUAAAAAUUGGAAAGCGAAAACAAAGGCGUUGAAAAACAAAAGCUGAAAAUCGAUCGCACAAACUGAAGUCCUGCAACAGCAGAAACCAAGAAGAAAAACAAAAGACAAAACGAAAACAAAAAGCAUAAACAAAACGAAAGAAACGGCAAACAAAGCUAACUAAGCAAAUUUGAAACGAAGAAAAACGCACAUCCAGCUUAAACCAAGGUUCUGAAGUAAAGUGAAAUGAACUGAAAGCGAAAGGUAUCAGCAAAAAUAAGAGAGAAGAGACAAAGCCACGGUCAAUUUGAUGAUCGACACGUGGUCAUAAGUAGAAAAGGCAAAGCCGAGCAACACGCGGGUAAAAAAAAGAUAAAGGAAAGGGGCAAAAACGACAUUUCAUGUAGCAUCUUCAAAAUGCCAAAAAAGUGGGGUUAGAUCAGGGGCAAAACCGGGUGGGCACUGUUAAUGAACAUUGGUUUUCCCAUCGGGUUUUAGUAUAGAGAUAACUAGAAAUUGCUGCUUGCGCGUUGUUGCGGGAUUAGAAAUCAUAUCGAAGAUGGAUAAGCUAAUUCUAAAUCAUCAAAUUUGCAGCUGCAUUGCAUGACAAUCAAUUGAAACCUUCUCUCUAAAUUAUUAAACAACAUUUAGCAUAAACUAACUUGCAAUUCAAAUGCAAGAAUGCAAAGGAAGAUAAAUUGUCAAAUUUCAUACAUGUCAAACUUCAUUUAGGAAACUGAAAACCAUAAAAAAUAAAUUGAUAAAUGACACACCCCGUCUCGAAGGAGGGCGUGCUGGCCGUCACGUAAGAGUGACGUAACUCUUUGCACAGUAAGGAAGCUAAAAAGAUACAUAGAAAUACGAAUGAAUAAAAACCAAAUCACUAGCAAUUCUAGCUAAGAAGGAAUGCUAGUGCGAGUCUAAGUGUAUAAAUACACAUUCAGAGCAAUAAGAACGUCUCGUUGCAAUCAAUUAGGACAAUUACUAAGAUAUAACACCCGAAUGUGAAUCCUACUUUUGUGAAUUCUGUCAGAACACCGUUGGAUUCCUCAUGACCACCAAAGUACUGCUACCUAGAACCUGGAGAGGUGCAAAACAAGGUUGAGUGACUUAGUAAAACAAAGUUAACUCAUUAUUAAAACGCUAACCCCUCACGGUAAAACCUGUAUAAUUUCCCAGAAAAUAGUAUACAUAUGUACAUAUCUCAAAACCAUGCUCAAUAUAUCCAAAUCCACAUGCCCAAUAUCACAAUAUAAUAAACGUAAGCCAAGUGAUGCAAUUCAAUAUAAAUCAUUUGUACAUGAGUCGAAACCAUUUCAUGUGGUCUGUCCGACAGAAUCUAGAGCUCAUCUCAAUCACAUAUCUUAUCAUGUAUAUACGUAUCUCAAUCUCAUAUCUCAUCAUGUAUAUACAUAUCUGCACACAAGUCGAACCCACUUAUAAUGGUCUAUACAACAGGCUGGGUGUAUAACAAUACGCUAUAGUGUUACAAUCACGUGAGGCUGUGCGAAUUAUGAGCUAUAAUAUAUCUCAUCAUCAUCAACAUCAUAUCUCAUAACCAUUACCAGCAUAAAUAUACUCACCGGUAGAUUACCUGGGCCUCUGCAGCACCAUGCAACAAUAUGCAUAAUUAUGACAAUGCAUAUGCUUAAAAUAAAAUGUAGGCAUAACAUGGCAUUUAAAUCACAAUCCUUUAAAUACGUUUUCUGGAAAAAACGUCAAGUAUAUAUAUAUAUAUAUACUGAAAAUAACCACCCACUCACUGGUAUGUAGCCGGGUCGUAACCCCAUGUCUAGCCUGGUUACGCUCGUCCUCCGGAUAAGUUUCGUCUAUAUGAGAAGUAACUGUAUAAACGUUAAUUAAUAGCACAUAACCAACUCUUGCUAAUAACUUCUCAUAUAUUGCUCAAUUUGGGUAUAUGAAUAUACCACAGUGACCCACACAACCUUAGGAUCAUUCCCAUAUUUUUAGAAUAUUUUUCUGACGUCUCAUGCGCCGACGAAUGCACGGACCUACGCACCCCCACGAGUGGCCACGUGACAGUCACACUGAGUUAAGGCUGUCAGGUAUAUACCAAGGAAUAUUCCGUUAAGUCCUAAUGGUAACUGUUAAAGAUGACUGACGGCGUUGGAAUAUUCCGUCAUCUCCUACCUUGGGACUCCGGCAAGUCUUCGGUUACCGGAAAACCGGGAAAAUCCUAUUUUCGACACUAACUUCUUCGAUUUUAACCAAAAUUCCAUGAAAUUUACACCAAAGGGAAGCUGGAGAUGAGUAGAACAACGUUAUACCUGUUUUGGGAUCUAAAUCUCACGGGAUCUCGCCGUGAAAUUUCGAGGGAAACCGACCAAGCUUGAAACUCACGAUCCCGAUGUCCAAAAUCUUCAAACGAACUACUCCGAGCUUCCUUAGGACCUCCGUAAGCUUCCUAUAAGCUUGAAAUCUCCUAAAAAUCAACAUUUUACGUGCACAUAAACAGUGCAUAAAAACUGGGGUUAGGGUUCUCGGGGUUUUCGAAGGUCUCACGCUCUAAAACUUGUACCAAUGAACUCAGGAGUUUAAGGGGAACAAGAAUAAUACCUCUUUACCUUUGAUCUGUGAAGAAAUGGAAGGUUUUGUGUUCAUCCAUACGUGUUCGAAGGAGAGAGAGAGAGAGAAUGAAACCGAGAAAAGUACGGGGGAGAAGAGAGAGGACUUUUUGGGUGUUUUUGUGUGGUCCAAAAGCCACCAAUCAAACCCAAUUAGUUUCUUACUUCCUAUUGGGUCCCCAAAACUUGGGGAAAAUUUUGUAUUGGUUCAAUCCCUUUGUCCAAUACACCCACACACCCACUAAAGCUCAAGGGCAAUUUAGUAACUUCACAUUUUCGAGAACGAUAAUCCGGGACGGGCUGUCACAAUAAACAUACAAAGAUAGUUCACAAUCAUAAAUGUUGAAUGCUGAUAAAGUUGUGCAGUGUGUGGUACGACCUUGAACGUUUGUUUACUGGAACGACUGUGCAACCGUGUGAUAUCAUAUAUACAACCAACUUGUAUCUUUGGAGCUACUAUCUCAUAGUCUGCUUCUAAGACCGAUGCUUCAAUGGCAUCAUUGUGAAUUAUAAAAAUUAUAGAGUUAAUUAUAGCUUUGUCUUUGUUUUUCAAAUUAUAGUUUUAACUAUAUUACAUUUAAACAAAAUGGUUUUCUUACCAGUUCAUCAACCAGUACACAUUGUUAGCCAUUGAAUUGGUUCUGAUGUCCAAACAUUUUGGGUCUCCACAUCCGGCAAAUUCUUACUUUGAUCUCCAUAUCAUUUCUAAGAGGCUUUAAUUCACAUAUUGGUACGAUGCUCAUUGUCUUGUAAAUCUGCCGACAAAAUAUACAGAUUGGUAAUAUGCAAAUUUUUACAAACUUGCAGUGAAAAAAAUAAGACAAUUCUAAGACACUCAAUUAAUAUAGUAGGGAAGAAUAAAAAGGAAGAGCUAUGAAAAAAAAUGAUAAGAAUGCAAUUUAGGUACAAUUUAAAAGAUCAAACUCAAAUAUAAAAAGACUCAAGCACUCAUAAAUUCAGAUACUGCUUGAAAGAUUAAAUUUAAACAUUGAAUCACUCAAGCAUUGAAAUGUUGUCACAUUGAACUCUACUGAAUCACUCAAAGCACUAAAAUGCUGUCACAUUGAACUAUACGUUUCUUUCAUACUUCCAGAACUAAUCCAUUUUGAUUAGAAACUAAUUAAGUGCUAUUUUCCCAUUAAAGUAAGCUGUAUAAUGGGACCACAUAAUGGGUGGAGGACCAUUGCCCCGUUAUGGAGAUAUAUGAAGAAUAUAAUUAACCCAAAACAAAUCAAGAUUUAUAUUCGCAUCUACGUAACAGUUUGAAUUGUACAAAUCGAUAUAUGAAAGCUAACUAUCAAUUUGACAACAAAUUUUGGUCACUGGAAGAAGCCAACCUUUUUCUUCUACAUUGAUCACUGUUGUAGUACAAUGACUUUAAUUUAGUACACAAAUUUAAAUUGAAAACGUUAACAUUCCAACUCAUGUUAGGAUUUCAUACCUGAAGAUCACCAAACGCUAUCAAAAUGAUACACCGAAGCACACUCUCUGCCAAACAUUGGAUACACUGGAAAAAGAGAAUUCAUAAGAUUUGCUAUGGUAUAAGAUUCACAAAUUUGCAAUAAUCAAGUAAGUGUUAAAAGAAUAUGCAACAUGCUAUCUAAUAAUGCUUUAAAACACUAACAAACAAAACAUGUGUAAUGCAUAUAUCCUAUCAGUACACAUAUUCUAAAAUACAUUUACGUAUCAAUACGCUUGUGAGCAAGAUAAGGAACAAAAGGAGCUCCAACAAUUUCCAAUGGUAAGGCAAACACAUUCAAAAUAAGAAACUCAUCAAACAUUGUUCCAAAAGGAUGGUCAUCAAGUUAGAGAAGGGAAGCGGUGGAAUUAUUUUCAUUACGUUAACAUCUGUCUCACUUCUUAAUUUCUUUAUAUCCAAACACUUUGAGUUCUGUUUUUCAUUCUUUUCAAGGUAUCAGGAACAAUUGUGCCCCACAGCUGUUGAUUACAAUCUUCCUUGUCUCUAUUUCUCUUGUUUCUUCAUUUAUUUGUUUGUAAUUUUGAUUGAGACUCAAAAUUGCAGGUAGCUACCCCCAUGGUCUUCCGGUUCCCAAUAAAUGUCUGUGCAUGUUGAUUUUCCAAGGGUGGAAGAGGAAAUUAACAAUUCUUCAUAUGUUUGAAGAAAAAACUACAUGCUAACCCAAGGGCCCAAAUACAACAUGAUUAACAAACCAUAAUUACAUAUUAACUCCAUUGAACCAAAUCAAAUGCAAACAGCAAAACAUAAAGUUAAGAACAAACCAGAAAAGCCAUCCAAAAAUUCAAUCACACCGCAGAAUAGUUGAGGAAAAGCAGGAGAGUAAGAGUCAAAGCAUCUGAAACUUUGGGGAAAGCACAUUUCUAUUGACACCAACAUCUCGAGCCUUUCCAUCCUGCUCCACACAAAGGCUUAAUCAGAAGCAGUGAUUCCAAAAUCAAAACCGUAAUUGCUGGUGUUAUUAAGAAAUAUGUAUAGCUUAGCCUCAAAUAACGCAAAAAUAAGAAUGGAAAUAGCAAGAAACAAUACUUCCAACACAAAGCAAGCUUCCUUCAUAGUCCACACCAUUCUAUGUACCUUCACCAGCAAAAAUGGAAGAAUUGUAAUAAUUAGUGCUUAAAGUGAUAUUAAAAAAAAAUUAAUAAAGGAGUAGGCAGGUACCCCAAACUGGGCUGGAAAUCAACCAAAAAUUCGGACAGAAAUUGAAAAUCCCACACGGAAAAAAAAAAGACGAACAUAAGAGAUUAUUUUCCCAAAAUCCACCCAGCCUUUGCUCGAAAGAAACAACGAUCAGCAAAAGGAACCACAGAGACUAUAGUUCAAGUAAAAUAAAACAUUCAAACAACUCAAAUCAAACAUUCAAAUAAAGUAUACUCUCGAGAUAAGACUCAGGAAACCCUAGCUUUUCAAAUUAAACUGAAAAUUUGAAAAAGGUGAGAAUCGUGACAGAGAGCGACAGAGAUAAACGAAAGGAAAAGAAAAGCGGAAAAGAAGUGGAAGCAGGAGUUCCAACGAUGAUCGAAAUUCAGUCCCGAAUUGAAAAAAAAAAUUAUGUGAGAGAGAGAGAGCAAGAGACAAACCUGAUUUGCUUGAGGAGGCUAGGGUUCCGGGCUUACGAGAGAGAGAGCUCGAGAAAUCUGUGGAAGCAAAUGGAAGAGCUCUGCUUUUCCACCUUUCUUCCUUUCUCAGAUGACUAAGAGCAAGUCCACUUGAAGACUUUGUGCCAGCACCCAGCGCAUUUAUCUACUCAAGUGAACAGUAAUAGACCUCAGUAACCAAAACAUCUCCAUCCCUAAAAAUACACUGGCACCCAGCCUAUCUAAUAUUAUAUUAUUUUAUUCAUAUCAAUUAAUAUUUUAUCAUUUAAUUUAUUUUUUCUUCUUUCUUCCUUUCCCUUUCCGGUCAUUUCUUUAUCAUUUCUUUUUUCUUUUUCUUUUUUCUUCCUUUCCCUCACCAUGUCAGUACCAAUCAAUACUCAACCUCCGACCAAGACCUCGACACCCAGGGCUUCAACCUUCACCGCACGAUCGCGGGGCUCAACCUGGACCACCUCAACAAGGUGUUCGUGGCCGUCGGGUUUCUGAAGCGGGACCCGGACAAGAUCCGGAUGACGCAAGAGCACACAGACUCGCUGCUGUGGAUGGAGUACAGGAAGACGAAGCGGCCGGUGGCCUUCACGAGGUCGACGGGAGACGGCCUCCAGUUCAAACUUCCUUCGAACGCCAAGCUGGCGUCACCGUGGCAUCAGAUAGGCCGAUCCUAAGGUCUGUUGAUUUUAAGCUGGCCUGUGGACUGGCAUGGGCUGGGUGCCCGUCAAUUGGGUCUGCUGGAGCAAAUUCACUGGGUCCUGGCCUAUUUUUUCGGCUAGGUGCUGGGCAAAAAGUCCUCCGAUGGAUUUGCUCUAACACGUGUAAAUUUAGCAUCCUUACUUUACCAACACGCGUCCAGCAUGGACAAAAUAAAGAUUUUUGCACCCCAAAAACCGAAGAGAAGAACAACCGGAGGAAAAAUCCAGGGGCAAAUUCGUCCACCCACUGGUCAUCCAUAGUACCAGCGUGGUUGGGUUUUAGUGUAUAGAGAUGUCUUCAAUUAUUCAAAAUGUCUACCGCGGUCGUCAAUAAGAUGAAUAGAAUCCUUUAGGCGUGUUAACUAAUCCGUAAUCAGAUUAAGAUGAAUUGGAUUGAGGAGGAAUUAGAAUGAGAUGGAAUCAGAAUUAGAUUCCUGUUGAAGUUAUUUACCAAAACUGUCUGGAAUCGGAGUAGAAUUGACAUUGAUGUAUAUAAACUGUUUAUUAAUUCACAUGAAUCGGAAUGAUAACUAAUGUGAUUAAUAAAGUACCCCUAUUUUAACUAAUUUAUUUUAUAUGCUAAUUAUUUUUAGUAAAACUUUUAUUCUUUUAUUUUUUUAAAUUUUUUACUAGAGAGAAUAAUUUUUUAUCUUUUAUAUAACUUUUAAAUUUUCCUAAUCGCAUAAAUUACUUCAAAUUUGAUAUGAAAGAAUCAUUUUUUAUUUGCUUCUAACUCUUAAUCACCCUAAAUCCUAUUAGAAAUACCUACAUAAAAUAAACUAAAAUAACAUUUUACUUCCUUCUCUCUUCCCCCUUUCUUUCUGCAUUCUUUUUCUGCAACCCUUUCCCCUUUCUUUCCCCAGUACGCAGUAUAACAUUUACUUCCUUCUUUCUCUUCCCCCUUUCUUUCCCAUUCUUUUUCUGCAACCCUUUCUUUCCCCUUUCUUUCACCAGUACGCAGUAUCCACACCCCACCAUCCAAUCUCAGGAGGAACUACGAAGCCACGACCCACCCCACCAACAAAAAUAAAAAAUCCAAUUUUUAGGGUGAGAGUGAUAAAAGUUCUUUCCUUCUCUUCUGUUUGAGUCUGCAAAUCGCAAUUCCCUUGAGGAUUUGGGCGUUCGUUGUUCCAGAUCAUGUUCAUCGUUGUGCUGUCGUUUCAAACCCCGGUCGAUCGUUGUUCCAAAUUGCAGGCGUUCGUCGUCCAGUGCUACUGCGUUUCGGAUUGCGAAGGUGGGGUGGUAUGUGCUGUGAGAGAAACAAAUACAAAGGAGAGUGAUUGAUGAAGGUAGAAGUUGUUUUAGGAAAUAUACAUGGGUAUUUUGGGUAAAAAACUUUGAUUCGUGAUGGAGCUCUCUACCCGGAAUUCAAUUACCACCUCAAUAGAGGGAAUCCAAAUCCGGGAAAAUCCGGAAUUGAACUCCUGAAAUUGGCUGGACCCUACAUAAAAUCUGAUUCCCCAGUUGCUAGUAAACUGUAGAAUGCUUGGGGAGGAAUUCAAUUCCGUUUCUCCCCAUUCCACUCCCGAUUGGUAAACACUCCAUUAAAGAAUAUCCAUUCCAUUUCUAUAUAUGCAAUGUACACACAGCCCCCAUCCAGUUUUGAUAAUCUCCGGACGUCCUAUCCUUUAUUCAGUUUCAACGUCCUUAUCUGUAGACAUUCAUCCACAGACGGGCACAUUGUAUAAUUGUCAAAAUCCUCAACAUACACUCCACUCCACAAUAACUUUAUUUAGAAUUCUGUUACAUGUAGUUCACGACAACCGAGCAUGUCUUCUCUCGCCCAACUCGAUCGCCAUCCAGCAACCAAUUCUGCGUCAAGAAUCAAAGAAAAAUCCAACAGUAGUUACAUUUCCGUCUUAUAUAUACAUAUACAACACUUUCGGAUCUAAUGAGACCUAACUUUCAUAUCCAAUCAGACCAGCUUUCAAAUCCAUGUUCAGUGUAAAAUCAGUAUUAGGAAGUAACUCAGAUAAUACAAGGUUUGUUUUCAGCCUCAUGUUCCAAAAGAGCGACAAUUAAGUUCAAAUGAAUGUAUGAAUAAGAAAAAAAAUUCAUACCUCCAAUAUCAUUAAGGGAAAUGUAUACUGCAGGUAAAAUUAUCCUUUAAAAAACCAAAGUGCCAGAACCUCACCUUGCCAACCACUCGAGUAUUCCACUUGCAAUUGAAAAAACCAGCAUGAGAGCUGCGCAUGUGUUCCUUGUUGCAAAAAUAUCCUGCAUAACUAAGCAGAAGUGAAGCACACGGCAUUUUUUACUGAAAAUCAUCAAUGAAGGGAAGAUCAUCAAUGUGCAACUCUGAUGACCUCCUUCGGUUCUACCAUACAACUUUUUUUUUUCUUUUCAAAUUUUUAUAUUUAUUGAACCUACCACACGCCUUAAACGUUCAGUUUGACUAAGUUCAGUCUCAUUUACCACUGCCAAUAAGUUACAGUACAAUAUGGUAUCAGGGUGUGCUGAUAUAAACAUGGCCACGGCUUCACUGAGACUAGGGGUGGGCAAACGGGUCCUGGACCCGCGGGUCGGGGCGGGUACCCGCGAUUUGGGGCGGGUAAGGGGCGGGUCCUAAAUUUCAAAACACAAAACGGGGCGGGGCGGGGCGGGUACAAGAAAUUAGCGGGGCGGGGCGGUUCUAGAAAUAAGAGGGAACGGGCCCCCGGCCCGGCCCGUUUCUAGCAAGAAUAAUUGGUUUUAUCCUCAUUUCAGUCUUCUCAGUUCUCAUAUACUCAGAGUCACUCACUUUUCCUUUUUCCCAACUCAAUCUCUCAUCCCGACUCGCUCUCACUGUCCCAGCUUUGUCUGCCGCCGCCAUCAUCAGCUCCGUCCGCCGCUGCCAUCAUCAGCUCCGUCCGUCGCCGCCAUAUCAGACCUCGAUCCAGGGAAGCUGAAAUCGUCUCUUCGUUUUUUUUUCAUUCAAUUUAUAGCGAAUUUCUUUGUUUUAUGUGGCUUUAAUUUUUGAAUGCAUGCAAGGAAUUGGGAUGGGGAAUGCAAUCAUGGUCGAUGAUCUGGAGCUCCUUGUUUUCUAAUGUAAUCUUAAACCGCUGCUGCUGUGUAUCUCUCUCACUCACUCUCUCGAAAUCAGUCUCUCUCUGUCGAACUCGAAUGGACGAACGACGAAGUCAAACAACUCAAAACGACGAAUCAAUCAUCUCCUCCACCUGACUCAGACUCAUAUUUGCAGCGCAGUCGAGCUCUGUUAACAGUCAUCUUCAGUUAAGGUAAUAUGUUUUAGGGAUUUAGGAUUUAAAAUUAAAUUAAGGUUUUCUAGAUUUAGAGAUUUUGUUGGGUUUUGAAAUCUUGACCUCUGUUAUGUUCCAAUUUCAAAUCUUUUGUUCAAAUGAUUUGGGUGGAAGGGGUCGAAAUCUGGGAUUAAGCAUUAGCUGGUAUCAGUUUGUGAACCAUUGUUAAAAUGAGAUCAUAUUAAUAUGUGCUGAUGUGCAUUUGUGCUUCAACAAUCUGUGCUUCAAUAUUUCUGUGAGUGUAAGUGUAAUAUGUGCUGUUGUGCACUGCAGUGCAGCGGCAGGCUGCAGCUCCAUUUUAUAAAAUAAUGUAUUAAAAAAAAAAAAAAGUUGGACCCGUGGACCCGCCCCGAAUCGGCCCGUUUGAAACGGGCCGGGUUAGGUCCGGUUCCAAAACUCAAAAUCUCUUUACCCGGCCCGUUACUAUUUAAAACGGGUAAGGUCCGGUUCCUCCAAAAUUGGGCCCGGCCCGGCCCGUGCCCAGCCCUAACUGAGACAUCAUCCUGUUUUAUGGACAGCAGUAUAAGCAAAGAAUUAAGGUGAGUAUGAAUGUAUAUUCAGUUACAUUACAAAUGAUUUACAAGUGCUCUUUAUAGGAGCCAGACAACAAUCGAUCAUUCAUGGCUAAUGGAAGCAGUCAUGAAAGGACAACUAGUGGACUUAGACGGCUUAGUUGACAAGCAAUGAGUCAUGAAAGGUUAAUGGACAGCUAGCGGACUAGACACAAUCAUGAAUAGCUAAUGGAAGCAAUCAUGAAAGGACAGAUAGUGGACUUAGACGGCUUAGUGGACAAGCAGGUGAGUAGAAGAUUCCCUUUUACGCCCUCGCAAGACGGUGGUCCCGUCAAAGACACCAAUCUUGGAUCGUAACAAUUGGAAGCGUGGACGAGGAAGGGCUUUUGUGAGGACGUCUGCAAGCUGAUCCUGAGUAGAAACAUGUGACACUUGAAGAAGCCCACGAUUGACUCGAUCACGAACAAAUUGAAAAUCAAGUUCAAUGUGCUUCAUGCGACAGUGAAGAACAGGAUUGACACUAUAAAAAGUUGCCCCAAUAUUGUCGCAGGAAAUGGUUGGCUUAUCCAUUGAGGAGACACCAAGCUCAUGGAGAAGGGAAUGAAGCCAAGCUAGUUCAACAGUAGUAGAGGCUAUGGCGCGAUAUUCUGCUUCCGUGGACGAUCUAGCGACAGAACGUUGUUUGCUAGAGCUCUAAGAGAUUAAGUUGCCACCCAAAUAAAUGACAUAACCCGUGGUAGACUUACGAUCAUCACGAUCACCAGCCCAGUCAGCGUCUGAGAAAGCAUAUAGACGAGAUGAGGUAGUGCGGCGGAAGAGAAUGCCAUGAAAAAUAGUGCCUUUCAGAUAGCGGAGGAGACAUUUCAAGGCCUGCCAAUGAGACUCAGUUGGUCGAUGCAUGAACUGUGAGAGUUUAUUGACGGUAAAUGAGAUGUCAGGGCGGGUAAGACUGAGGUAUUGGAGACCUCCAACAAGUUGUCGAAAGGUAGUAGCAUCAGUGAGAGGAGAGCCAUCAGAAAGAAUCAAAGGAGUAGAGGUAACCAUUGGUGUGGUCACAUCCUUAGCACCAUCCAUUUUAGCUUUAGCUAGAAGAUCAUGGAUGUAUUUAUGUUGAGAAAGAAACAAACCCAUGGUGGUGGGUAUCACUUCAACCCCAAGGAAAUAAUGAAGGUUCCCCAAAUCUUUGACAGAAAAACGAUUUGCCAAGGCUUGAAUGAAUGUAGAGAUGAGCCUGGUAUUAUUUCCUGUAAGAACAAGAUCAUCAACAUAAACUAGAAGGAAGAUCACAUCAUUAGCCUGACGAAAAAUAAAGAGAAAGGUAUCUGAGAUGGCAUUGACAAAUCCUUGAUUGAGCAAAAAGGCGCUCAACUCCUUGUACCAUGAUCGGGGUGCCUGCUUGAGGCCAUAUAAAGCUUUGUGGAGUUUGCAGACAUGUGUUGGAACAGUAGAUUCACCGAACCCUGGGGGUUGCACCAUGUAAACAUCCUUAGAGAGUGAUCCAUGCAAAAAAACAUUAUUCACGUCUAAUUGACGAAGAGGCCAACCAUGAGUGAGAGCCAAAUGAAGAACAAUACGGAUGGUGGUGGGUUUGACAAUUGGACUGAAGGUGUUUAAGAAAUCCACGCCAGGACGUUGGUGAAAGCCUUUAGCAACAAGGCGUGCUUUGUACCUAUUAAUGCUGCCAUCAUAAUGUCUUUUGAUGCGGAAGACCCAUUUGCACCCCAUAAGAUUCUGUGAAGGUUGAGGAGAAACAAGCUCCCAAGUGCCAUUGCGGAUUAACGUAUUGAACUCGUCGGACAUGGUUGCACGCCAAAGAGGAUCUUUGAUAACCUGAGAAACACAUGUUGGUUCAAUGGGAGAAUGAAGUGGGUAUUUGGUGGCAGUGCAAAGUUGUUUAGGUUUAAAGAUAAUGUUUUUGGCUCGGGUGGUCAUGGGGUGAUGGUUGAAAUUAUUUGGUGGUAGUGGUGGGGGUAAGGGAAUGAUAUAUGUGGGUAUGAGAUGAUGUGGUGAUGGGGGGUGAGCAGUCGCAGAUGGUGAUGGUGCAGGGGAAAGACACAACUCCGAGACCUCCGAAGACGUUUGAGUGUCAGCAUGCUGAGAAGAUGAGGUGUGUGAUGGAACCGGUGGUACCUCGGGAAUGUGAGCAGGAAUGGAGAUGGCUGCUGUAGUGACAAUAGACCAUGCAGUGGAGUUGAGGGAAGGAACUACGGAGUCACGAGAAGAAAAAGGAAAAGUGUUUUCGUCAAAUCGAUCGUGACGGGAAACAAACAUAUGACGGGAAGGGAGAUCAAGACAUAGAUAAGCACUUUGAGUAGAGGAGUAACCAAGAAAGAGACAUGGACGAGAUCGAGGAAGAAACUUGUUGGAAUUGUAGGGUCUUAACCAAGGGAAACAUAAGCAACCAAACACACGAAGCGUAAUGUAGUUAGGAAGAUCACCAAAGAGAGCUUUGUAUGGAGAGAUAUUAUUGAGAACAUGAGUGGGCAUCCUAUUAAUAAGAUACACAGCAAUUUUGAAAGCAUAUGACCAAUAAGUUAGGGGUAAGGAUGCUUGGUGGAGAAGUGUUAACCCUGUUUCGACAACAUGACGGUGGCGGCGUUCAGUAACACCAUUGUGUUCGGGAGUGUGUGAAGGAGUGGUGAGGUGAGUGAUGCCAUUUGUGGAAAGAAAAUUCUUGAGUUUAACAUAUUCUCCCCCUCCGUCAGAGUAAAAGGUGAUUAUUUUGGUGUGGAAGUAGUUUUCUACAAGAGCUUUAAAGGUUGUGAAGAUUGAAAAAACAUCGGAUUUGUGUUUCAUGGGAUAAAACCAAAUAUAUUUCGUGAAAUGAUCCACAAAGAUAACAUAGUAUGAAAAACCAUCAGUAGAUAAAUAGGGAGCAGGACCCCAUACAUCACUAUAAAUUAGUUCAAGGGGGACGCUUACUAACAAGCGUAGAAUGACCAAACGGGAGCUUGUGGCUCUUAUUGCAAUGACAAGAAGUGCAAACAGAAGGAGUUGAAGACAUAGGAAUGGAGGAGGUACGUUGGAUUUGAAGGAAGGUUCGAUGGUUGGGGUGACCGAGUCGACGGUGCCACACAUUGGAGGAGUCCAUCACACUGCUCAUAACUUGUUUUUGAGGCAUCAAGCACGGCCACUCAUAUGUAUCGUCCUUAUUCGGGCCUCGAAAAAGUGCCGCUCCCGUGUUGAGAUCCUUGACAAGAAAGAAAUCAGGAAAAAAUCAAUAGAGGUUGCAUUUUGUCUAUUAAUUUUGGCAAUGGAAAUAAUACUACGAGAAAUGGAAGGAACACACAAGACAUUAUUUAAGUGAAAUGGGGUGGUAGAGGAAGAAGAGAGUGAUGUGGAACCAACAUGUGUAAUACUCAAACUUGUUCCAUUUCCAAUAAUAAUCUGAUCAGGACCAUCAUAGGUAGUGGAGUCCGGGAUGUUCUUGGAGUCAAAGGUGACAUGGUGAGAGGCACCCGAGUCGAGCAGCCAAGGAGAUGAUGUUGAGGAGCGGAUAGUGGUGUGAUUGACCAUAGGUGGAGCGGAAGAAAGUUGAGGGCAACGUUUUGCACUAUGCCCUUGAGUACCACACCAUUGACAGAAACCACGAUACCCCGUACCGGAACAACGAUUAUUGGAGUUGUGAUUGUUAGCACGGUGAGAGUUGUAGGUGGUAUUCGUUGAAUGUUGUUGGGAGGCUUGUGUGGACCUGAAGUCACACUGGGAGGAGCGGGGAGCUUGAGCAACAAGGGCAGUCAUAGGAGUAACAACAGCUAGUGGUGCAUCCCGUUGGAGGAAAGUUUCAUGUUCAAUGAGUUUGUCAUACAGAUUCUCAAAGGAGAUGGAGGUAUCGCUAGUCCGAACAACGACAGCUAUUUCUUUGAAGGCAGGUCCAACACCAUUGAGGACGCGUAGAACAACAUCAUCGUCGGAUAGUGGAGAAUCAAUGAUGGCAAGCUCAUUGAUGAUAACUUUGAUAGCUUGUAGAAAAACUGACACAGGUUGUGUAUCAUGACGCAUAAGCGUAAGACGCUAUUUGAGGUUGAGAACCCGAAAGCGUGUUUUAUUGGCGUAGAGCUUGGUGAGCUUGUCCCAAGCCUCCUUGGAGGUUUUAGAGGAGGAAAUGAGAGAUAUAAUCUGUUCAGAGACAGAAGCUAAGAUAGCAUGUAGUAGGAGCUGAUCUUGAAAAAUCCAAAAGGUGUAGGACACGGCAGAUGAGGCAACAAAACAUGGUUUUGAUCCAUCAAUGUAACCCAUCAGGUUAUAUCCAAGAAGCAGGGCAUUGAAUUGAGCUCACCAGGAAGGAAAGUUGGUGGGUGUGAGUUUUAGAGGUAACUGAGCAGCAGCGCUAAUGGUGACAGGUGUGGGCAAGGGAAGUGAGUUGGUGGAUUCAGCCAUGAGGAUUGGAAAGAAAAAAAUGCUCGAUGGAGUUUUGUUGCUCUUGAUACCAAAUUAAGGUGCUCGAUGGAGUUUUGUUGCUCUUGAUACCAAAUUAAGGUGAGUAUGAAUGUAUAUUCAGUUACAUUACAAAUGAUUUACAAGUGCUCUUUAUAGGAGCCAGACAACAAUCAAUCAUUCAUGGCUAAUGGAAGCAAUCAUGAAAGGACAGCUAGUGGACUUAGACGGCUUAGUGGACAAGCAGGUGAGUAGAAGAUUCCCUUUUACAAAGAACCAGCUGAAUCCAACUUCACCUUAUGUGCAGGUCAGCAAUAAAGUCUGACAACCUUCAAAUGCACGGUGAUUGGGUGAGAGAUGUAGCGUGGGCACCCAGCUUGGGACUACCAAAGUCCACGUAGUCGCAAGUGCUUCACAGAAUCCCUUGCCAUUUGAAUGUAGUCUCUGAAAUCCCCAAUUCCAAUUCCAAUCCCAAUUCCAAUCCCAAUUCCAAUGUUGAUUCUUCGUCACCAAUAAAGGGAAAGGGAAAGGGUCAUGGCUACUCUGGCUCACGCCCUGCUCGGCAUUCCAUCGCACUGUGGUCUUUGCCGGGCCGUUAAUCCCAAGGACAAUUACAAACUAUGUGUUUAGGGUUUUCUAGAGCAAUUGCUGGCUACAGAAUCUUCACUUCCAGGUAGGGAUGGGCAAAUACCCAUUGGUUAUGGGUAACCGCGGUUACCCACUCAUUUAAAUUAAAUAAUUAUGGUUAUGGGUAACCGUUUAGAUAAAUAAACGGUUAUGAAUAUAAUCGUUUACCCGCGAAAUUUAAAUGGACGGUUAAGGGUAUUAACCGUAGUUAUAAAUGGGUAACCGUUUACCUAUUUAUUUUAUAUAUGUAAAAUUAACACAAAUCAUGUUCCCUAUCAAACAAAACUUAAAUCAAUGCUAUUGACUAUAGUACAUGAUUUCUGUAGCAUAAAACCUAUAUGAUGUGCUCAAUAACUUAUAUUUCUAUUACUCUACUUUUUAAUACAAGCCUACAUACCAAGCAUAAAACCUUUUCGGCAAGCCACACACUGUUUGGCGCUAGCCAACAUGCAUUGUUUUAUUUUUUUACACUAUGCUAAUUACAAGUGCAUAUUGAUUAUGUCGGUAACAUAUAUAUGCUUAUGUGCCGAGACAUAGCCAUCACGGUUUUACAUGAUAUAUUUAUAUGUACAAAUUAUUAGUCAUAUAAUUUUAUUUAGAAACAUACUACUAGAGAUAGGCAAAAACUCGCAGUUAUGGAUAACAACAGUUACCCGCCCAUUUAAACUUCAUGGGUUACGGUUAUGGGUAACCGUUGAGAUACAUAAACGGUUAUGGGUAUAACCGUUUACCCGUGAAAUUUAAAUGGGUGAUUAUGGGUAUUAACCGCGGUUAUAAACGGGUAACCGUUUACCCAUUUAGUUUAUAUAUGUAAAAUUAACACAAACCAUGUUGUCUAACGGACAAAAUUUAAAUCAAUGCUAUUGACUAUAGUGCAUGGUUUAUAUAGCUAAUUAUAAUAUAAUGUAGCUCAUUAUAUUUAUUAUGUUAAUACUUUACAUAUUAACAUUAUGAGUUAAAUAACCCAAGAAUAUUGUCUUCUAAACAGUUUUCAUAACCCAAGAAAACUUAGCAAAUAUUAUAUUACAUUCAUUGGUAACAGUUAGAAAUAUCGUUCGUAAAUUAUUAUUUCAAUUAUUGAAAUGAUAUAAGGAUUUAAAAAAAAAUUAAAAUACGGAAAUGUAUAAUGGUGUUUAAUUGUCAAAAAAAAAAAUUAUGACAAUUUUUUUUUUAAUUUUCAAGUUGUUAAAUGUAGACGGGUGAAAAAGGGGAAAUAGUAAAAAAUAAAAUAAAGAUAAACGAGUUAAAAAAGGUAAAUAGGUAAAUGGGUAUUAAACAGUUACGGUUAAAUGUGUAUGCGGUUAUGGGUAUGGUUAACUGUUUAUAAACGGGUAUGGGUAUGGGUAUAAUCGUUUAGGCAAUUACCCAAUGGGUAAACGGUUAUGCAGGUAUGAGCAUAAACGAUUAAGGAUAAAUAAUCGCGGUUACCUGUCCCUCGUAACCAUUGUCCAUCCCACUUCCAGGUUCCUACGAGGAAGAAGGAGGUUGGUAAUCUCUCCGGCCCAUGGGCACUGAAUGCAGCUGACGCCCUCAUCGUUAUCCACAGUGCUCCGGCUCACACCACUGUCGAAAUCCCCGUUGCCUGUUACCAGGUCACUGCUUCAUUCCACUGAUAAAUUGAUUAUCUUUAAUUUCUCUCUGUUUGUUUUGAUAAUUUUUUGAAUUGGGUACUGAUUGAAUUGUUAUUUGUGGGCUAUCUUGUAACAAUGUAUGCGAGAUGCGGUAAGCUUGACUUGGGGGAACAGGUUUUCAGUAUGAUGAAUAAGAAGCAUGUUGUUUCAUGGAGUUCCUUGAUCUCAAGUUAUGGCAUUCAUAGAUAUGGGAAAAAGGCAAUACAAAUUUUUGAAGACAUGAUCAAUCAUGGAGUUUCACCGAGUCACAUUUCAUUUGUUAGUGUCUUGGGGGCUUGUAGUCACGCAGAUCUUGUUGAAGAGGGGGAAAUAUUGUUUGAUUCUAUGGUUAAAGAACAUGGAUUAUAUCCCAGUGUUGAGCACUAUGCUUGUAUGGUGGAUCUUCUUGGUCGUGCCAAUCGGUUAGAUGAAGCAGCCAAAGUCAUAGAUAAUAUGCGGAUUGAGCCAGGAGCUAAAGUUUGGGGCGCUCUUCUUGGAUCAUGUAGAAUACAUUGAAACGUUGAGCUAGCGAGAGAGCAAGUAGAAGGCUAUUUGAGCUUGAGCCUAGGAAUGCUGGGAACUAUGUACUUCUAGCUGAUAUUUAUGCUGAAGCCAAGUUGUGGGACGAUGUAAAAAGAGUGAAGAAGCAUUUAGAAGCUCGAGAACUCCAAAAGGUCCCAGGUCGGAGUUGGAUUGAAGUUAAAAGGAAGAUAUACUCAUUCAUUUCCAUUGACAAGUUUAACCCACAGAUGGAGCAGCUCCAUGCAUUGUUGGCUGAAUUGUCGGCAGAGAUGAAAGACCAGGGAUAUAAGCCGCAAACUAAAGUUGUCCUGUAUGGUCUCGAUGAGGAAGAGAAGGAACGAAUAGUAUUAGGCCAUAGUGAAAAAUUAGCAGUUGCAUUUGGACUCAUAAAUUCCAAAAGAGGGGAAACUAUUAGGAUUUCCAAGAACUUAAGGUUAUGUGAAGAUUGUCACCCCGUUACAGAGUUCAUUUCUAAAUUCGCCAAUAGAGAGAUUCUGGUUCGAGAUGUGAAUCGGUUUCACCAUUUCCGUGACGGGGUUUGUUCAUGUGGAGAUUAUUGGUAGUUCCAGGUAGAUAUUUUUUCCUAAUAUAUAAAGGGGAGACUUUCGAGGUUUAUAGAGAUCUUAAAGGUGUAUAGUGUAUACUAGGAACACCGUUAAGAAUUAAUAAAAAAAUUUGAUAUUUUAUGAUUCAUAUGUUGGUUUGUGAUCUUGUAACUCUCUUCUCUUCUUUGUACUCAAUUGGAUUGACAUCCAUAAAUUAAAUGAUUGAUCCGUAAACACAGAUUACAUGUGCAUUCUUUUCAUGGUGGAUGUACAAUGGAACGAAGGUGGUCCGAGGACCACUCAAGGCUGGGAAAGAAGCAUGUGACGGUCCUACGGAGAUCCUCCGAAUAUUUGGUACAAGUUUCUUUUUUACCAAGUGUGAUGUAAUGCCUGUUAGGCAUAUUCACGGUAGCACUUGGCAGGUUGUGUUGACAACAUUCAAUAAAUGCCCUCGAUAGCACUCAUGAAAUUGCUUCGGCAAAUGUUGAUAUUUGUUGACAUAUGCAUAAUAUGGUUCAAUUAGCGAUAGCAAGCCCACUAAGUGCUCCAUUUAUUAUAAAACCAAAGGGUACGUAGCUCAAUUGGUAAACUUUUUCUUCAAACAAGGGGUAUGUUGCUCUGAUACAGAGUUUUCACCCCUGGAAGGUCCCGACUCCUGAGUUCGAUUCUUCCUUCCCCCAAUAUCGCUUGUACAAAGAAAGAAAAAACAUAUUCAAACAACUUUUCUUAAAUUCAGGCAUCAAUAGUUGAUAGCAACUUCUGAACAUUCGUGCGCCAUUGCGGAUAAAUUUAGAAAUCUGAACAUGAACAAUGUAAUGUUCACCGUCUCUUGAGAGAUUGUGCAGAAACAAACACUUGAAUUCAAAGCUUGAGGAAGCCCUUCUCUUUGAGGCUUUCAAUAGUGUCCCUAAGACUUACUUCCAAUGGAAGAAAAUUAACUCCCAAACUUUUUGCUUUUUCCUUUGAUAUUUGAUAGCCUGGUUCACAAGGUUUGUCAUCAUCACAUCUGCCAAACAAUGCAAGAAACAGAUAUUCCUUAAAAAUUUACCUCAUUCGGCGAGCUUUGAUCAAUGGCGUAUUUAAUGAAUAAGAAAACUGGGAAUUUGAUCGACAGCAAUCUUUUGAAGAUCGAUCCGCAUAAACUUGAAGAAACAAAAUACAAAUUUGUGGGAUUUUGAAAAUGAAAACUUACUUUUCAGGUGGGAAAAAAGUGGGAUGGAGUUCAUGUAAAAUACUCAGAGCCUUGGACAUGGGUGUAACAUGGCCAACGAAACAAUAUCUGCCACUAGCCGAAGGGACUUCAAAUGCUUGAACAUGAGCAAAGGCAACAUCUCUGACAUCACUAGAUGGAUAAUUUGAACUGAUUAUACUUGGGAUAUCUGCAUAGAAACGAAACAUUUAAAACUUGAAUCGCAAGAAAUACUUGAAACUUGCAUCGAAUCAUCUAAUUUGCUAGGAAACGGCCUGCGAGCAUCUACAAACAAUCAUGUUCUGCCCUAACCAAGAAAGAGAGAAAUAAUCCGGUUGUAGAAGUGUACCAUUUUUGAGAUUCAGAAUCAUCUCCACAGAGAGAUUAAGAGUUGGCUGUAGGAGCGGACCAAUCACAUAUGAUGGAUUGAUUGUAACCAAGUCAAUCCCAUUUUCUUUGGAAAAUUUCCAAGCAGCCUCCUCAGCUAAAGUUUUUGAAAGAAAAUACCAUUCCUGCACAUAAUUAGACAUGGAAAUUUCACAAAUUCAUUAAAGAAUAAAAGGUGAAAACUUGGAAGAAAAUAAUACGUAUGUAUGGGAACACACAAAACGUACCUUCAACUGCUCACAAAUUGCUUGAUCCGAAUACCAUGUUUCGUCAAUUACCACAUCAGGGUUCAAAGGUCUUCCAUUCACCAUGACUGCCGCCAUGGAAGAUGUUAAAAUCACUCUCUUGACAGUAGGAAAUUUUACGCACGAUUUUAGGACAUUGAGUGUGCCCUUCACUGCAGGGUCAGUUAGUUCUGUCUGGGACGCAGAACGAAAGAAUCAUUCAGUGUUUACAUAAAGAAUAUGUAUACUGAAAAGAGAGAAAGAGUCCGUACCAUUGGGUAACCUAGAAACUUAACAAGACUUUCAUGGCGAAAGCACACUUAGAGAUGGUUUGAGAGUGAGGUGCUUAAAAAAAAAAAACACUCAUGAAAAAAAGCUGUGAGAGUUUUAGGUGUUUGGUAAACUGAAAAAAAAAGGCUUAUUUUAGAAGCUGCUGUGAGAAUAAGCUGAAAUCAAAGGAAAAGCUGAAGCUGCUAUUUGCAGCUUUGGAAAACUGUUUUUUUUUCAAAGCACACGGAGCUACAGUGCUCCUUUAAUGAAAAGACCCACUAUCAGACUGCUUUUUUUAAUAAAAAAAACUUUUACAAAAAAGUUUACAAAACACUAUGCUGAUUUAUUUCACAGCCGCUUAUUCUCACAUCAGCUUUUUUUUCAAAACACAGCAAUACCAAACCAGCCCUUAGUCCUCGUAAUUUGAUAGGGUUCCCAAUCUGAUCAAAGUUCAACUAUAUAUGUAAGUAAAAGGAUGAAGUACCUGCGGAUCAGCGGCUGAAAGUUGUACAGGCGAUGCUGUAUGAAAAACACCUUCACAUCCAUCGACUGCAGGGUCGAAAGAUCCUUCUUCUAAUAAAUUUGCUUUGAACAACUGAAGCCUUUCUUUUGCUCCAUCAAGUGCGAGCAGGUGUUCUGUUUUCCUUGAAUCAUCUGCAUGCAUACACAAAACAUUCAUAAUAUGUCCUUGAAAUAAUCCCAAUUGCCAUUCAGCACUAAAAUACUCUAUCCGAAAAGAAUACUCAAAGAACUUGUAAUUAAUAUCCUUGUAAUAGAAGUAUUUUGUGAUUCAAAAAAAAAAAAAAAAAAAAAACGAAAAGAAAGUGUUUUGUGCUCUACCCAUAGAUAGCACAAUUUCUACCUCUUCCCUUGCUACAUCUUCGCCUUUACACGAGGGAAAUUAUUUCUGCACAUAUUUUUCAUAUUUUGCAUAUUCAUUUUAAUUUUGUCCUGAAUUUUGUCUCGCUAUAUUCAAUGUAAAAACUAAUAUAUAUAUAUAUAUAUAUAUAUAUAUAUAUCAAAAGACAAGAACUAGAAGCGUGUGAAAGUCAUUUUCCUUGACUAUAUUGCCCACUUGGCUAGUUGGCUCACUGCAAAAUUCAAUCCAUAUCUAAUUAUUUUCUUCAGAAUUUGAAAUUUCUUAUCUUAUAUAUGUUAUAUCCAAAACUCAAAAAAAUGCGGAUCGAUUUUUAGUUGAAACUACAAGUCUACAAUUCAUCUUCAAGUCCAGAGUAAAAUGAGCAUAAGAGUUCAUUGUUGUAACUUGUAACUUGCAGAGUCGGUCUUGAGACUUUAGGGGCCCGUGCCAAAGUGAAUUGAAGGCCCUAAAAAAUACUAAGAAUUUAAUUUUUUUUGUCAAAAUAAUAAUUUUAGUUUUUAAUUGAGCUUCUAUAAAUUCUAAUAGCACAAACAAAUUUAACAAAUUAACAGGCAGAAAGGUGGCGUAUUGUUUUUCCUUAACUAUUUAGAGGAUCAGGUUUUGAAUUUUCAUGUUAUUGUGUGGAAUUUUUAUAUUAUUUUAUGGAAGUUUAUGCAUUUAAUAAAAAUAUAAACUAACAAAAUGAUGGAGAUGAGUUUCGAACCCAUCCCCAUCCCCUAGGCCGAUGUAAAGAAGCAAUAAUUCCACUUACACUAAGACUUAAGUUUGUAAUAUUCUACACUUACUACUAUAUAUACGUAUAUGCAUGCAAAAUUGAAACAAACAUUUAUUUGUUUACCAAAAAAAAAAACAUUUAUUUUACUGCGUUAAUCGCUUGUGUUAAAAGUUACAUCGAAAUUUUGUUUACAAAAAUCUGAAUUUUCCUUCGAAAAGCAUUCAAAAGGAGUCUUUGGAUGAGAAAUAACUGAAAAGUGCUUUUAUACUGCAUAGAGACCAGUAAUUUUUCGUGGAAUUGGAUCCUCUCUUGAGCUCAGGAUGAGGAUUCUCUUGAGUAGCCCAUCUGGACCGUUGAAAUUUGAUCCAACGACUCUAAAUAAGGAGCCCCUCUAAAAGUUAUAAUAAUUGCAGCCGUUGAAUCAAGUUUAAAUAGCCUGGAUAGGUUGCUCAUGAGGAUCUCCAUCCUGAGCUGAGGAGAGGAUCCAGUUCCAUUUUUCGUUACCAAACAUUGUCAUAGGUGCAGUAUUCAUCUCUUACAGCCCUAGCCUCUAGGCCAUGAAUUGUUAAUCAAUAAAAACCCAGACUUUAAAUAAUGAAAUUUACUGAAACAAUGUAUAUAUAAGAUGAGCAAGAUUAUUAAGCAAGAAACUAAGAAAAUGGUAGGGAGGGAGAUAUAUAUACUGACUUGGUUCACGAACAGUGGCUUUGACAAUAUAACCUCGUUGCAGUAAGAGCUUCACCAGCCAUGAUGCUAUGUAACCGGAGGCUCCUGUUACGCACACCACCUUCCUCAUCUUCUCUCUUUAAAUCUCUCUCUCUCUCUCUGUCUCUCUCUAUGUGUGUGAAACUCAGAAAGAAGGUUUAUCUUAGACAUAUAGUUGCCAGAGUUGGUGCUUUUAUGGUGCGGUGAGAGAUCAGAAAUGUCAAUGAAGGCAGCGGCAGCUAAACACAGCAGUCGUUUAUUCUAAUUCGUAACAAAAAUGGAAACAAAUACUCGUUUAUCCUGUAUUACAUAAAAAAUAAUAUCUUGAGAAACUAUUAUUAACACAAUAAAAUAAAUCAUAGUCGUCUUUUGUAAAAUAUGUUAUUAUAUAUAGUGUUACUACUUAAGGAAAUUAAAUGGGUAAACUAAAUUUUGUAAAUCAAAUAACAUAAAUAUUAAUGCUUAGAUUAUUACUUAAUUACUGAGCAAUGUGUUUAUUUUUAUUGGUGAUACAUAAUUUAGGUUGCAAAAUUAGUUUACAUAUUUAGUCUUCUUAGCACUAGUUAUAAUAUUUUAAUAUUUAUAAACUGACCCUUUUUUGUAAAUAUUUCGCUCUAUUAAAUAAAAGUGAAAACGACCAAUACAAGAUUUCAUAGUAUCUAAUAUUCUUACCAUAUUUUAUAAAACAAAGUUGGAUUAAAGAUCUCAUAUUGGAUAUAUCAAUUUUUUUAUAUUUUUUAGUCAAGAAGUAAUUUUAUUACCAACAACAAUACAUUACACUCAAAGAGCCUAAAAAUACACUAAAUACAAAGAAACAUGGACCCAAAAACACACAAAAAAGCCCAAAGUCUACUUGGAGCCCAUCACUUGCAAACCAUAAAAAUAGGAAAAACCCUAAGCACCCACAGCUACUGGAGCUGCAUUCCCCACCGCUAAUGCUUCCCAAAAUGGAGCACACAGUGGCAGAACUAGAAUUUUAUGUGAGGAGGGGCCUCACAUACAUGUCCAAAAAAUAAAACAAAGAGAUAAUAUUGUUAAGAGAGUAGAAUACAUGCUUGAAUUGUUAGCUAAUUAAAAUUUUUUAGGCGCUAAAUUUUUCAGAAAUUAGCCUUCUAAUAUCAAGUCAAUAUAGAGAGUAAUUAAUUGAGAUUUUUCGAACAAAAAAAAGAGAAAAAUGGAUUGAGAAUUUAAAGAAAAAAAUAUAUGAAAUUUUAUAAAUUUAGUAAAAAGUUAAAGAGAACAUAUAGAUUUAUAAACAUUAAUAUUGUUUUGGGUUGGAAUUUGGAGGACAAAUAUAUGAAAUUUCACGAAGGAGAGGAGAAAAACUCAAAGUUUAUUAUUCUUCGUGUUGGACAAUGUGAAAAAAAUAUUUUUUGAUAAAACUAAAUAAGACUUUACAUUUUGAUUUUAAGAUUUGAUUUUUUUUUUAUAAAAUAAGAUGUUAAAUUUAGUUUUAAGAUGAGUGGUGUUGGAAUUGAAAAUAAUAAGAGACCUAUUAUUUUAAUUAUUGGUAAAUAGAAUUUAAGAAUUUUGUAUAGACUAAAAGAAAGAUAAUACUAAAUUUACCAAAAAAAAAGAAGAAGAAACAUAUUACAAAUUAUUUAGAAAGGAUGAAAAAGUGAGGGUAGGCCUAUGUAGUGCCUCCGCCACCAGACAUCAAACCAUCCAGAUUCUCAAAUUUAAAGAAGAAAUUGCUGCUCCAUCCUCCAUGGACCACCAAAAUGAACGCCAACAAGAAACAAAGGAAUCCAACCGGAAGUGAGAUCUGACAUCACCAACCAAGGCGAACAUCAGGAAGGACCAACAAAGGUCAACAAGGGCGGUGGUGUGAACAUCCGAGCCAAAACUCUAUAAACUCUCCAGUAAAAAUGCGAGAAAUCACAGGAAAAGGUAGGUGAAUUGAAUUAUGAGUUAAUGGAUAUAUCUAAGAGCCUGUUUGGUACUCUACUUGAAUCCAACUUUUUAAACUAAAAAACAAUUUUCAAGUUUUAGGCCUUAAAAAUUUGUUUGGUAGGACUAUUUUAAAAAACUGAACUCAACACUAACUAAAAAAUAUAGUCUAUUAUCUAAAAACACAAAAAGUGAGUUUUUAAACUUAAACUCACUCCUUUCUUUCCCCCCCCCCUCCCCAUCUCACUCCAAAUCUAUCUCUUUUCUUCUUUUCCUCCCCCUUCUCUUUUUUUUUAACAUUUUUAGUCUCUCCUCCAAUCUGCUCUUUUCAUUCUCUCGAUUUUUUCUCUCACUCCUCUUCCUCUCUAUCUCCUCCGAUCAUCUCACUUCUUUCUCUUUCUUCCAAUCAUCUCUUACUUUCUUUCCUCCUCACUCCUCUUUCUCUCCCGACCCUCUCUUUUUGGAUCUUUUUGUCCAAUUUAAGUUGUAAGAUUUAAAAAUUUUAAAUUGAAUACCAAACAAGUUUUCGAGUCUUAAAAAAAAUUGUUUUCAAGAAAAAUUCUUAAGAAAUGUUUUGAGAAAUUAUAAAAAAUUUCAAAUAGAAUACGAAACAAGCCCUAAUGUUUUAGCAUUGAUGAUUUUGUUCUGUUGCAUGUGUUUGUCAGUUGUCCCACUCCGCUAUUUUUAAGUUUCUAAAUUUUUAUUUUGAUAUAUAUAACGAUAUUUUGGCAUUUUACAUUGAACGGGUUUUGAAGUUUUUGUUACAUGUGCAUCUCUUCAAACCAUUCAAAACAAUUCUAUCCUUUUUUCUCUGCACAAUUUAUGUGAAAAAGAAAGAAUGAAUGACCAAGACAUGGUUUGGGUAGUUCCAAAUGAGGUACACUAAAUGUGCUAUGAACAUGACCAAAUGUGUCGGGAACAUAGUGUGGUACAUCAAGUAUAACAAUAUAAGUGGUUGAAUUUUAUUUUCAAGUAUCCAAUCACUUGUAUUGUGAUAAUUGAUAUAUCAAACCAUGUUUCUGGUUACUAAAAAAUCUCUCAUCUUUGUAUAUCUCUAACAAGUUUAGGUAUGUAAUUUAAUGGUAGAGUUGGUGGUUUCUUAUGGUGGAAAGUUAGCUGAACAACAUAAGUUACGAACUUAUGUAAUGUUUCAGUCAGAAAUUCAAAAAAUUUGAAAUCUCUAAAUGCAUUCCAAUUUCUAUUCCAAAUUUUCAAAAAUAUUCGUAUUUAGAAUUUUCGGGUUCGAAUUCACAAAUUUUAGAGUGGAAAUUGGAAAUACCGCUCCAACUUGCAUCUCACAUUUUAAUUUUAUUAGACUAGCUAUUGUAAUUACAGUGUGAAUCAUAGCUUAAUUCAGGGUUUAGACUUGUUCACGAAUUGGGGCGUGAAAGCUCAUCCUAACUAAAUUGUGUAGGUUUAUAACUAGGCAAUCAAAUAGGGUAAACAUAAUGAGGUCGAAUUAUAUAGGAGGCUUGGAAUUUUAUUAUUUCUUGUAUGCUUGUAAAGAUUAUUAUUUUUUAUAAGAUUUUUUUUAUUGUAGUUAUAUUUUAUCCUAUUUAGUUUUCAAUUAUUUAUUAAAUUUUAACCCUGAAUUCGGAUUCGAGGUUUUCACCGAUCCUAGGCCCGGGGUAUGACAACUACGAAUUACUUUGGUUGGUGAACCACAUGGAUUUUCAUGUACUCAAGAAAUCUUAGUUUUCAACAUGAUAAAUUCGAAUAUGGCUAGUUUUAUCAAAUUUAUAAAUGCGAGGGUGAAUAAUAUCUCAAUAGUAGAUACGGAAUUAUAUAUGUUUCCAUAACUUCACAACAAAAUUCGUCAUUUUUCACUAUAAAUAAACCCGAAUACUCUUCUCGAGAAAACAUUAGAAAUUCGUGAUUUCAUAGCAACUAACGAGUCACUCAAAAAGGUUUAGAACAAGAGAAUUAUUUUCAUAACACAAUCAAACUAGCUAUUGGUGUUGUUAAGUUUCUUUAGUCCUACAAAUCUAUAUCAUUUCAAGUUGUAUAUCUUUGAAUAUGCAUACCAAGAAUGAUGAAGUUCAUGUUCAAUCGAAUCGAUGAAUUACCAGAUUAUAUGAAUACGUUCUGCCCAGUUUAGGAUAUGACUAAUACAUCUCCUUUAUAAUUACUUUAAAAGUUCUUUUUAUUGUCCAUUCUAAAUGUUUUAUAAUUACUAUUCUGUAGUUUAGUGGUUGUAGGUAACCACCAAAGAAUCUCUUUCAUCCUCUUCUUCUUCGUCUUCCUCAUCAUAAGAGGAAGAGAGGGAGCUGCUAGCAGACUUGGAGGUCAAGCAGACUAGACUCCCAAUCUUUCUGGAUCUAAUGUGGCCUGUCAACGCCGGUGGAGAAGUGUGAAGAGAAUGGAGCAUCGGUUGGGGCUACGGAUGGACUACUCUUUGAACUUGCAAAGAAGAACAGGCACAUAAACUGUUUCAGAAACAAGUUUUUGGAAUUUUGGAGAGGUAAUAAUAUUCAUGUGCAUAGAAGGAUCAGAGGGUAUGUUGCUGUAAUUUGUAUUGCCAAUUGUAAAGGAAGUUUUCGUUGUUGUAGUCAGUUUUUUAGUCAACUAAUUAGAGGACUUAGCUUGUGUAUGUUACUAGAUUGUAUAGGUUUUGUAGUUACACACAAAUUUUCUUCAUAUAUAGUAGGUACUAAACAAUACUUUAGUUUGAGUAUUUAAAUAUUCAAAAUCCAAAAGCCUUUUUUUUUUUAAAAAAAUAAAUUUGGAAAACCUCUAUGGUACGAGGGAAAUUUUAUUGAUAAAAUAAAAUUAAGUUACACUUAGUCACGGGAGACAUAAACCUAAUCCCUCAUAGUACAAGGAAAAAAAAAAGCAAAAAAAAAAAAAAAAAAAAAAAAAAAAAGAAAGAAAAAAACAUGAAAAAGAAAGGAGGACAUAAAACCUUACCCUUCUAGAAACAAAAACAAUAAUGGUACAGGGAAAAAGGGGGGGGGGCAUGAAACCUAACCCCUCUAAAAGCAAACCUAAAAAGGUCUAAACUUGCAAAACAAAUCAAGCAACAUCACAUGUUAAGAAAAGAACAUAAGAAAGUCAGACAAACAUGUAUGCCGAGAUGCACAUUAAGUUGAGAAGCGGAAGCUAGGAAACCCAACAUAGUUUGAAAACAAAGCAGCACGAGCCGCCAUUGGAGGGGAAUCAUGCAAUACCAAAGUUGGUGAAGACAAGCCUAUGUUAGCAAAAUUGUCUGCAACAACGUUUCCCUUGUGAUAUAUAUGAGAGGCGUAGAAACUCGUCUUCCGAAUAUAGUCCAAACAAAUAGACCAUUGUGUACAAAGAGGCCAAGGAGGAACAAAAUCAAUUAAUUGGAGAGCAUAAAUAACACUAGAAGAGUCACUUGCCAACCAAAGACAAUGUCAACCCAACUGAUAUGCAAACUCUAUACCAAUAAUAAUUGCUGAUAAUUAUGUAAAGAAAGAGUUACGAAGACCGAUCCCUUGGUAGAAACCACCAAGAAAUUGACCAUGACAAUCCCUGAAAACUCCUCCACAGGCAGCGGGACCAAGAUUUCCUUUACACAAACCAUCUGUAUUAAGUUUAAUACAAGGAAAACAAGGAAAAGACUAAAGCACAGGACGAAUAGCCGACACCUUGCGAGGAAUAGGUUGGAUUCACAAAGAAGAAAUGAUACGUGUGUCAAAACUCUGAGAGUAACCAGGAAUAAACUUCCCACCAUGCACGAUCCCAGAGUAUAUAGACAUGCAAAGGCGAUGAAAAUAUAUUGGGCGACCCUAAAAAAUAGACUUAUUUCGAGCUUUCUAAAUAGCUGAAAUAGUAGAAAGACCCACAAAAAUCCAGAGAUUAUGCAACUAUUUGGAAAAAGGCUUAUGUAUAUAAGCAUCCCAAAAGAUAGCCAAAGAAUCAGAUAAAGGCAAAUAGGUACCAAAUUGACAUGCUAACCACCUUUGAAGUUGCUUGAUAUUCGACAACCGAAGAAAAGAUGAACAGGAGGUUCUCAGAAUUAUGACAUAAACAACAAAUGGACACCAAAGAAAUUCCACGUCAUUGUAGUGCACCUUCGAUAGGAAGUUGUCCUGAAAAAGAUGCCAAGCCAAAAUAGAUAGUUGAGGCGGAAUAAAAUGUCGCCAAAUAACUUUAGCCUAAGUACAAUCCGUAUGUUUUCGGCGAAUAAUAUGACAGCUAGAAGAAAAGGAAAAUUUCCUAGUAGACGUAGGUUCCUAAAUCAAUUUGUCAUCUUCUACAUUUAAAGGCAAAGGUAAACGUAGAAUCUGUUGCACCACAUAAGGGAAUAAAUCUCCAAAAUAAUCUGGCAAAGACCAACUUUGAGCUUCAAUAACAUUUAAAACCCUAGGAGGAACUGUAGGUGAAAUGACCAAAGCGAAUGAAGGGCCAAUAAUCGGGCCAUCCAACCAUUUGUCGAACCAAAAAGAAACUGAUCUCCCAUCACCAAUAAUCCAGCGACUAUUGUUAUUUAGAAUAGGCAAAGUGCGCUUCAAACCAUGCCAUACAGAAGAUCGUAAAUAGAUAUCUUGCUUUUUGUAAGGUGCAAGAGGAAAACAUUGGCGAGCAAAAGAACCCUACAAAGAAGAGGAUUGUAAAGCAUCCUAGCCAAAACUAAGCAAAGCCGUCAAGUUUAAAACAACCAAAUCAUAAAGACCAAGCCCCCCCUUCAUGCUUAGGUCCACAUACCAUACUCUAAUCAACAGUUACUAACUUUCGUGUUGCCAAGUCCCCUGACCAAAUAAAAUUCCUUGCACAAGCAGAAAUAUGCUUUAAAAAGCAAGCUGACCAUUGAUAAACUGAGAAGCUAUGAAGAAACAAGCUUUGAUAAAUAGAUUGUACCAACUGGAGUUGUCCAGCCAUUGAGAGAAGUUUACCUUUUCAACCUGAAAGUCAAGUUUUAACCUUAUCUACCAAAGCUUGGAAGUGAAUUCUACUUGGCUUACCACGAAAAAUGGGUACCUCAAGAUAAGUGAAAGGAACAACACCUAUACGAAAGCCAAGAUAUCUCAAGACAUGCACUCUACGAUGGGCAGAGGUAGAGUCGAGAUAAAAAGUAUCCUUAGUUGCAUUAACAAGUUAUCCUGAUGCACAACCAGACUCAUCCAAAAACUUUCGAAGAGAACGAAGAGAUCGAUCAUUCCCACGACAAAAAAGUAAAAAGAUCAUUAGCAUAUAUCAUAUGAGUUGGAGGUCAACAACCCCAUGGAGUUGAAAUAGUAGUGAUCUAUUCAGUAAAGAAAAGCACAGAUAAACCUCUGCUAGACAGAAAAGAAGUGGAGAAAGAGGAUCUCUUUGAUGUACACCUUGAGAGUAAGAGAAAAUUCCAUGAGGUGUGCCAUUUAUCAAAAUUGAAAGACGAGGUGACUGUAACAAAACAUGCACCCAAUCCACAAAAAUAUGAGAAAAUCCAAAGCUAGAAAGCACGUGGAGAAGAAAAUUCCAGUUUAAAGUAUCAAAAGCAUUAGCAAUAUCAACUUUUAUGCCCACAUUACCACUUUGUCCAUAAAAUUGAAGCCUUCUGAAACUAGCCCAAUGCAGUCAGAAAUACGUCUACCCUUAAAAAAUGCCAUUUGCUGAGGAGAAAUUAUGCGAAUGGCAGCCCCAUCAACUUUAAGGAUAAGCACCACAAAGUUGCAAUUAGCAUUAGGAUAAAGCCAGUCACGCUUAAAAAAAUCUUGAACAAAAGCAAUAACAUCAAAACCAAUAAUAUCCCAGCAUGACUGAUAGAAAAAACCAGGAAAACCAUCAGGUCCUGGAGCACUCGAAUGAUCCAUAGAAAAAACUGCAUUUUUAAUCUCAUCAGCUGAAGGUAAAUAAUAAAAGGCGAGAUUUUCCUUUUCAUUAACCAUAGGUGGAAUUACACCACAAAUAUCUUCAAUUCCACUUGGAAUGAACAAUAAGUUAUAUAAAGAUUGAUAAUAGUUUAACACAUGACCAACAAUAUCAAUAAGGGAAGAAAGUACAUUAUCACCAUCCAAAAGAGUAACAAUCUUGGAAGAUGAUCACUCCAGAAAGCUUCUUGCAUAUGAAGAGCAUUGAGGACAGUUGUCUUAGCAACAACUUCCUCAUUAAACCUCUUUUCAGACUUCCCAUUAGAAGAAAUAAUAUUUUGGAUGUUAUGAAGUCUUUAAUUAGCAAAAGUAACAUUUCUAUGAACAUUACCAAAAAGAUUAGAGUUCCAAUCUCAAAGGCAGUGCUUAAGAACCUUGAGCUUUUCCAACAUAAUAAACAUGGGACACCCAUAGGCAAUAGUUGACUGCCAGCACUUUACAACCAAAUCCAAAAAGCCUGAAUGUAAAGUCCACAUGGAUUGAAAUCGAAACGGUAGGGGCCCUCUAAGAACCUUAGCAGAAGCUGAGAAAACAAGACAAUUAUUAUCAGAAACUACCUUGGGUAAAGCUGAACAACUAGUAUGAAGCCAAGACUAUAACCAACGUGUGUCACAAAGAGAGCAGUCAAGACACCUCUCCAUAUACACACGGACACUCCAACCAUUAGCUCAAGUAUAAAAAGUACCAUUUGUGGAUGCAAAUUUCUUCCUCUUUGUUCUUGGACAAAAUUGCACCUACAAAACAAAUAACACCUUAGGUUAAGGCCAAUAGCAUCAUGCGCCCACGAUGAAUUGGGGGGGGGGCUUGGCCGAAGAACCUCCGAUGCAAAAGUUAGAAUUUUAAGGGAAAAAUGUUUGGAAAUUUUUGAGUAUUUAGUAAGAGUGUAGACCUAGGUUUUUAGAGAAAAUGGGAGAAGGUGGUUGGCCCUUUGUGGUGUUUUUGAGUGUAUUUUGUAGUUAAUUGGUAGUUUGAUUAGCCAUUAAUAGAUUAAUUAGGUAAUAAAUCUAUUAAUUAGCUAAUUAACAUAAUUUAAAAGUAAUGUUUUGGGGGUUACCUUGUGGAGAACAUGGAUGAAAUAGGUUUUGAAUAAAUACCUAUUUUGGGCACUUUUGAAUUGAUUAUGGGAUGAUUGUCCACUGCUCGCUCGUGGGAAUUUCGGUGCUUCUCAAGGGUAAUUUUGUCAUUUCUACCCAAAAAUCCACGUGUUGUCUCUUGAUUAUUUUUGGCUCCACAAAUGCCCCCACACCUAUUGGGCUGUUCGUAGGAAAGGGUAGCAGGUGCAGAGAUCUCCAACUUUGAUGCAGAUUCUCUGUUGGACUUGGAAUUAGAUUCUUCUAGGAAAGAGAAAUAAAUCGCCUCCAAAGCUUAUUUAAGCCUACCUUAAGUAGGGGAUUAAAUCAACUUCGGAGGGCAAUUAUUUAUCCCUACAAGAAAGAGAGAAAACGAUAUUUGUUCCCCCUCCCCUAGCACUUUUCUUUGCUUGCCCGUGCAAAGAACCGUCUUCCGUUGAUUUCUUUUUCUUCGUCGCGCCACAUUGAUGUAAGAAAAACUUAAUUCUUAUUGUCUUCUUCUUGGGAGGUGCUGCCACGGGGCAGCCAUCAGGGUGGUGCGGCACGUCGGCUGGCAGGGGCCAAGAGUCGGCUUGGCAUAAGCCAAUGAGGUGGUGUGGCAUGGGCCAUUGCUUGUGCUGUUUGGCUUAAUUAAAGCCAAGGAUUGGCUCGGCAUGGGCCGAGGAAGUGGCGUGGCAUGGGUAACGGUUUGGGCUGCUUGCUAAAAAUGAGGAAAUUGCUUAAGUUUGAUUUAUCAGCUGCCAUAGAUAGAAUAGUCAAGGGUAGAGCUGCCAAGAUCGGAGCUGUUGAAGAUGAAGUGUCGGAUGAGCGACUGUUAAGUGCAAAAAUGGCUGCUGCCCCCUGACCAUUUGAUGCCUAGUUAAUCUUCAAGCAUUCGAUCUUUUGAGCUAUGUUGCCUUCUCGCACUGGAGAGCUUACCCAUAUGGGUGUCGGGGAAUUAGUUUACCAUCUCGCACUUGAGAGCAAUUAGUUUACCCUCUCGCACUGGAGAGCAAUUAGUUUAUCCUCUCUCACUGGAGAGCAGACCCAUAUGGGUGUCGGGAAAUUGGUUUACCCUCUCGCACUGGAGAGCAAUUAGUUUAUCCUCUCGCACUAGAGAGCAGACCCAUAUAGGUGUCGAGGAAUUGGUUUACCCUCUCGCACUGGAGAGCAAUUAGUUUAUCCUCUCGCACUAGAUAACAGACCUAUAUGGGUGUCAGGGAAUUGGUUUACCCUCUUGCAUUGGAGAGCAAUUAGUUUAUACUCUCGCACUGGAGAGCAUACCCAUAUGGGUGUCGGGUAAUUGGUUUACCCUCUUGCACUGGAGAGCAAUUAGUUUAUCCUCUCGCACUGGAGAGCAGACCCAGAAAGGGUUUUUAGCAGUUGUUGUGGAUAGCAGUUGAGGAAAACUGGACUGCUGGACAACUGAAAUAAUCCUCAGCCUGCGAGGUCUUGUUUGGUGAACUGCUUGAGACUUCGAACUACUUGUGGAACCCACGUAAAGGUGUAAUCGCAGUGAGCUGCUCCUAGAAUUAUUGCGCCAUCAUUAGGUGUUUCGUCGUGUGCCCUUUUGAGGCUUGGUUAACGCAAGCACCAUGGUAAAAUCGACACGGCUGUGAGUCGUGGUGCAAGAUUGGCACAGUUAUGAGCCAUGUGAUAAUUCAAUGGCUGCCAGGAGCCGUGGAGCAGGUAGACAUGGAUGUGAAAGAAGGGCUUGGGCCAGGUUGCGCAUCAAAAGGAAUUGGACCACUAGGUCCGUGAUGAUCGGCUAUUGAUGAUGUGCUGCUUCAAUAUUAAAUCGUCUGGAGUGUUGAGAACAAGACAUGCCCUCGAUUCUUGGUAGUUGGGCUGGUGUGUCAUUCAAGUACUCAUCUGCCCCCGGUUUGCCAUUAGGCUGAGCUGCUGCGUUUGUCGGAACAUAAGUAGUCUUUGUAUCCGACAAUCUAUAUGGGGUAGUCCCGUCUGCUCGAUCUUGUCAUUGAAAUAUGACUCACUUAUGUUGGUCAUGUCUCAUCGAAGUGCCUUGUCAAUAGCUUCGUUACACGGGAAAUCGCGUAAUCGCUUGGUCAGAAGCCUUUAUACUUCUUCUUGAAUUUUCCUUUAUUGGGGGUGGCAGAGCUCUCGGCUGCCCCCGGUCGUUACCUGCUGGUAUAGGCUGCUCAUCCAUGUGUUUGGCUUGUCUACGGCUCGGCUGCGAUGCAUGUGGUAUGUUCCUAACUGGCGAGUAGGUAACUCGCAGGCUGUUGGCUGAACUUGAGCCAGAUUGAGAGACUGCUUCUUUCCGUCUGCUGUGCUGCCUACUUUGAUGUAAGGUGAAAAAUGCUCUUUGCGGGCAUUGCCGCAAAUGAACACUUCGCUUGGAAGGUUGCUCAUGUUGAUUAUCUGAGUGUGGCCCCAACCGUGAGUGUAUGUUUAUCCGUGGGCCUAACUGAAAAUGCAUGCUCCUCCAAGCUCUAAGACGGAAGUAUACGCUAUCUCGAGGGCCUAGUCGGGAAUGUACUCCGUUAGAACGCUCGGUUCGUGACUGGUCAAGUGGCUGCCUGCUGGGACGCUGCUGAAGAGAUUCUUCGUUUGCCCUUGUCUUACUGCGGGACACCUCGUCAGGGGCAUAUUGCAUUUCGGUGCGCUGCAAGAGCUGAUUCACUAAGGUCGUCUACUAUGCAAGGGCGCUCGUCAACUCUAUAACUUGUCGAGACAAGUAUUGUUCUCCAUUUAGGUUGGAAGAGCUUGGAAGGAAUGUAUCCCAUUGAGCAUUGGAAUUGUGGUAGACUCCUGACGUGAGAUUUGAGUUGAGAAAUGUCAAAUCUGCAGAAAAAUGUGGUGAAAAUGCUCCCGGUUCGAUCGUCAGUCUGGAAAUUUAGAGUCGAGAUGGUUGAACUAAUCUUGAAUCAAUUUGGGCUGCUUGGAAGGCAAUUGGAGCAGGCUGGGCCACUGGAGUGGGCUGCUCGGCGGGAGCAGGCUGGGCCGCAUGAAUGGGCUGCUCGAUGGGAACAGGCUGGGCCACAGGAGCAGGCUGGGCCGCCGGAGUAGGCUGCUCGGCGUGUGGCGCAUGCAGGUGUGAGGCUUAGGCUUGGCUUGGCAACGCGUUGGGCGUUGAGUGACUUGGCUUGGACCGUGACCUUGGUGUCAUGGGCCUUAGAUGACAUGACUCGGGUCGUGGUGGUGACACAAUGGACCUCGCUGCAGGUGGCUACUGUAGUAGCCACCAUGGUGGUUCCCGUGGUGGAAACUCGUGGUUGUGGUUUGUCUCCACUUAUUGUCACAUUUAACCUCGUGGAUCGCCGUGGUCCAAUUUCUUGAAUAUUGGAAUUUUCACUUUUGAAUUUUCUAAAUUUCUAGUCAUUGUAGUUCUUUUUUACGUUUUAUCAAAGAAUUUUUGCAAAUAAAAAAUUCUAAUAAUAAAAACGUACGAAAAAUCUACAAAUGGACAAGAAAAAUAGAAAAACCUUGGACGCGAGAGUCUUCUUCGAGUGUGGGACUCAGCUCUCAAUGAAAGCACCAAUUUGUGGAUGCAAAUUUCUUCCUCCUUAUUCUUGGACAAAAUUGCACCUACAAAACAAAUAACACCUUAGGUCAAGGCCAAUAGCCUCACGUGCCCACGAUGAAUUGGGGGGUGGGGGGGGUUUGGCAAAAGAACCUCCAAUGCCAAAGUUAGAAUUUUAAGGGAAAAGUGCUUGGAGAAUUUUGAGUAUUUAGCAAGAGUGUAGACCUAGGUUUUUAGAGAAAAUGGGGUAGUAUAUAUAGGGCAUGGCGGGCCUCCUUGGGGGAGAAGGUGGCCGGCCCUUUGUGGUGUUUUUGAGUGUAUUUUGUAGUUAAUUGGUAAUUUAAUUAGCCAUUAAUAGAUUAAUCAGGUAAUAAUCUAUUAAUUAGCUAAUUAACAUAAUUUAAAAGGAAUGUUUUGGGGAUUACCUUGUGGAGAAGAUGGAUGAAAUAGGUUUUGAGUAAAUACCUAUUUUGGGCACUUUUGACUUAAUUGUGGGAUGAUUGUCCACUGCUCGCGUGUGAGAAUUCCGGUGCUCCUCAAGGGUAAUUUUGUCCUUUCUGCCCAAAAAUCCACGUGUCGUGUCUUGAUUAUUUUUGGCUCCAUACCAGUAGUAUCCAUAUGGGUAAAAUUACAAAGCUUAGUGGUGCUACAAAAGUCCUUACAUGAAGCUCAAGAAGGUAGAUGGCCGCCCAUCUGUUCAUGAGCUCCAAGAAUAAAAUUAAAGUAACCAAUUGCCAUCCUUGGUACUGUAGUAUGAAAACGAAUAUCUAAAAGACCACACCAUAAAGCACGGCAAAGACAUGCAGUAGUAGCUAUAUAAAUAAUAGUAAACUGAGAAAGAACAUCAUCAAAAGAAGCCUGAAAAGUAAUCUAUUGGGCUAAACAAGAAAUCAAAGUAGGGGAACAAUAACCUGUAGAACACAAAACUUAAAUAUUAGGCAGUAAACCAUCCCUGAUAUUAGCAGUAAGCAUGUAACGACCCGUCCCAAAAUAUUGCUACUUUUAUAAUUUUAAAACGUGAAAUUAUGAAAAUGCCCUUUGAGGCAAAAACAUUGACUUUUGUUAACUGUAUUGUCGUGUCACAUAAGAUUCAUUUCCUUGACGUUUCCUUGUAGUAUUAAUUUGGAGUUACGAUGAACGUUUUACGGAAUUCAAAACUUAAGGUCAUUUUGGUAAUUUUCAAGUAAAGAUAUUUUCCACCUUGGAUCACUCCCGGGCUUACACGUGGCAGUUUUGCCCCCAUUUUCUGGGGAUGAUCUUCCCGUGAUUCCCCUUUCUCUCUAAAACUCUCUCUCUCUCUCUCUCUCUCUCUCUUUUCCCCUCAUUUUAUCUUUGUCACUCCUCGGUAAACACUUUCCCUUUCUCUCUGUUAGUUCCUUUUUCCCCCGAGCACAUUCACGACACCAUCACUACUCGUUAUUCUCUCUGGUGAGCACCACGAACCACCACCAUCCUUUGGCCCUUUCCUACAUCCUCGAACUCGAACGAAGGGCAUGAAUCACUGAGCUACGAUGCGAAGGAAGAACUCCAGCGAGAUUUCUCGUCUCUCCGAUUUGGGUGUUUUGGUGAAGGUUUAUAACUAUAACAACUCAUGAGGUUAAUUUCCAGAUUCCGGCAAGAAACCCAGCGGCUUUCGAGCCAUUUUCACGACCUCCAAUAGGUGCAUCGGUGGGAAGUACCUCAAUCCUCCCUAGUUCGAGCAGCUUCAGGGUAACAAAAUAUAUGUAAGUGGACCCUUUCUUAAAUUGGAUGUUUUUAUAAAAUAUUAGGCUUGCAUGCAUUUCAUAUUUCAUGAAUGAAGCAUGUUUUUUUAUUAAGUUUUAUGGAUUUCUAUAGUUAUGAUUUAUUUAAAUUGCUUUUACAAAAUAUUUAUGAUUUAUCGAAUUUACGUUUUACUAAAGGUUAAGAAUUAUCGAAUUCUUGUAUAUGAAAUUCUAUGGCUUUCAAAUAUGAUUUAUUUUACGGAUUUAUGAAUAUGAGUUAUCAUGGAUUUAUGAGAUGAGUCUUUGAGCUUUUAAGAUUCGGUUUUGAUGUAAGGCUUUUGAUGUAUGUUUUCGGUGCUUAUCUAGUGGGUUAUCAUACAACACAUACACACAACCGAGUAUGUAGACAUCUAUGGCCAUAGGACACAGUUGAUGAUAUUUAAGACAUACCCCCAGCUUCACUAGCCCGGGGCUAGUGUCGGUGUGAUAUGUUAUAUGUAUAUGUUUCUUCUCUGGCGUAACCCAGAGUCGUAUAGCUUCACCUUCUGGUGAUGGACCCAUUGCAUAUAUAUAUAUAUAUGUACAUCUCUUCUUUGGCGUAACCCAGAGUUGUACAUAGAUAUAUAUAUAUAUAUAUAUAUAUAUAUAUAGAUAUAUAUAUAUAUAUAUAUAUAUAUAUAUAUAUAUAUAUAUAUAUAUAUAUAUAUAUAUAUAUAUAUAUACAUACAUCUCUUCUUUGGCGUAACCCAGAGUCGUAUAGCUUCACUUUCGGGUGAUGGACCAUGAUUUCUUCACUGGCGUAACCCAAUGUCAUACAGCUUCACCUUUGGUGAUGGUUAUGCCUUCGGGACACUAUGAUACCCCUAGUGAGUACAACAUUGAUGAGAUUUACGGAUUUGCCCUCGGGCGACGAUAACAGCAUCAUUGAGCAUUGUUUUACACGUACUUAUUUUACGAAUGUUUUUCAUGGCAUGCUAGAGUUUUUAGAAAACCUAUUAUGUAGUAUUAUAUGUGUUUUCAAAACACGGGGUUAGUAUGUUCAUAAAUAAAAUGGUUUUGUUAUUAUUAGUACUAUUAUUAUAAACUUUGGUCCACUCACUCUUUUGGUUUUGCGCCCCCUUCAGGAUUUAGGUUUGAGGCACAUGAUCCUGGCGUCAGGGCACUUCCGCUUAGGUAUCUUUGAAUCUUCUCAGUGUAGGACUUAUUCCUUUGUUCGUACCUUUCUAUAAUAAUUCUUUCAAUUGUUUUUUAUUAGUUGUAUGCUCUGAACACAGUUCUGCAUUAGUAUAUUUCUUUCUAAUCACCUAUUUUAAUUCGUAUGCAUGUUUAAAAUGGUUUCGUCACCCUUAGGUGUCGGCCAGCACGUCCUAAUAUUUGGGGAUAUUAGGAUUGGGGUGUGUCAAAGCAAAGAAAGACCUAGUGAAUUCCAAUAAAAUGAAGGAAUAGAAUUAAAAGAAACCAUAGGUUCAAAAAUGCAAACCAAAUCCGGAUGAUAGGAAUGACAGACAUUGGAAAGCUCUGUACAUGUGUCAAAAUUACAAUAUUCCAGUAAACUAGCUUCAUUUGGAGGUAACAAUAACUUGUCUUCUUGCUCUAGUGACAUAGGGUUGGUCUUGCCUAGCUGCAUCAUCUUUUUAUUAUUUUUCUUUUGUUUUUUUUUUCUGCUGAGAUUUACUUAGAACUAAAGUAAAGUCAUUUCGAUCCAUCCACAACACCGACCUCUUUCGUUAAAUAAACCAGGUGGGACAUCCCUAUCAACCUCGUAAGCCACAUGGUCACUGUUAUUUCCUUCAGCAGGCUCACAUCCAAGGACGGAGCUAGAAAUGUUUUUGACUGGGGGCGUCCUAAAACAACCAAGUAAAAUAAUGGGUGUUAAGUUGUUGAGGGUCAGGCACAAUGAAAAAUCUCUAAAUUAAAAAGUUAAAUUUUAAAUUGUAAUGCCACAAACGAAUGUAUGAAGGAAAUUCAUAUAAAAUACUUUGCAGAGUAAAAUUUUUAUAUCAAGUUAUGAUACUUCAUCAGUUGAAUCCAAUCUAUUUAUGAAACCUCCAGUUCAAUUGAGUUUGAUUUAGGUUAGAAAACGUGGAAUAUUCGGAACCAAAAUCAAAAAUUUAAUUGUUGUUUUAUUUGUCAUGACAAUUUUUUUCAUCGCUCAAAAAUCUGAGUGGGGGCGGAUGCCCCCUCUGGCCUUAGGUAGCUCCGCCCUUGCUCACAUCCAAUCUCCCAUUAAAGAGGACCAUUUUAAAUGCGAAUGGGGAAAUAGAGGUAUUACCAAUAUUAUUGGCUGGUUGUAACUCUAGAAGGACAAGGAUUGUCUGCCCUUCCACUUUCGGUGCCCUUCCGUGCCCUCCUGUUUGUGUGGUCACGAUUUAGCCACGUCAACAUUUUAUAUUACUAUUCAUUUUUGUCUUAUUAUCUCUAUAAAAAAAUAAUAUAAAAUGUUGACGUGGCUUAACCGUGACCACACAAACAGGAGGGCACGGGAGGGCAACGGAAGUGGGAGGGCAGACAAUCCUUGUCCACUCUAGAAACGGUAUGUCUGAAUUUGUUAGUAAAUGCCCAUGAUUUUCUGUCAGUCUGAAUUUAAAUAUUUUUAUCUAAAAUGACAAAAUUAGCAUAAAAAAAAAACAUGUAAUUGGAUAACUGGACUUUGUCCCAAAACCAACUUAUGUUUUUGGAACUGGAUCCAAAUGCCCUUAACUUAUUUUGUAGUCUUUUUGAGCUGGGUUGAAUUUUAUUUUUGAUUUUUGAUUUAUUUUUGUAAGUUGCCUUCCUUUUCAAGGGUAAAUUGCCUUCCUGCAAGCAAAAGAGCAGUUGAAUCUCAAAGGGCGUGAAAUUGUGUAGAAUCUGACUCGAAGAGAUAUAAAGUCGGAGAUGAAGGAAGGCUUGUUAAAGUUAUGUAAAAUUAGUCCUUUUCUCCCCCUCUUUUGCUUGCAGUCCCACGAACUUAGAUUUAGCAAACAAUUUUGGGAUGUGAUAUCCACACACCCCUUUUUACUUCUCUCACACCUUUUUAAUUUUCGAUCGUCGGAUCGGAUGAAUUGAAGAAGAUCAAAGGACAAAAAUUAACAAGGGGUGUGAGAGAAGUAAAAAGGGGUGUGAGAGAAGUAAAAAGGGGUGUGUAGAUAGCACAUCCCACAAUUUUUUUCAUAUUAGUUAUAUGAGAGAGGGAGUUCGAUACAUAAUGAAGGAGGAAGAGGUACGGUAGAAUUCGCCGUCAGUGGAUGAUCAAAGGGCCUCAUUUCAUUUCGCCCGUUGGCCCCUAUAGCCAGGGCUGGCCAUGAUUCCAACUACACAACUUCGACUUCUCCUGGCCUCCCAUUGGCUUUGGCAGCAACCUCUGGGUACAAGGGACUGGCCUCCAUUUAGGACACUUGGCACUAGAAUUCUGUCAUCUCCUCUUUCAAUCUCAUUCCAUCCCUUUCUCUCACAUUCUCUAUUUUGUCUUUUGCUUUCUAUAAAAAAAUAAAAAUAUAAGAUGUUAACAUGACUUAACUGUGACCGUUCAAAUAGGAGAAGAGGAAAGAGAAGGGGAAAAAAAGAAGGGAGAAAAUCCUUUUCCCUCCAUUUAAGCCUCAGGUCUGCUGUCUCCUAUUUCGUGUUUCUUUUGUGUCUUCUUUCUAAUUUUUUAACACUUGUCCCACUAUUUAACUUAAUAUCUAACACUGUUAAACUUUCAAUUAAGUUUAAUUAAAAAACUAAAGAUUGAAGUUAAAACAAAAAAACAAAAAGCCCAACAACAACCCUUCCCAACCAACAUCUCACAAUCUCCUCCCCACCAUGCUUGUCAGCUGCAUUUUCUCACCAACGGCUAGGUUUCCUUUGUUGGGGAUGUAUGAUCUAAUUAUAGUCCAAGCAUUCCUUUCUUUCUAUUUAUCACUCUUCCUCUCUCUCGUCAGCGAAGCCGAAUCGGAUCUUGGAGUCGGCUUUGCGUCGGUUCAAAUCUCGGUGUUUGUUCAAUCCUUAUAGAUUUCACCAUCUCUUGGGUUUCCUUUCUUUUCAUUUAUCUCUCUUCCUUCCUCUUGUCGGCAAAGACGAAUUGGAUCUUAAAGUUGUCUUUGUGUCGGCUUAAAUCUCGACCUUCGUCGUUGGUUCAAUCCUUACAAAUUUCACAAUAUUCAAUUGAUUAGAUAUCUUCCUUCAAUCCCCAAAUCCUAAUAACUUGACAGAAUGUUUGCUAGUUCUAUAGUAUGCCGAUCCGCGGCAAUGGGUUGAAGUGGGUGGAACUUGGGAGUUUAUUUUUGGUUUUUGGGAAAUCCCGUUCUUGAAUUUCACUGUUAUAAUCUACAUAUUUGUAUUAUUGAGACUUUAUAAUUUUUUACAAGAAAUUAUAUUAAUUUAUUUGAAUUUAGAUUUUAAUUAAACUAGUUACGAAGUUGAAGUUUGGAAAUUAAUUAUCUAAAAUUUGUAGACCUUUCGAGGUCACAAUUUAUAUUUUUGGAGAGAUCUCGAAACCACGAACGCAUAGGCGAAAGCCCUUUGCGAGUCUGAAUUAUAAUGGUAUAGUUACAGACGUUUGAAGUUGUGAAACUUUAGGUUGUGGAAAUUAUUUAAUUUCCAUUGGAGGGUAAAAGGCCCAAAUAUAUAAGUGGGUUAAGGGAACCGGCUAUUAGGAGUAAGAAAGGGGGCAAUCCAAUUAUUAGAGGAUGAGAAAGGACUAAUAAGGGGAGGGGACAUUUUCUUUCCCCCAUUUCUUGAAACCGUGUACUCCACUAGCCAUUUUCAAAACCGGCCAACUCCAGACCAAUUUCUACCAUUUCUCAACUAAUUUUCUUAUCUCCUUCACCUGCAACCUGCUCAACUACAUUCCUCCUUCCAUCUCCACCAAAAAUCAAGGGUUUUUAAGGUCUAAUUCGGGUAGAACUCCACCGGAGAACCCGGGGGUUUUCGACGGCGAUUCGUCGUUCCGGUGAGUAUCACCAUUCACCAUCACCCUUAAUCAACUUCCUUUGGACUCAGGAACAAGACCCAACUGGUGGUUGGGGCGUUGGAACACCAAGGAAGCCGAAUUGAAGAACAUCCACCUUAGGGUUUUAGACGGGUGUGAGCCAAUUUGAGGGCCUUCCCGACCAAAUUGGACUCGACCACAUGUAUAAAGUUUACUCUACUUGUUGAGAUCUUCAUUCUUGUAAAAUUUGAGAAUUUUUGGAAAAAGUCAAAUUUUCCGAUGUGUGACAUUCGAUUUAUGAAAUGCUGUUGGUUGAGUAUAUUUUCGAUAAGGUCCGCCACUUGAAUAUUCUAGCAAUUGACGAUCUUACCAUUGAAUUGACACCAAAUUUUAGUAUGCUAUUGUAGAUAUUGUUUAAGGACCUUAGGGACUUACUAGUGAAAAUCUAGUGGUUGGAUCUUACUGAGCACGUGAUGUAAGAUCAUGGACUAUACCAUUGAUCGACGAUCUGAUUCUCAUUAAAUGUCGUUGUGGGAGACUUAUGAGAGUUUUGGGUAUGUGAAUUUAUUGAGAGAAAUCUAAAUGUGGACUUGUGCUUUGUUUGAGGUGGUGAUAGAGCUUGACGCCUUGAAUUCCAUGCUAGAGUGCGUUGGUGUGGACCUCAUGUGAGUGAUUUUAAUCUAUGUGAUAUGGUUAUUACUCUGAAAUCUUUUGUGCUAAUAUACUUUGUGGUUACACCAUGGAUUCUUAAAAUAGGUCUUAUGCUAAAUAAUUGUUGUUAUAAAGUUUGCCAUCGAUCUACUUAUGAAACAUUAUGUGACUUGGAUAUUUGAACUGUUGAUGGAUUGUGUUUUGAAAUAUAUAUUUGAUGGUUUGAUAAACAUGAGGGAUUGUAAAGGAUCGUUACCAAAGUGUCAUGGGGUUAAGUAACACUAAGUCCACAAAUUGUGAUUGAUGGUUGGUUUUAUCAUUAUUAUCACAUACUUUGUAUUAUCGCAGCUUAUCCGGGUUGUUGUUUGCCCGAUGCACCAUUUUCAUGAUGUAGGCACUUAUUUCACAUGUGACAGGUCUAGGUAAAUUAUGAGAAACAGUUUGAUAUUUUGGUUUCGUUGAGUAGUCCGGAACCCGAUAUUGUUGGAUUCCGUUGAGUGGUGGUCCGGAAUUCCUUCUACUCCGCGAUUCCGUUGAGUGAUGGUCCGGAAUCGUAUCCUGAUUUGGAUUCCGUUGAGUGAUGGUCUGGAAUCCCCUUUGGUGCCUUGGUUUCUUUGGGUGGUCCAAAAUCCCAUUUUCCAGAGAUGUAGUCUUUGGCUGAACUGUGUCGCUCUAGCCCCGCAUUUCGACGUGUUGUAUGUGUUAUUGAUGAUGUGAUGGUUGGCAUUAUUGAUUGAUGUGAUUAUGGAAUGAUGUUGGUUAUGGUUAUGGUAAUUAUGAUUAGACUCGUUGAACUUUAUGAUUAGUGAAUAUGAUUGUGCUCCGUCAUUUGUCCCUUAUAAUAUUGCAUGUUAUGCAUUGUGAUAUAUUAUUGAGACAUAGCGAUUUAAUUGAUGAAUAUUCGAGUGUAGUGAAAUGAUGGACUACGAAUGGCUUGAUCAUUGUUUAAGGUACGUAGGCAGUCUAACGAGAAUGUUAGAUGCAGCCAUGAAAUAUACAAAAAUUGCAACGCAAUUCGAAUAUUGAGUUAUGCUUUGUACAUAUCCCGGAGGCUGGGUAUGUUAGAGAUUCAGAUAUUUGGUGACAUCACUUGUUGAUCCGGGACGUAUGUUGGGAUCGGAGCGUGACAAUUUUUGUAUUACUUUAAUUUUUAGUUUUUUUAUUUAAUUUUAUAAAAAGUUAAUAGUGUUAAAUUUGAGUUAAGUUAAGAGAUACAUGUCAAAAUAUUAGAAAAAGAAACACAAAGGAAACACAAAGUGGGGACAGCAGACCAAUGGCUGUCCAUUUAAGGCACUAAUAUAGUGGUAGCUAUCUUUACCUUUUAAGAUGUGUGGUUUUCCGCUAGAAUGAUGAUCAGUUGCGAGAUGCGUCAACUGGUAAUCAUACCACAGCGCAUCGAAGGAGUAAUGUUGGAGUUUACAAAUCCAAGACAGAUAUGAAAUCAGAAGUCAUGGCACCUUUUGUCAACUUUGCUUCUCACCUUUUUGUCAACUUUGGACGGAUAUGAAAUCAGAAAUCAUGCAACCUUUGGCACCUUUGGCACCUUUUGCCAACUUUGGCUCACCUUUAAUCCCUUGUUUUGGGGGAUACACGUGUAGAUUACUUUAGUAUUGUGUUUGGCACACCUUUAAUCCCUUGUUUUGGGGGAUACACGUGUAGAUUACUUUAGUAUUGUGUUUGAUGUAAUCCCUAAAAUUAAGAGAGUUUUAACGAAAAACUCUCGGUACUGUUUACUUUGACGAAAAAACACAUUUUUAUACUAAAAAGUCAAUCAUGAUACUAUUCACUUUACCCUUUAUUUUGUCCUUAUCAUUAAAACUCAAAGUUUUCAAACUCUUUUCAUUAGUUUUCCUUUAAAGAGUUUUUGUUAGGAUAUGGAUUAUGAUUCUCUUCUCUCUUCUUUCCAUCCCCUUUCAUCCCUUAUUCUCACAUUCUUUAUUUUGUCUUUAUCUUUCUAUAAAAAAAGUAAUACAAGAUGUUGACGUAGCUUAACGGUAAUCGUUCAAAUAGGAAGGGAGGGAAGAAAAGAGAAAGAAAAGAGAGGAGAGAAUCUUACUCCUUUAGGAUGUAGCUUUAUCCAGUCUGUAGGUUUUAGUCUAAGGAUGGUUGGUUGUAACCAGUCCUCUUUUUCUUUAUGUGUUAUUGUACAUUCACACAAGAUAUGAAAUACACCAGAAACUUGAACCAAACUUUUACAAGUAAACUAGAGGUGUAUUUUCCUAGUUUGGAUCUAGUGUUCUUAAGCUUUGAGAAAAAUGCAUUCAUCAAUUUAUGCGAGAGUUGAAGGUCCUGAACUACAUCUCGGUCAUAUAGUAAGAGAAAUCUGCUGCGUCCUUCCUUCUAGAGAGUAAGGACAGCUUGAACAUUUAGCUUGGACCAGCUCUGUGCCAUCGCCGGAAGUUCAUAAGAAUUGACAUGCAGUUGUGCAUUCGUAUACCAAGGCAUGUCGCAUAGGCACUUGUGGCCUGACGUCUGCAACGGCAGACACAUUGAAGAACGACGAAAUUGCAAAUUAAGAUUUCUUUGAAGACAGUAAAGCAAAACAAUUUCAACUUGAACUUUUUUAUUUAAAGUUAUUUCGAAACAUUACAUAUUACACAUGAGCCAUAUAUGAAAGAUCCAAAAGCAACUUCUGAGCAUGUUCUUAAGACACUUCUGAGGCACUCUGCAGAUCACAUUAAAGGAUUUAACCGGAAAAAUAUAAUGUCCAGCAUCUCUUUGGAAAACUUAAGCAUAUAACAAACUUAAUUUCCCACUUAUUCGAUCGCCUCGUGCACUAAAUUAACAAAUUGCUGCAGGUUGCAGAAAUUCAAAACUUGAGGAAGCCCUUCUCCAUGAGGCUUUCAACAGUGUCCUUGAGACUCGUUUCCAGAGGAAGGAAAGUGAUUCCCAAACAUUUUGCUUUCUCCCUUGGACACUUGAAACUUGGAGCCAGAAGGAUUGCCAGGCUCACAAAGGCUCAGUGUGGGGUAAAGCUCUCGUAAAAUCUUUAGAGUAUCGGGACCAUCAGCAACUUGUGCAACUAAACAAUAUCUGCCACUAGCUGAAGGAACUUCAAAUGCUUGAAUAUGAGCAAAGGCAACAUCUCUAACAUCCACAAAUGCAUAGUUUAUAAAAGGUGUUUCGAUACCUGAGCACAAAAGAGAAACAAAACAGAAUAAACCCUGGAUGUAUCACAAGGAAUAGUGUUUUAACAUAAAGGGGGUGAAUUGUACCACUCAUUAAAUUCAGAAGAAACUCGACGGAGAGAUUAAGAGUUGGCUGUAAGAGUGGACCAAUCACAAUCCCUGGAUGUAUUGUUACCAAGUCAAUCCCAUUUCCUUUGGCAAAAUUUCCAGGCGGCCUCCUCAGCUAAAGUUUUUGAGAGAGGAUACCAUUGCUGAACAAAUAAAGAAGGAAGUUCUUAUGAGUUUGUAGUUCAUCAUGUACUGCUUUGUAUUGUGUUAAGCUUACAUCUGUCUAAAAUUAUUCAAUAGUAUGGGAACGCACGUACCUUGAUCGUCUCACAAAAAAGUGGAUCCGAGUACCAUGUUUCAUCCAUAACCACAUCAGAGGUCAGAGGUUUUCCACUCAACCUUACUGAAGCCAGAGAAGAUGUUAAAACCACUCUCUUGACGGCAGGGAAUUUUGCGCAUGAUUUUAGAACAUUAAGUGUUCCUUUCACUGCAGGCUCAAUUAUUUCUACCUGAAACAUAGAAACGAAAUAAUAUUAUUCUAGUUUCUACAUCAUUUCUCUUGAAGGUGUAUCGAUUUUCAAUGCAUUCGUGAGCGCACACACACGAUACACUUUUUGAUGGAUGCAUGAACUGAAGGGACAGACCUGUGGGUCAGUGGCUGAAAAUUGUGCAGGCGAUGCUGUAUGAAAAACACCUACACAUCCAUCAAUUACGCCGUCAAAUGAUCCUUCUUCUACUAGAUCGGCUUUGAACAAAUGAAGCCUCUCCUUUGCUCCAUCUAAUGAGAGCAAGUGUUCUGUUUUCUUUGCAUCAUCUGUAUGCAAAACCCAGAAUCUGAAAUUAUUGAAUGAAUUGUUUGAAGUUGAACAGUAUAUAUGAGCAAGUGUAGAAAUACUGACUUGGAUCGCGAACAGUGGCUUUGACGGUAUAACCCUUUUGCAGUAAGAGCUUCACCAGCCAUGAUGCUAUGUAACCAGAUGCUCCUGUUACACAUACAGUCUUUGAUUCUCCGGUACUCAUUUCUCUCUCUCUCUCUCUCUCUCUCUCUCUCUCUCUCUCUCUCUAGCUAAGAAUUAAUAAGCUUAAUUUGGUUCAGAAUUGUGUUUUUCAUGGUGAAAGGUCAGCUGGAAAUUAAAGGUCAAUGUUGCCAACUUGUCUUCUUCAGCUCUGAAUACUUUUGUAAUGGCAAGCCAUUGUUUAUUUUGAAUGUUGACUAAACAGGUGUUGGGCAGGAACUAAUCUUAAGUUAGGGGUAGCACUUGUUCCAAAUGGUUGCAAGAAAUAUUAGGAGUCCUUUAACUAAUAUUUCUUUAAAAGUAGUGAAGUGAAGCAACAACUUCUUAGUAGGAAUCUCGUUUUAUUCUAGCAAAAACAGGAUACGGACUAGGAACCAUGUAUAUAGGACUCUUAUUUAUUUCACCAUCUCCCUUUUUUUCUUCAAUAUCUUAUACGGUAAUACACGCCACUGGGACAUGAAAUGGCUAUGAGAGAGAAUCUCUCACUAAAACUUAUGUCAUGGCAAAUUAUAGUUUAUUAUGAAUGUUGACAAAACAAAAUAGAAAAAUAUUAUGAAGGAAGAAGAAAUAUUAGUAUUGGCAGGAUAUUUCAAAUUCAAACACUUUGCAAACAUUUCAACACCUAAUCAGAAAUGAUUCAACAAACCAGUUUUUUCAUGCCUUUCUAAGAUUAUUUAUUUAUUUAUUUGGAAAAUUGUCCAUAUAUAUAUAUAUAUAUAUAUAUAUAUAUAUUUUGGUCAAGAAUAAAACUUACAAUUAAUUCUAGAAAGGCCUAAACCUAAACAAAACACAAUACCCUACACAACAAAGCAAUACAUAAAAUAGAAGACAAGCUCAAAAAGGAGAGCUACAACCCCAAUUACAGAGCGAGGCCCAUACAAAUUUAGGCCCGUUGACAACAACAACAAAAAAAAAAAACAAUAAAAAUCCUAAUCUCCAGCCGCCAAAAGUCAGUCACCACCGCCGUUAUCUCCACGAAACAUGUUACACUCCUGUAUUCUGUUAAAUCACAAGAACAUUACUACAAACAGAUGUCAAUCAUGUUCUAGGACAGUAAGGGGAAGCAACAAAUUAACUAGAGUGCACAUCGAUUUGACAACAUAAAACCCCAACACGUGAGGAAACGUCCUUGGACACUCCUUAAUUAGGGGUGCUUUAACAAAGAUUCUUUUAAAGUUGUGAAUUUGGACACUGAGAUCUAGUCACCUAUGUGGCUGUCUGCCGAUCAAUCUAAGAAACUAAGAAAGUCUUGACAGGAAAGACAUUGUUAUUUUUUGGGAGAGCAAUGAAUCAAAGUGACGCAUAACUGAAUCUCAAUGGAUCGAGCAUGGCAGCUAGGCCAAAUUAUUUUCAUUGGAAACAGGAAACAGAUGACUUUCAUCAUGUCUUUGGAGUACUCAAGCAGAAAUCAAACUUCCGUUGCCGAAGAUACUUGAACUGUUGUCCGAGUUGGAUAAAUCAAAUCUGCAGGAAGCCCUUCUCCUUCAUGCUUUCAACAGUGUCCCUCAGAGGUGAUUUCCAAUGGGUGGAAGCUAAGUCCCAAACCUGUUGCUUUCUCUGAGGAUACGUGAUAUCUUGGGUCUGAAGUAUUGCCAAUCUCAAAUCUGCCAACAAUUACCAAAAACAAUAGAAUAAUAAAUCCCUUAGAAAUAAUUCUUGUAAUAGAAAUGUCGAGCUUUCGGUGUACACAAUUGAGUUAUUUUGUACAAGCAUCUUUAAUUAUUGGAAGAAAUUCCUAACUGGUACAGAUUUCGUUUCCAAGUCCAAAUCUUAUGUUUAUUUCACUCUCUGAAAGAACUUACCUUCAAACAGAUUUGACCGUGUUUAAUUCUACAGAACGAUAUGACAUUAUGUGUGGUAAAGUAAACGGGCACAAAUUUGAGGCAUUUUGCAUAUGAAACUUACUUUUCAAGAAGCAAAGUGGGGGUAAAGUUCGUGUAAAAUCUUCAGAACCUCGAAAAUGUCUGCAACAUGUCCAACUAAACAAUAUCUUCAACUUGCUGAAGGAACUUCAAAGGCCUGAAUGUCAGCAGAGGCAACAUCUAUAACAUUAAUGAAUCUGCAGUUUGAAACAGUCGAUUGGGUACCUGCACAAUAGUGAAACAUAAGCCAAUCAACUGCUUCAAUAAAAAAAUUAGUGGAAAAUAAAAAUGGAAGCUGUAAGAGUGGACCAGUCACGAACCUCGGAUGUAUUGUAGCUAAAUCAAUCUCAUUUCCUUUAGCAAAUUCCCUGGCAGCUUUUUCUGCAGAACAAAAAGAAAAGGGGCAGAUAAUACUAAGCAUUAUCCAUCUCUUUUAUAAUUGCACCCAGACACCUUGUUUGGUGAUUAGAUUAGAUUAGAUUUUGUUUCAGCGCGACACAGAAAUAUAACAAAUUAACAAUGAAAAAAGAUAAUAAGAAUCGGAAAUUCAUACAUACCUUGUACUUCUCGCAAACAAGUGGAUCUGAAUACCAUGUUUCAUCCAAAACUACAUCAGAGGUCAGAGGUUUUCCGCUCAUCAUUACUGUACCCCUCUCUUGACAGUUGGAAAUUUCACACAUGGUUUUAGAACAUCAAGCGUUCCAUUCACGGCUGUGUUAACUAGUUCUGCCUGACAUAUGGACAGAAAUAUCAUGCUGGUUUCCACAUCAUUUGUCUUGAAAUUAUUCAUUCUACACGUGCACGCAGGAACAUAUGAUAGAGUAUUUGAAGCAUAAAGUGAACGGACAAACCUGUGGGUCAGUAGCCGAGAAUAGUACAGGUGAUGCUGUGUGAAAAACGGCUUCACAUCCAUCAACUGCAGCAUCGAAAGAUCCUUCUUCCAAUAAAUCUGCUUUGAACAAAUGCAGCCUGUCUUUUGCUCCAUCUAGUGAGAGCAAGUGUUCUGUUUUCUUUGGAUCAUCUGUAGCAUACAUGAACAGAACUAUGAGUUGAACCAAGAAUAGUACAACCACAUUAGAUAGGGACGUAUGUGUACAAGGCAAAGUAGCAAACAUUGACUAUAGUCAUUGCCAAUUGGCAAUUGAGCUAGGCCUACCAUAGUAUCCAUAACGAAAAAAAAAGAAGGCAAAUACUUGGUUCCUCCAAUUGCAAAUAGCAUCCUAUCCAAUCACAAUUUUCAUGUGUGCAGAAAUUGUUCUUUUUUUGUUUGUAACGAGUUAUUUCUGCAUACUUGUCAAACUCUGAUUUACGGGACAGAGAGACGACUUUCCAGGAAAGAGCCAAGAAGUGUCCAAAACAGAGUACAGAUUUGAUACGAAUUGUUUCAACUCUAUCAUUUAUGCAUAAAGUUUUGGCUAAUAAGCUUGAUCACUAACAGCUAGCAAGAAUGUCAAACCAGUUCAAGGCCUGGCAUUAACUGGACUUCAAGAAAUACACUAGAACUACAGAUGAAGACCUACACCGAAAAUUUUAGGAUUUUCUCUUGCUGGACGAAACGAUAUACAAAACACAGAACUAUCAAUCCAACAUCAAAUGAUCAUUAAUUCUUUGCUUCUUUACAAAUGACAAAUUCCAAAUGAUGUAAUCAGAGUCUAAACACUUUAUAGCACAUCUCAUACAUGAAAGUUAAUGCUCUAAAAUUCAACUCUCUCUCCUAAACCAUGAAAAGAGCAUCCAAAAAGUUCACCAAUUUUUUCAAAAAGCAAACUCUCUGCAAAUGCAAUUUCCUGAAAAAAAAUCCUGCUGAUCACUUUCAUUAGGGUCCAACUUUAGCUUGAUCACCUCCAUAUUCUUCCUUGCCCAACAAGUCACCCAAACCCCUAUUUCUUUUCUUGAACCUCUCCUCAACGCUCUCCAAACGCCGAAGCACAGUCUCCACCAGAAAAUCCUUGCCCCUGCAGUUAUCGAAAAACAAGUGCUUCAGCAGUGUCUCUGACGCCGGCCUCUUCGCUGGGUCUUGAUCAAGGCAAGAACCCACCAAGUCCUUGAAAGCCACAGAGUACUCCUUGUUCUUGAAAUCUUUGAUGAUGUUUUCGUAGUCAGAAAACUGGUACCUGUUCUUGACCUUUAGAAUCUGAGAUUCCAAUAACGGUGGCAGGCCAGACAGGGGAGGACAGCCGCGAGCCAAUUCCAGUGCCAUGAUCCCAAAUGCCCAGAUAUCCACCUUGCAUCCAUCUCCGUAGGGCGCCACCCUAUCUGGCAUUGCCGAAGUGUCGUUUGUCCCAGUUGGCGUUGCCGAAGUGUCGUUUGUCCCAGUUGAAUGAUCGGCGCCGUAGAAAGAAGCAGAGACCCCGAAAUCGGCGAGCUUAACGGACCCAUCAGAGUCAACCAAGAUGUUUCCGGGCUUGAUGUCGCCGUGGGUGUGUCCCUGGCCAUGGAGAUACGACAUGGCGUUUAGCGUCUCUUUCAGGAAGACAGCAAUGCAGGGCUCUGGUAAUCCUUGAGGGAAAGCAGGGGAGGAGAUUAUUAUGGACUGCAGAGAGCCGAAGGCCAUGAAUGGCAUGACCACCCAGAGACGGCGCUCGGCGGUGGUGAAGGAGCAAUGGUUGCUGAGAAUGUUGGGGUGGGAAAGAGACAGAGUCUUGGUGUCGCGGAGCUUGCUCUCGAAAUCGGCCGUGGAUUGGUCGAGGUCGACGGACUUUAUUGCGACGACUGCAGAGUUCAUGGGGAUGCAGACGGCCUUGUAGACGACAGCCUUGUCGCCAGAGCCAAUUUCUUGGAGGUUUUCAUACGCGGCCGAGUCCAACGGGAAUUGGACCUUUUGUGGGUUAUCUUGGCGGGUGGAAGAAGACGAAGAAGUCGCCAUUGGAUACGACAAAGAUGAAAUCUUGAAGAAUGGAAGUGGGUUGUUUUGAUUUCUGGGAAAUGGCUUUUGAUGGAGAAGAUGAAUGUAGGGAUUCUGCAGUACUAAUUCUAGUGAAAGGUUGAUGCUUUGGGAGGAAGACGACGAUGUAUGAGAAUGUGUGUGACUGUGUACUGCUCUGCUUGUACUUGCUUAUAUAAUAAGAAAUGGUAAGAAGAUGAGGGUAUUUUGGGGAUUUUCCAUUCCAAUUGGGGGUUGAAAUUAUAGAUAAGUUUUACUUCUUACCCCUAGAUUUUUUUAAUUAGCAAAAUCAACAACAUUCUGUUGUGAGGCGGUUUUGGUGAUUAGGAUUGGGUGAGGUUGGUUAAGAUAAAAUACAAUUGGUUCGUUUUCUGUUAUUUUCCAUCUCAGCAAUGUCUUGGGAGGCAAGGCAUUGUUAGUCCUGUUGUGAGUACCUCGUAUAAAUAUUUCGAAAGGAAUAUAAGCAUACAAACAAAAUACGUAUUUGAGACCCAAUUCCAAGAACAAAACUGACCUACUAACCUAUUGAAAUCAUUCUUCAAGACUAGAGAGACCAAAGUUUUAAACAAAUUUUGUAAACAAUACGACGUGAUUGUUGAUAACUGAAGUAAAUAAACCUAAAUACAAGAACUUAGACCAAAGACGACAUUUUAUUUCACAUGCUCACUUAUGAGCAGAAUGGCAUGAGAGAAUAUCCAAGUAGAUAUGUCAUGAAUUGUCGACGAUUUUGCUGACUAGCCGAACAACGAGGAGUUCCAUGAUCAGAAGAAGUUCUUCUCCUUCAAACCUUCAGCGGUGUCCUUCAAAGACACCUCCCGAGGAGUAAACUCAACAUCGAAAGUCUGAGCUCUUUCCUUGGAUAUCUGGUAAGUUGGCGUGAAAGGUCGAUCAUCUUUACAUCUACCCAAAAUAGAGUCACAUCAAUGUCAUGGAUCCCUUUAGCAAAACUACGUCUCUAGAUGACUUGACCAAAUCAACUCAAAAGAAACAGCAACCGAACAGUACCUUAGUGCAUAAGCAAACCUGUACUAUCCUUAGAAGCAGUUCAAUGUAGGACUAAGACGCAACAAUUUGGUUAUGUUUAGCAACUUACUUUUCGGGAAGUUUGAGAGCAGGGAAGAGAUCACGGAAAGUUUUGACAGCCACAGAACAGUGUGCUACGCUUCCAACUAUAGAAUACCUCCCACUAGCUGAAGGAUUCUCAAAGGCUAGAAUAUGCCAUUAGCAACAUCUCUAACAUCAACCCAUCUAUGAGUUACAUUUGGAUACUUUUUCGGUUCUUGCAUAAAUUGUACAUCCGGAACAAUUAAUAUUUUCAUAGAUUGUAAGUUAUCACAGACACAGAGGUAAUGAAGACAGCACAUGUGAUAUUACUACUACUGCCUACUGGUAGCAAGAGUUGCGUACUCAUGAUAACAGAAGGGAAGGGAAAAGAAAUUGUAAUUGAAUUUGAAUAUAGAAGAAACCGCAAAUAAUACUCGAGAAAGUCCCAAACAAUUAUAAAAGAUGUGCAUGAAACCAGUAAAAUGAACUUUGGAUGCAUGAGUUGUAUUGGUAUAGAAGUGAGAUAUGUUAGUUACUAAUAGCUUUCGAGGCAAGGAUUUAAAUGUAAGUCCUCUCUUCUGUACAAAAUGAAAAAGUUCUGGUGGAGAAACAUCGACUUGGCGACAGCUAAAAGAGAUGAAGGAAGUAUUAGCAUCUCAGAUUCUUACACUUACCAAAGACGUAUGGAUCUGGACACAACCAUUCCUGGAUUUACUGCAACCAAAUUGAUUCCAUUCUCCUCUGCAAACUUCCAAGCAGCUUCCUCAGCUGAGGUUUUUGAAAGCGGAUACCAAAGCUGAUAAAAACAAAGUCUCAAUGAGCACAAUGAACAUAUUUUUAUAUCAUGAAAGAAAUAAGAUUUAAACCUUCUCCGGUGAUGUUUUUAUUACAAGAGGAAUGCUAUGCAAUGCAACCAGACCAAGAUGAAUAAACAUACGAGCACCGAUUGUUCCAGUAUAUUUAGUAAGAAACUACGUCUUUCAGUUCAGAUUCACUACCUGGCAAGGCAUUUUUAAAGAGUUGUAAUAGCCUAAAAGUUACUCAGAACUAAACUCACUAAGAAAACCGAGGCGUAUUAGAUAAAGCAAAACAAGAAGUGACUUCUGCAAUGUAUGCAGUAAACAAUCAAACCAUUAAGAACAGAGAAAGAAAACAUAGUAAGAUGGUAAAGCAGAAAUUACAUAUUAUUGUAUGAACCUGGAUGCAUAUAAAUAUAUAAGGCCAAGUUCCAUCUGAUUUUCCAUUACAUAAACUAGAUCUUCAAGUGAAGCAUUCCUGAAUAAUGAAAGAGAAUUAGCGUAUUGUGUACAAACCUUUGAUUUUUCACAGAAAGCUGGAUCUGAAAACCAAGAUUCAUCGACUACUGCAUCAGCAGAAAGAGGUUUUCCAGUAAAUACAAUUGAUACGAUGGAGGAUGUUAGAACCAGUGGACUCCUAGAAAUGCAGCUUGUGUACUUAAAACUUCAGGUGGAGUUCCUGUUAGGUUAUUAGCUGAUACACGGAAAAACUUCAAGUUGCAAAGUAUCCCUAUGGAGCUCGGAAUCCCACCCUCGACAUUUUUGAACAAAAGAUAAAAAUAGGUAAGAGCUGUCAUGUUGCCAAAGGAAGCAGUGUCAUGUUGCCAAAGUAUCCCUAUGUAUUCUACUUAAAUAUUUUCGACUUGGGAUUACAGAAUGUUCAGGAUCCAAUACAAAGUUCAAACUUCAUAUUUCACAGUAUUUAAAACGUAGUUGAAACAAAUUCCAAAGUACAAUUAAACUUCACAGAAAGAGGUCUCAUGCAAGAGUUUUGUGAAUGUUGGAAGAAUGCAUGCAAGUCAUAUCUUGUGUUAAAAUACAUGCAUGAAAUAAACAUGUUGGAUGACUAGUGAAGUUAGGCUAGUCAACAUUCUUUGUGUAAAUUAGGCAAGUUAGGCAAGUUAGGAAAUUAGGCAUGUUAGGCAAGUUAGGCAAGUUAGGCUUAUGUCUACUUUCUUUUCCUAUAUAUAUGUUUCAUUUGUAAUUGUUUCUUCAUGAAAUACACAUCAAAAAUUCUACAUGGUAUCAGAGCAGGUUCAUUUGUAACCUGUCUCUGCCAUUCUUGCUGCUGCAAUUUUUUCUUUCUUUCAAAGUCUAAGUCAUGACUGAAGAAAGUUCUGUGAACCAUGAUGAGGAAACCCGGCACAAUCUCUCUCCAAACUUCUCAGACGUUGAGGUUAACACCAAUCAAUGUUUGUGUUCAGUUCUCUUGAACGAGUUCAAUUAUCUUCCUUGGUCCCGAGCUGUUUCACUAGCUCUUGGAGGCAAAGGGAAGUUAGGGUUUGUAAAUGGAAGCGUGGAAGCUCCAAACAGUUCUUCCUCUACAUACAAUGCAUGGCUCUGCAAAGAUCAACUUGUCAUGUCCUUGCUGCUCAACACCAUGGAGAAACAUGUUGCUGAAAUUUUUAGCUACUCCAAUUCCGCACAUGAUCUUUGGAAAGCUUUGCAGGAUAUGUAUGGAAAUCAAAACAACUAUGCACGGGUCUUCCAAUUAAAGAAGGACAUUGCCAGUGCUCAACAAGAAGGGAAAGCAUUUGUUCAACACCUUGGGAGCCUCAAAGCCAUGUGGAAUGAGUUGGAUGUAUAUCUUCCUCAUACCACAGAUCCUACCAUUCUCCUAAAACGAGCUGAGGAAGACAAAAUUUAUCAGCUGUUAGGGAGUUUGAGCUCUGAGUACGAGGACCUAAGGAGUCACAUCUUGAUGAGUCAAGACCUGCCUACCUUCAACAAUGUUUGUGCAACUAUCCAACGAGAAGAAGCAAGGAAGAAGGUUAUGAAUGUUGAUCACAAUCCUAGAUUAACAGAGACUCGGGCAUAUGCAUCAAAGUACAAGAACUCAGAAGCCAAGGUAUACAAGGGAAGAAACACACAUCUAAAAUGCAAAUAUUGCAAUGGUGUUGGUCAUGAGGAAGACAAGUGUUGGGAACUUCAUCCUGAACUCAAGCCUAAGUUCAGCAAAGAUGGAAGGAUGAUACCAAGGUCCUCACAGCAAUUUCAACCUCAUUUCAAGGCACAACUUGUUAAUGCUCACGCUCCUACUAUCUCACAAGGAUCCAUGGAGUUCACUGCCAAUCCAUUGUCAUUGAUCAAUGAAUUUGCAGCUUACCUACAAAGUAAGGGGCACGGAGGAGGCUCACAUGGUCAAGGCAAUGAAGAGGGUAGUCACACAGCUAUGUUGGGACAAUUUGCCGGAUUUCUUGCUGGAAAUGAGAAAGUUCCAAAGGGAGAAGCAUCAGGUAUACUCAAAGCCUUUACUACUGCCCUAUUAACUAGUACUGAAAUUGAUUGUUGGAUAAUUGAUUCAGGCGCCACAGAUCAUAUGACAAACAAAGUUACAAAUUUACAUCAUUUUAAAAAAUUUUCAAGCCCCUCACAUGUGUCUGUUGCAAAUGGAAAAAAUGUCUUAGUUUUGGGAAAGGGAGAAAUAAACUUACUCUCUCAAAAAACACCUUCCACUGCCCUCUAUGUACCAACCUUUCCCUUUCAACUUUUGUCAAUUGGAAAGAUCACCAACACCCUAAACUGCCGUGCUAUUUUCUCACCAAAUAAAGUAAUGUUUCAGGAUGUUCUCACCAUGAAGAUGAUUGGUGAAGGGGUCUUCAUAAAUGGACUUUACUACUUGUGCAAGAAUGCAUGUUUCACUCAGGCUCUUCAAGCUCAAUCAAAGUCCAUAGAUGAAAACCAACUUUGGCAUAAGAGAUUAGCUCACCCCUCUGAACUUGUCUUGUCGAAACUGUUUCCAAAUUUUUGUAACCCCUAUCCUACUUGUGAUACUUGUCAAUUUUCUAAGUUUACUAGGCUACCUUUUGGUAAUUCAAUGUCUAGGACAAGUAAACCUUUUGAAAUGGUACACACCGAUGUAUGGGGACCUGCAACUGAAUCAAUGGAAGGUUUUAAAUAUUUUGUUCUAUUUGUUGAUGAUUUCUCUCGAACAAGUUUUCUAUAUCUUAUGAAAUCAAAAAGUGAAGUCCCUACCAUUUUCAAAGACUUUCACAUGCAUGUUAAAACGCAAUUUCAAUCAAACAUUAAGGUUUUAAGGUCAGAUAAUGGCACUGAAUUUCUAUCCAACAACAUGCUUCAAUACAUAAGUUCUCAGGGUAUCAUACAUCAAACCAGCUGUGUGGGAACUCCCCAACAAAAUGGAGUAGCCGAAAGGAAAAAUAGAGAUCUCUUGGAAAAAACUCGUGCUCUCAUGAUUCACAUGCACGUUCCAAAGAAAUUUUGGUCGUUUGCCAUCCUUACUGCCACUUAUCUCAUAAAUCGACUUCCAAGUCGUGUGCUAGGGUUUAAAUCUCCAUAUGAAGUUCUCAAGGGGAGGAAAAUAGAUUUGACACAUCUCAAGGUGUUUGGUUGUGUGUGUUUUGUUCACAUCCAAACCUUGAACCGUGACAAACUAGAUGCCAGGGCAAUCAAGUGUGUGUUUAUGGGAUACUCGACCACUCAAAAGGGAUACAAGUGCUUCAAUCCAGUCACUAAGAAGUGCACAGUUUCAAGAGAUGUGAAGUUCGAAGAAGACUAUCCCUAUUUUACAAGUCAGGGGGAGGAUUUAGUUGACAUGUUCCCACUCCCUCAAAACUUUAAUUAUCCGAUGUUGGAAAAGAGAUCAGUCAUUUUAAGUCCAGAUUGUGAAGAAGUUCAAACUGACCAAAUUACUGCCAAUGAGAGUGAAGACGAGCCCUACUCUGAUCCUUCUCCGCCUUCUACAGAGUCUCAGGUGAUUAAAAGAAAUCCUCCUCGAAUCAGAAAACCUCCAGCUAGGUUGCAGGACUAUGUUACAUAUGCCUCACGACAUCCAAUCAAUGAAUGUAUCAGCUUUAGUAAGUUCUCAACAUCUCAUGCUGCAUUUCUCAGUGAAAUUGAUAAGCACUAUGAACCAAGAAGCUUUCAAGAAGCUUCUCUUCUCCCACAAUGGAACCAAGCCAUGAAAGAAGAGAUUCGUGCACUGGAAGAGAAUUGCACCUGGAGCCUAGUUCAACUACCACCAGGAAAAAAGGCUGUUGGAAGUCGUUGGAUUUACAAGACUAAAUUCAAAGCUGAUGGAUCUAUCGAGAGACACAAGGCUAGACUUGUUGCUCGAGGUUUCACCCAAACCUUUGGUGUAGAUUAUAAGGAAACAUUCGCACCGGUGGCCAAGAUGAACUCAGUCAGGGUUUUACUGUCAGUUGCAAUCAAUUGUGGAUGGUCACUCUACCAAAUGGACGUGAAGAAUGCUUUCCUUCACGGCGAGCUGCAGGAAGAAGUGUAUAUGCAACCUCCUCCUCCAGGCUAUGAUGGUAUUAAAGGCAACAUGGUUUGUAAAUUGCACAAGGCAAUAUACGGAUUGAAACAAUCACCAAGAGCUUGGUAUGCCAAGCUUAGUUCUGUUCUGGAAAAGGCUGGAUUCAUGCGAAGUAAUGCUGAUUCUUCGUUAUUUGUAAGAACUGGCACCAGGGGGAAGUUGGUGGUCCUCGUCUAUGUUGAUGAUCUUAUCAUCACUGGAGAUAAUACCGUGGAGAUUGAGGCACUAAAAACUCUCACUACAUCAAGCUUUCGCUAUCAAAGAUUUGGGGAGGUUAAAGUAUUUUUUGGGGAUCGAAAUGGCAACAUCUUCAAAAGGACUGUUUCUACAUCAAAGGAAAUAUGUAUUGGACCUCCUUCAAGAAGCAAAAAUGCUUGACUGCAAGCCUGCUAUCACUCCCGUUGAUUGUAAACUGAAGCUCAGCAUAGAUGGAGAAGCCAUGCAUGAUGUAAGCUACUAUCAACGAUUAGUAGGCAAGCUCAUAUACCUCACUAUCACUCGUCCAGAUAUCACAUAUGCAGUGAGCUUGGCUAGUCAGUUCAUGCACUCUCCCACUGUUGAUCACCUUAACCUUGUUAAGAGAAUCCUUCGUUAUCUUAAGGGUUCAAUUGGGCAAGGAAUUACAAUGCAUAACAAUCAGUCCACUGUCAUUAGUGGCUACACAGAUGCAGACUGGGCAGGUAAUGCAAUUGAUAGGAAAUCAAUCACAGGCUAUUGUACAUUUGUUGGUGGAAACCUUGUCACAUGGAAGAGUAAGAAGCAACAGGUAAUUGCUCGUUCCAGCGCAGAAGCUGAGUAUCGAGCCAUGGCAGCCACUGCGUGUGAACUCAUUUGGCUUAAAGGGCUUCUUUCAGACUUAGGGUUUCCUAGUUCUACUCCUAUGACGCUUAUGUGUGAUAAUCAGGCAGCCAUGCACAUUGCUGCCAAUCCUGUGUUCCAUGAAAGAACCAAACAUAUUGAAGUGGAUUGUCAUUUCAUCCGAGCUCAAGUUCAAACGCAAAUCAUCCGGACCAUGUUCACACGAAGCCAUGAUCAACUAGCAGAUCUUUUUACAAAGGCACUAGCAUCAUCUCAGUUUCAUCGGUUAUUGGGCAAGCUUGGCUCAGUGAAUCCCUUCGAUCCAGCUUGAGGGGGAGUGUUGGAAGAAUGCAUGCAAGUCAUAUCUUGUGUUAAAAUACAUGCAUGAAAUAAACAUGUUGGAUGACUAGUGAAGUUAGGCUAGUCAACAUUCUUUGUGUAAAUUAGGCAAGUUAGGCAAGUUAGGAAAUUAGGCAUGUUAGGCAAGUUAGGCAAGUUAGGCUUAUGUCUACUUUCUUUUCCUAUAUAUAUGUUUCAUUUGUAAUUGUUUCUUCAUGAAAUACACAUCAAAAAUUCUACAGUGAAACACCAAUUAUUUUCUGUAACAAAUUUUUACAUAGUUGAUAAAAUGGGACUUGACGUUACAAUGGUAAGUCCCAAGUGAUCCAUGGCUAGAAGAAGUUUUUCUCCUUCAAACUUUCCACGGUAUCCCUGGUAAGUUGGUGUGAAUCAUUUGUCAUCUGCACAUCUGUGAAGAACACACAGACGUUAAACUUUCAAAUCUGAAGUCCAAAUUAUCUGUCACACAAAUUAGCAACUACGAAGAAUAUGCAAAUCACUCACUGUACAGACCAUUUCACUUGCAGUUUGUACAUCACUCACGGUACCUCAGACCAAGGCAGGGAUUCUUUAUGAAAUACUUAGUUUCUCAAAGGCUAGAACGAUAUAGGCUUGAUAAAGAUAUUGUUCUAUAUUAAUAGGAUCUCAGGCAUGCCAGUUGUAACCCAAAUAUCCUCAGACACGAAUACUACAAAUUAUAUGCAAGAUGGAAUUGCCGAGGGUUCAAUUGGCAAUUUAGCUAGGCCAACCUUAGUAUCCAUAACCGAAAAAAAGAAGGCAACUACUCGGUUCCUCCAAUUGCAAAUAGCAUCGUACUUACAUGCCAAUCACAAUUUCAAUAUUUCACGUGUGCAGAAAUUGUUCUUUUUGUUUUUGUAAUGAGUUAUUUCUGCAUACGUGUCAAAGUAUAAUCUACAGGACCAAGGGAUGACUUCUUCCGGGGAAAGAGCCAAGAAGUGUCCAAAAAAGAGAAUACAAAUUUGACACGAACUGUUUCAACUCUCAUUUAUGCAUAAAGUUGUGGUUAAUAAGCUUAAUCGCUAAAAGCUGGCAAGAAUGUCGAAAACAGUUCAAGGCCUUGCCUUAACUGGACUUCAAGAACUACACUUGAACUCCAGAUGAAGACCUACACCAAAAGAUCUUCUUUCGCUGAACGAAACGAUAUACAAAACACAGAACUAUCAAUCCAACAUCAAAUGAUCUUUAAUUCUUUGCUUCAUUACAAAUGACAAAUUCCAAAUGAUGUAAUCAGAGUCUAAACACUUUAUAGCAUAUCUCAUACAUGAAAGUUAAUGCUCUAAAACUCAAUUCUCUCUCUUUCCUAAACCAUGAAAAGAACAUCCAAAAAGUUUACCAAUUUUUUCAAAAAGCAUACUCUCUGCAAAUGCAAUUUCAUGGAAAAAUCCUACUAAUCACUUUCAUUAGGGUCCAACAAGUCACCCAAACCCCAAUUUCUUUUCUUCAACCUCUCCUCAACGCUCUCCAAACGCCGAAGCAUAGUCUCCGCCAGAAAAUCCUUGCCCCUGCAGUUGUGGAAAAACGAGUGCUUCAGCAGCGUCUCUGCUGCCGGCCUCUUCGUAGGGUCCUGAUCAAGGCAAGAACCCAUCAAGUCCAGAAAAGCCACAGAGUACUUCUUGGUCUUGAAAUCUUUGAUGAUGUUUUCGCAAUCUGAAAACUGGUACCUCUUCUUGACCUUCAGAAUCUCAGACUCCAAAAACAGCGACAGACGAGACAUAGGAGAGCCACCGUCAGCCAAAUCGAUCGCCGUCCUCCCAAAUGCCAAGAUAUCCGCCUUGCAUCCACCUCCAUUGGGCGCCACCCUAUAAGGCGUUGCCGAAGUGUAGUUUGUCCCAGUUGAAUGAUCGGCGCCGUAGAAAGAAGCAGAGACCCCGAAAUCGGCGAGCUUAACGGACCCAUCAGAGUCGACCAAGAUGUUUUCGGGCUUGAUGUCGCCGUGGACGUGUCCCUGGCCAUGGAGAUACGACAUGGCGUUUAGCGUCUCUUUCAGGACGACAGCAAUGCAGGGCUCUGGUAAUCCUUCCGGGAAAGCAGAGGAGGAGAUUAUGGACUGCAGAGAGCCGAAGGCCAUGAACGGCAUGACCACCCAGAGACGGCGGUCAGCGGUGGUGAAGGCGCAAUGGUAGCUGAGAAUGUUGGGGUGGGAAAGAGAAAAAGUCUUGGUGCCGCGUAGCUUGCCCUCGAAAUCGGCCGUGGAUUGAUUGAGGUCGACGGACUUGAUUGCGACGAUUGCAGAGUUCCUGGAAACGCAGAUGGCCUUGUAGACGACGGCCUUGCCGCCGAAGCCAAUUUUUUCGAGGUUUUUGUACGCGGCGGAGUCUAUCGGGAAUUGAACCUUUUGUGGGUUAUCAUGGUGGGAGGAGGAAGACGAAGAAGUCGCCAUUGGAGACGACAAAGAUGAAAUCUUGAAGAAUGGAGAAGAUGAAUGUAGGGAUUCUGCAGUACUAAUUCUAGUGAAAGGUUGAUGCUUUGGGAGGAAGACGACGAUGCAUGAGAAUGUGCGAGUGUGUACUGCUCUGCUUGUAUUUACUUAUAGAAUAAGAAAUGGUAAGAAGAUGAGGGUUUUUUGGGGAUUUUCUAUUCCGAAUGGGGGAUAAAAUUAUAGAUAAGUUUUAAUUUUUUGCCCCUUGAUUUGGUUAAUUAGCAGAAUCAUCAACAUUCUGUUGUGAGGCGGUUUUGGUAAGCAGGAUUGGGUGAGGUUGGUUAAGAUAAAAUACAGUAAGUUCGUUUUCUGUUAUUUGCCAUCUCAGCAAUGUCUUGGGACGCAAGGCAUUGUUACUCCUGUUGUGAGUACCUCGUAUAAAUAUUUCGAAAGGACUAUAAGCACACGAACAAAAUACGUAUUUGAGACCCGUAAGUUCAUGAACAAGACUGAUCCACUAACCUAUUAAAAUCAUUCUUCAAGAUGUCAUUAAAAGUCAAGUAAGCCUUAAAAAAAAAAAAACAGGUGAUUUUUUUUUUUUUUUGCUAAUGUAACCAAAUUGUGUAAAAAAAUAUGACGUGAUCGUUGAUAAUUGAACUAAAUAAACCAAAACGCUAGAACUUCCUCUGGACCAAAGAUGACAUUUUAUUCCACAAGCUCACUUAUGAGCAGAUUGGCAUGAGAGAAUAUACAAACUCUGUGCAACAAGAUUCUUAAGCUGGCCCAACCAUUCCAUCAACUUUCCAGGUAAUUGAUUGUUCCCCAAAUGAAGAAGAGAAGGUGUAUAAAUUAAACAAAGAACUGUAAGGACUCAAGCAAGCCCCCCGAGUUUGGUACAGUGAGAUUGACUCUUACUUCAGCAAUAGUGGAUUCAACAAAAGUCCUAGUGAAGCUGCACUCUACACAAAGUUUCCGUCCUUUCAAGGGUAAUUUUCUUAGAUGGGCCCAAUCUCAAAGUUUCCGUCAUAUCGAGCUAAAAAUAUAGGUAACGGGUUAAGAUGUGUGGUUUUCCAUGAGAACGAUGAUCAGUUGGGAAGAUGCAUCAACUGGUAAUCAUACUACAGCGUAUCAAAAGAGUAAACUAGAGGUGUAUUUGCCUGGUUUGGACCUAGUGUUCUUAAGCUCUGAGAAAAAUGAAUUUGAUUGAAAAUUCACAAUUUUUGUGAGUUGAAGGUCCUGAACUACAUCUAGCUUAUAUAGUCAAAGAAAUCUGCUGUGUCCUUCCUUAUAGGGAGUGACUAAGGGCAAUUUGAACAUUUAGCUAGGACCAGCUCUGUGCCAUCGCCGGAAGUUCAUACGAAUUGACUGUGCGUUCGUACGAAGGCAUGUCGCAUAGGCACUUGUGCCUGACGUCUGCAGCCGCAGACACAUUGAAGAACGACGAUAUUGGGGAAAGAAAUCUUAAUUUCAAGAUAUAUCAAGAGUGCCCUAAUUAGGAUUUCUUUGAAGAGUAAAGACAAUUUCAACUUGAACUAUUUCAUUUAGAGAUAUUGGGCAACAUUAUUAAUUACACAUGAGCCACAUAUCAAAGAUCUUAAGCAACUCCUGAGCAUUUUCGUAGACAAUUCUGAGGCUCUCUGCAGAUUACAUUUAAAUUAUUUAACAGGAAAAAUCUAUUGGCCCUCUUUGGAAUAUUUAAGCAUAAAACAAACUUCAUUUCCCACUUAU
rnacentral:lncRNA from 1 species